rnacentral:lncRNA from 1 species
CAAAUCAAAAAAUCUCAACUUAUUCUAUUCGUAAGAAGAAGUAGAAAGUAUUUAUAUCUUAUCUUGACUUUCGCACAUUCGCAGUUCAUAUCGAGCUAAUAUGAUAAGAUAGAGAUCUUCAGUAUCCCACACUUUUCUCAAGACUAUUCACGACUGAUUUUUGAUAUUAAAGAGAAGAAGAGCUUGAUCAACCCCUUUCCAUAUCAAAAUAUAUAUUAGCGCAUUCGCGAAGUAACUAUCUUCUUAUUAAGAAUGAAGAGCAGUUCUUAAUAUCGGAUUAUGUGCGGGAUCAGAGGUCUUCUUGAGGUAGCAUUUCUCGUAGCCAUGGAGGACGAGGUAUUCACAAAGAUUCCGUGAGUCCGUCCGCUCGAUCCACGUCGGGAAUGAGGUCAUCUCGCCGUCGGCCUCUAGAAAGGUUAUGGAAGAUAUAUUAUUCAGUAAUUGCAUUUCAAUCCUUCCGGAGACAGUCUCACUCGAGACCUCGGGCUAAGGGACCUCAGUGGCAGUGGCAGCCGGAGCUCGCUGUGGAAGAAAGAGAUGAGGCAUUCUCCGGGAAGAGUCAGCGGUUCUUCAUUGAGGCGGUGAGAAGGCUUGACCCACCGAGAAGGGAAGGAGUGGCUUAGGAAAAGGAGUUUCAUGGGUGCAAGGGCAUUCCAUGGCCCAGGGCCAUAAGCAUGAAAAAUGGGAUUUUCUAAAGGGUUAGCUCCGUCUAACCUUCCCCAUUUCCCCCGGUUGAUAGAUAAGACCAAGAGAGGUUUGAUUGAGGUAUUCCUUCAAUCAAAUAAAGGUUAUAUUGGCCUGAUCGAGAGCACUCCGAAGAUAAUUCCUAUCCUAUUUAUGUGCCUUCUCCUUCUUUUUUUCUGAGUAGCCACCGCGUAGUGGGAUGAUUCAAUACCCACAUAAGAUAGGAUAGAAGGUAGAAUCAUUUAAGAGGCAAAGGCUUUUCGAUCAGAUUAGAUGUGACCAGAGAGAACGUCCAAAUAAUGAAUAAUCAGCGCUUGGUCAAGAGAUCUAUCUCAUUCCCCUACCUUCAACUAAGCUAUUUCCACAGCUAGAAAGCCAGAACUAAAGCAAGAACUCCCACUGAAGAAAGAGAAUGAACCUCUCCUAGCUGAGAUGAUUCAACUUAUGCAGCUACAAUGCAAGGGCUACUUCCGCAACAGAACCUACUUCCGAUCCAUCCGACUGACGAGAGUGAAACCGGGUUUUCGUGCUCACUAAGCCAAAAGGUGGAUGCCCACUGCGCUCAAAUACUUUUCAUCCAAAAAAAAAAUAGAAGAUGUCAAAAUCUUGAAAGUCAGGUGGAUGGCUAUUCAGCCUAUCCGGGAAAGAGCUUAACAAGGAAGGAUGGAAGUUGGCACCUAAAAUGAGUCUUUUCUAGCGGUCCGGAGGCUCCAUAAGACAGGUCCGAAGGCUAGUUAAUAUGGAUAGGACUGAGGAUGGUCCGAAGGCUCAAAGAAUGAUCGGAGUGCAAGUCAUUCAUUCUAUUAAAUAGGCAGAGGAGAGGGGUCAGCCUAGGGAAAGGUAUGGAAAGAAAAGAGCUUUCCUAAUAAGGAGAGAGAGUAGGUCAUAAACCAAAGCCCACUACUAGAACCUACUAUUUAGUCGAAAGUCUAUCCCGUCCUUUGCCUUUGCUUUGUGCAGAUUCAUUGAGGACUUUCAUCUUCUAUAUUAUGAGGCUUACUAAUAAUGCUGAAGUUCCUUCGGAGUCGGGUGUGCGCGUCUUUCCUUAUUCAUGGAUCACAGUAGAGGCAGAGGCAGAAGUAGUUGUCCCCGUUGAGUCUGCUGAGCAAGUCAACCCUUGUUCAUUGAGGCCGUUCUUUAAGCAGGAAGAGUUGCAGAGUAGUUUCUUGCUGCAGAAUUUGAAAGAAGAAAAGAAAGCUUUUUCUUGUAUAUGAUGAACGAGUAAAUAGCUCUAAGGAUUCACAUGAGGGGGGGAAUCCCCCACGGAGCGGUACAAUCAGAGAGAGGAAGGAGGGACAAAGUCCCCAGGCAUCAUAUAAGAGGCAUCGGCAGCUCGAAGGAGAAGGGAAAGGAGGACGGGCCUCAUUUCUCACUAUUUCGUAUCCGACGAUGAAUUAAUAUUUCUUCUUGAUUUCAUAGAAUAAAAGACUUAGCAUCAGACUUAGUUAGGUCGGAGCUCUAGUUGAGUUUCAUAAAAAGCAUAGGCUCCAUAAGACAGGGAUAUUGUAAGCGCAUUUAUCCGCAAGGUAAGCGAGUCCUUCGGUAAGAGGCUCCAUAAGACAGGUCCGAAGGACUAUCCAUCAGGGAGGUGAAAAGAAUAUUGACAAAUGGACUCCUCAAUUUCAUCGAGCCUUCUACCGCCCCGUGGGAAUCUUCUAAACCGUAAAAGCCUAUCCAGGAAGUUCAUAGUUCAUACGGUCAAGGAGCAAGAUCGCGAUAAAGGCCACCGCGUAGUGGGACGGAGAUUCGAUGGAUGGGGGCCAAGGCGCCUCCUCUUCUUGUCGACUUUGCUUCAUUUUUUUCAUGCUUACUUCGAAAGAGAUGGGGAAUGAAUGAUCAAGAAUGAGAUUGAUGAAAAUGAUUUCUACUGCUUUCCUACUUCAGGAACCGCCGAAAGAACUCAAUCUGGGACAGUCCCACUCGGCCCGACCUGCCGACCCUACCUACUCGAAGCAGGUAGCUGGAGACCCAAGAUGAGUUAUAGGAUGAGUUCUUGCUUGAGCUUUGAGUUACCUUGCGGACUCCCCUUAGAAGAAGAGCUGCUAAUACGAGAGAUGUCGGAAAAGGAUAAACUUCUACUCUUAUUCACAACGAGAAAGAAGAAAGAAGAGCUGCUUCGCUUACCUCCGAUCCUGGGUCUAGCCCGCGAAAGGGAGAAUUCCUAUGAAAGAGCAGACUUUUUCUUCUUCUGCGACAGCUGGGGGACGCCUAUUUUUUGACCUUGAUUCCCUAGCGGACUCAGCUGGGACUUCUGGUCGAGCGAGUUAGGACAAGGAAAUCUUUCUUAUUCAAUGGGCUCAAAAUCAAGAGUGAAAGUGGAAUAAAUCAGUCCCGCAACAAAAACAAAGAGAAGUCCGACGCAUCAAAAUCUCAAUCGCAUAUUUCAUUCCGCCUCUUCGCUUCGCUCGAUGAAAUUGAGGAGACGGAGGAGAGGGCGAAAACCAUUUCUCACAUUCUGCCUCACCUUCUUUUCUUCUAGAAAAAGACGCUAGCUACCGGAGGGCGGAUUCCAUGUGAGACCCAAGGGUCAAAGAAUUUGAGAAGAGAAGGGAACCGCGGAGUGGGUCACGGGGAAGAGGAGUUAGGCUGGAAGAGGGAGGCAAGCCGCGCUGCGAGAGCCGCUUUAUUGGCUCUUUCCGUCUCCCUUUCCGUUCUUGCUCCAGAGGCAGGAAUGCUCGGAAGUUGUUGAGGCUCCAAGUAUAGGAUGCACCAUCCGGUGUGAUUUCAGAGGCGGUAGGAGAAUAUGCUGAUCGGGCUAGGCCCAGUUCGCUUUCUUUAAUUAGACUAUCAAGUCAACCUCUGAAAGUACAAAAGCAGAAUCACAUAGAAUUCAGAAGGCGCACUCGCGCGAUGGAGAGAAGAAAAGAAGGUCAGGCUGAAUUAAUUGAGAGUUGCGUGAGGCGCAAUGUUCUAAUGGAUAGUCCGGAGGACUGGAUCUUGUUUUUGAGAUCAUUCUUUUUCAAUAUUCUUUUCACCUUUUUCUUUUUGAGCCGUGCAGGUAGGAAGGAAUAGAGUCAAGGGCUGACCAGCCAAUCCUUAUCUCUUUAGCAUAAGACAAGCUAAGCCGCUUCCAUCCCUUGCUUCCUACCUCUCUUCCAUAGAAAAUGAUAUCCAAUCCCAAUCAAGCACUGGUUACCGAAUUAAUUCCGCCUAAGAAAAGAUCAAUGAACAUCCAUAAAUAAAUAGGAGAGGAGUAAAGAAGAGACCGUGGAGAUCAGAUUAGGCACAUCAUCAUUUCAUGAUAUCUUAAUGAUCUCUUUCAUUCUCUGAAGUAGACAGUCAAUUCUCUAUUUCAAGUAUAAGGGAGGGGAGCUGGGCAAUCCUUGUCAAUAUCAUCACACAUUCUAACUCGCCGCUCUUCCUGAAUAGGAAUAACUACUAAAAGAAAGCCUAUCCUUCUAAAUUCUCAAAUAUGAUGACUCAAUUGCAAUAUUCUUUGCCCCAUCAAAGAAAGGUCCAGGGUCCGGAGUCCGCAGGAUUUAUCCGUAGGACUAUCCAUUAGAUUAGAAGGAGGCGCAAUUCAAUAUGCGACUUUGAACCUUGGUAUUUUUUAGGUGAAGAAGGCCUAUUUUGGCUUAGUCAAAGUUGCUUGGGCUAAGAAUAGGUUUCAUUCUCAAUGAAUUAACUCACAUCACAAAGCAUGAAAGAAAAGACAAACUCAAAUCAUAAUAGAAGAACUCUGAAUAUCGGUAGUUGUGUGGCGAAGAAUGAAGAUCGGAUUCUUUUCUUUUCCUGACUUUCGAAGGCCAGCGCCCAAGAAGCCUUUACUAAGGCUGGUAAAGGUCUGGCAGAGUAGAAAGCGAUGGAUAAGAAGCUGAAAGUCAGACUUUCCAUUUUCUAUCUACACAGUACUAUAACGUAGAAUCAAUACUGAAUUCAGAAGCAAGAUACUGAAAGUGCGAAUUCGAUCUUGAAGUAAAUAAAUAGAGAUUACUUACGAUCUACCCGAUCUGAUCGAAGAAGUGCAACUUCAGCUCCAACAAGAGAAAGGACAGCGAGCUGGAAUUUCUUCCUGAACCCACUAGGACACCCACUACCCCUUGUUCAUUGAGGCGGUCAAUCUGGCCCGGCCGAAUCUGAUCUUUUUUCUUGGGCUGCUCGGGUCCUAUCAAGUUUUUGAUGACGUUCAAACUAGCUUCCAGCAAUAGCUUUGACAUUGUUGAAAGCGCUGAAAAUGAGAGGACUCAAAUUCUUUGACCCUCAGAAGAAAUUGAAGGAAUGAAAGCAUUAACAAAGGCGGACGACCACGCUUAGAGGGUUUGUAUGAUUUUCAUCAAUAUUCCAAUACCGCGUAGUGGGGAUUGAAAAGAUUAUGAGAAAUAUCCGGGGCUGAUCAGCCUUUAUUAGGGGAAUGCACUUUCAGAAGUGCUUUCUUCUGUCUUGAUUAAUGAAAAGAAAGGCGUAGCCGAUCUCCUUUAAAGAGGAGAAUGAGAAAGAUCGAUUGGUAAGAAAGAGAGUAUUAACGCCUUCCUUUAUAUGUCCAUGUCCAGGAAGAAAAGAGAAAUGUUCACACACACAUGGCUUCAAACCCCCCGUAUUAAACAAGCCCAUUUGGCUACGAUCUCGCUCGCAAGAUGAACCGAAAAUCUGAGCAAUAUUCUUUGCACCGUCCGGAGGACUGGCACAAAAGUCAAGAAAAGAAGCUCAUUAACGAGAAUGAAAGAAUCAUUAUGAUUUCAUAACUCGAAUUCAAGAAGAAUUAUGAAUCUGCUAGAUUUCAGAUGAAUCCGCGGAGGGAAAUGCUAGGUUUUGGGCCUAUAAAGUAGCAAGAAAAGACAAAAAAUCAGUCAAAAUUGAUCUAUUUUCGUUAGAUAAGAAAAGUCGAAAAAGUCCUAUUUAGAAGCAAAAAAGCCGGGAAAACGCAAUGAAAGAAGAACUCCUAGGACAGGGAAAAGAAAUGAACAGAGUUUGAUUAUGGUUUCUGGUCCGGAGAAAUACGGGUCUAUUCUUUGAUCCUUCUAAUGGAUAGUCCUCCUUCCCUCCAUAUGGAUGGUCCUACGGAUAAAUCACCUGGACCUUUCUUUGGCCCUGCGGACUCCGGACUCCGGACUACUUCGGUUAAUUACGGAUGGUCCUACGGAUAAAUCCUCCGGACUCCGGAUAAAUCCUGCGGACUGCGGACGUAGGACGUAGGACUUCUUCUUCUUUAAAAAGAAGGGUCCAGGUUUCAUAAGACUCCUUCUACGCGGUCUCGCAAUAUUCUUUGCACCGCACCGUGGGGGAGGGGGAAAGCAAAGAACUAAAAAGAAAGGUCCAGAUGCGCAAUGAAAUAUGCGUGGAGUGCAAGUCAUUCAUUCUAUUAAAGACUUCUGCAGACGUUAGGCUCAAUGCAAUAUGAGUUGCGAAGCGUAAAGUUUGAACCUUGAAUCAUUUAUCAGAUGUGGAAACUCAUCCCAGGAAAUCCAUAAAUCAGCCAAUUUGCCUUGGAAAAGAUAGGGGAAGUAAUUCAGCCACCUGAAACUGCAACUGAAGAAAGAGAAUGAACCGCCUAUCCUUUCAACCUACUGAAGAAAGAGAAAGAUCUGAAUACCUGUCCUAGCCCCCUGAGCCAACUCUGAUCCUCGAGCGGCUUCUAACCUCUAGCAGAAUAUUGCACCUUCUUUUCCUUCUCGGGCCUAUGCUCUAUCCUACUACAUACAAUAAGUCAGAGUCGACUAGGUUCAAAGAAUUUUGAGCUCCGGCCUCUCGUGAGAGAUGGAAUUCCAUGAUAGGCUUUUACCUUGUGAGGCGGUCGUCGAGCUUGCAAUAUCUUUUUCAAAUAGAAGAACUCACUUCUUCGCACCUCUCGACAGCUUAUCGCACCUUCUUUUCUCGUGGCUUUGUUCUCCUUCUUUUCUCGGUAAGAAGCGGGGAUCCCCAUUUCAAGUUCAAGGUAAAGCGGACGAACUCGCCAUGAAAAGAAGUACUCUUUCUUUUCUGACAGAAAGAAGAAAGAAUGGGAAAUAAGUGUCAAUGCUUGUACAAGUAAAUUAAUAAGCUCUUCCCAUGGAAAUCAAGAACAAGAGCGCUUCAACUUCAACCGCCUCAGCUAUAUUAGUUCCAUUAAUCAGUCCUUCGGACCUGUCUUAUUACCUCGUACUCUGGUCGUCUAACCUGCCUCUGGAGCAAGAACUACUCUUUCAGAAAGUAUCGGACCUCCUUCUUUUCUUUUUGCCUCCAUAGAAUAGAAAAAGAGUGAGCCACUACGCGGAAGGAAAGGAAGCAUGCACUAUAAAGUAGGGCGUCUUGGAAUUCGAAGUUGAACCAACGAGGACAAACUACUCUUUCAAAGGAAUCUGGGGUUCGCGGGGCUAGUUACUAGGUAUUCGGGCUUUAAGGGAGUCUAUGAAAAUAGGAACAGCUCUCCCAGGAGCAUCAGUAGUUGCUUUAGUUCUAGCUUCGUUGCUUAGUUUCGUUCCCAAUAGCGAGGCGUAUUUCUUAUUUACUGGUCGGAUAAAAUCCAAAUCCCAGGAAAUUGACUUUUCAGAAAGGCCAUUUGCACAAGCGCAAGAACAGCUGAAGUGGCCUCAUCCGGGAAGCUAGGCCCAAUAUCACCUCCUGCAGACCUCUUCUUUUGUACACAAGCAGAAUCUCCAUACAAGGCCCACUCGCGGAGAAGAAAUUCUUCUUUUUCCUCUUUCCUAGGCUAAGUCCUUAGUUUCGAACUGCAGUUCUAGGGGUUUCACAUCCAUGGUGAAGCGAAUGAGAUAGGCUUAUUGAAAGUGGUUUAUUUCCUUUGAUUGACCGCCCUCUAGAGACCUGUGAUUAGGCUUUGCCUUGGCCUGACGAUCUCAUCUCAUUAAAGAGCAUACCGAUCCUCCACACCUAGGAGUGGGUAUGCGCGGAGGACCUCAACAAAUAGAAGGUUAUGAACACGGGUAAAGUAUGCCCAUUUCUCUUGGUCAGUCACCUCGUCGUAGGGAUCUCGCUCAUUAGGAAAGCAGUUGACUGGACGCUUUCCCGAGCUAAUGUGCGGGAAUUCUUCUAAAUCUAGUUCCGGGGAGAAGGCUAGGCGCAAAGAAUAUUGCGAGGACGGAGGACGGGGGAGCCGAAGGCGGAAAGAAUAUUGCCCAUAUUAACCUGUCAUCUUCUGACUUUCCUUUCCGUAGGUUAUUUUUGUUCAUUCCACGAAAACUUUUGAAUAGCUUUUAAUAUAAUCAAAACCGAAGGCUGAAUUCAUUGAGUUGCCGUAGGUCGUCAAUAGGGGAAGGUCUUGUCUUCUUCUUCUCUUCUUUGAAAUAGUCUUUGUCAUCAUAAAAACCUUACCGUAGCUUCUAAUCUCUCGCACUCCUGUUAAGUCUCUCUUCUUCGAACCCGUAGGCGUAGUAGGAUAGGCUUUCCUUCCGCUCCGCUCCGUAGGUUCGUUCCUUCUCCGCGGUUAGAAUAAGGAAAGAGAGUUGUAGAACGAGAGGGGAAGGGACUAAGCCGCUAUCCUGGAAAGGUUAUCAGUUCCCUAGUUUGGUUAGGAAAGAAAGUGAAAUAUUCUUUGAACCUUCUAGAGUCAGAAAAUGAGUCACUCAACACGGGUUCGGAGCUCCUCAGACUCCAAGUUUUAGUAUGAGAAGAGAGUUCAGAGUUCCAACAAGAGGAGAAAGAGGAAGAAAUUCAAAGUUCAGGGGUCGGGUAUGCAAGCCGCUCCACGGGCCAUUAGUAGUAGAAAGAGCUGCUGCGGCAGAAGAAGUCUCUCGGGUAGCAAGGUUCGUAGGAAUUGUUUAAAUAACUCUUUUUUCUAUAAGAAAGGCGCAAAGAAUAUUGCGAGACCGCGAAAGAAAGAAGAAGAUAUUCUAAGAUAUAAGUAGAUAAGAAAGCCCUUGUUCAUUGACUUCUAUCGAUUCCCGGUAUAUGAGAAGAGUUGGAUAGGCGCAGGUCUCAGUUAAGAGGCCGCUAGCCCUGAGGAAGAAAUACUCGUCCCAGUAGUUGAAGUUGCUGCUUUAGUUGCAGCAGAGAAGUGAGUCUUCAUUCUUUUAGACGAACCGCAAAAGAAAGCGGAAAUCUUCCAGUCCGGAGUCCGCAGUCCGCAGGAUUUAUCCGGAGGACCAUCAAAGAAAGGUCCAGGUGAUUUAUCCGUAGGACCAUCCAUAUGGAGGGAAGCAGUCCGCAGGAUUUAUCCGUAGGACCAUCCGUAAUUAACCGAAGUAGGACUAUCCGUAAUUAACCGAAGUAGUCCGGAGGACUUUCCGUAAUUAACCGAACUUUGCGCCUGUGAAAAGUCAAGAAAAGAAAAGAAGCUCAUUAACGAGAAUUGAAAAGUCAAGAAAAAUGAUUCUUGAAUAACCUUGUUUUGACGGAGUUCAUUCCAUGAUUUUGCUAGGUUUUGGGCGAGACUGGUCCGGAGUCCGGAGGAUUUAUCCGUAGGACCAUCCGUAAUUAACCGAAGUAGCAAGAAAUAGUAGCCACUUUUCAUGAAAAAUCAGUCAUUUUUCGACAAUUUUCGUGAAAUAUCAAGAUGAGAUUUAGUCCUAUUUAGAAGCAAAAAAAAAGCCGGGAAAUAGCAAGGCAUUGUCCUAGGACAGAAAUGACAUGUUCAAACUUUUCUAAUGGAUAGUCCGGAGGACGGAUACUGAGAGGUCUAUUCUGGAUUCCGCUCCGGUUAUGAAAGAAUAAUUAUUCUUGAAUUCGAGUGAAUGAGCUUCUUUUCUUUUCUUUUUUUCUUGACUUUUCACAGGCGCAAAGAAUAUUGCCGCAUCUUUUCAAAUUCAGAGCGGACUAGAAAUCCAUUAUUUUGAUAACUUCUUUAUCAAGCUUAACCUUUGUAAUAGAUUGAAUAGUCCUCCGUCUCUUUGUAUUUGUCGUCCUUUUUCUUUAUCAAGCUUAAGAGCCUCCGCUCUGCUUCUUUGCUCCUACGGAGGCGGAGUGAGACUGAGACUGAAUAGGAGAAAGUUCAGUCCUUGAAUAUGAAAGGAAUAAAAAGGAGCAAUCCGGACGCUUUCUUUUCUAUUCAAGUUAUUCAUAAAGAUACUUCCUUUAUCUUUUUUAUUCCCCCUAGUAGGAUAGUCCGAUCUCUCUUUCUUCCUUUUUUUGAAUCUCUUACCUUGAAGCCUCUUAUGACUUUCAAACCUUUCAUCCGCGUAGUGCUUUCUUUAUUGAAACUGAAAGAGGAGAAAGCCUACACUUGAACUCUUUAUUUUGAGCCUUCCCCAAGCUUUGAAUGUGUCCCAUCUGCGCGCACCCUUCUUUUCAUGGAAAUAAUGGACUUCCGCUUGCCCGGAUGAAGAGAAAGAAGCCUUAUCAUUCCCGAAUGAGGCAUCACACAGCAAAAAGAAGAGGUCUAGCGCCCCACUCCGCGGUCACCAGUGAUGCUUUGAGUUAUUUCACGGGUUUACCCACCGGUAAAGAAAGAAUCAAAAGUCCCCACUUUACGAGUGAAAAUGCACAAUGGACUAGGCCCUGGGCGAGAAGGAAGUUUGGUGAAAGGCUGGAGACUCUACUCUAUUUACGUCUUUUAUCUUUCAUCACAUUGCUUCGUACUUUGGGUUGAAGGACGGAAGUCUUCUCACUUUACACACCCGGAAAUACCAUCCCCCCACUACGCGGAAAGACUCCUCUUCCGUCACGGAGGAUCUUUCUCAUAGUACGGAUGCUAAGAGUUUAAGGAUACUUCCUUACUUAAUCCCUUUAUCUGAGACCAAGGGCUUUCUUCUCCUUCCCCGCUCCGUGGGCUUAGUACUCACCGAAGGAAGAGCAGUUCCGAAGCCUCUUCUGCAAGAGAUGAAACUGCUACGGAUGACUCUCGCUUCUUCUCUCUUGCACUCAAGACUCCUUGGAAGUCCCGCUAUGAUAGUAAUCUUUGUUCUAGUCUUUCUUAAUGAGGGUCAAAGAAUGAUCGAGGCUUUCUCAAAUUCUUUGAGCCCCGACUUCGAUCUAUUUAUUUAUGGAUGUGAAUUGAAAAAUCAAGGUCAUCUGAAACCUUCUUUUUGAUGAGCCUCAGGCGCAAAGAACUAAAAAGAAAGGUCCAGAUGCGCCAUAAGACAGGUCCGAAGGACUCUCCAUCAGGGAGGAUGGAAUAUGAAAGGAUAGGUUGCCAUUGGCCGAGUAUAAAGAUAGGAAAGGUCUUCUCAUCACCCCAUGAAAAUCAAUCGGAAAUCUUCUCUUCUUCAAAUUCUUUGAUCCUUGUUCAUCGCUCAGAUACGGUCGUCAAGGUUGAUUUCAGAAAGAAGGAGUCCUCCUACGGAGCCAUCCCAAUCUCUCUAAUAGAGCGAGAAGGAUUCCACCCUUCCCGGAACCCGGCAAGUUGGUCGGUCGAUAGGUAGAGGAGCUCUCAAUUGGUUAUGAGCGGACGCCCAGUGGGCACCUCAUGCUGUAUGCUACGGCGUCUACCUGUAUCAAGUCAAUAUUCUUUGACCCUCACCUUCUUGGCUCCGGCUCCGUCAACUGCCCCAGCGAGAGAAAGCGGUCCCCUCUCAAUCAUAAAAAGGGAUCAGACUGAUUCGGCUCAUUUUCGAUGAUGGAAAUAAUCAGAUAUUCCAUAUAAGUAGUAAUUCAGAAGUGCUCAAGAUUAUUGAAUAAUAAGAUAUGAAGAAAUGAAAGUGCCUCAUAAGAUCUUUCGACUUUUAUAUAGUCUUUACAAUCAUCAAAAUGGAGUGGGCAGUCGCUUCUCAAUUGAAUCGGAUUUGAAGAUCACUGAAAAAGGCGUGGGAAACCAGGUUCAAAGAAUUUGAGAGAAGGUGAAAGUCCGAGAAAUAAUCAAAGCCCACGGAGCGCUUAUUCUUUCGGAAGAUUUUUUGUCCCUGAAUCUUAUUGAUCCAUAUGGAUAAAGAAGUCACCUGGACUUUGAAAAUAUGAUGAAUAGUCACCUGGAGUGGAGCAUCUCCAUUGGCGAGGACUCUUUGGACGGAGUAAGCCCACGUAGCGGUGCCAUAAGACAGGUCCGAAGGCGGAAUGAAAUAUGCGGGGGAGCCGAAGGACUAUCCAUAUUAACCUGUCAUCUUGAGCCUUAAUUAAUUUGAUUGACACAGUUUGCACGUAAAGAUUUUCAAGGAGUCAAUUAAGAAAUAAAUAAGGCCGACGGCCAGAUCGCACAUACCAAUUACGGAGUGAAAUCCCAGAAAAUGCUAGGUUUUGACAUAGGGAAGUAGUCCUUUCAGGAAAGCCCUUGUUCAUUGAUUGAUUUUAUGACUGAAAUCUGCGAAUGAAAGAAUAAUUCACUCAUUAACGAUAAUGAAAGCAGACUCAAAUUCUUUGAGCCUCUCCUUCUUAUAAGUCAGAGUUGCUUCGCACCAUACGGUCUCGAACCCUCUCCUAUGCCUAAAUUAGUUCACGCAAUAUUCUUUGCGCCUCAAAUUCUUUGAGCCUUGUUCAUUGUCAAUAUUCAUUGAUUUGUGCUAGAUUGAAGAUGAAUCUGCUAGAUUGAAGACGGAGUGAAAUACAUGAUUUUGCAAGGUUUUGCCCAUAGGAAGUAGCAAGAAAUCAUGAAAAAUCAGUCAUUUUCUCUCUAUUUUCGUUAAAUAUCAAUCUUCGAUUUACUAUGAUUUAGAAGCAAAAAAGCCGGGAAAUAGCAAGGCAUUGUCCUAGGACAGAAAUGACAUGUUCAAACUUAUAGUUUCUGGUCCUAAAAUAUAUCCCAGAUACCUGUUAAGCUUAUAGGGAAAAGAAAUGCCAAUAAAAAGACUGAGAGUGUGUGGUCCGGAUAAGAUAAGCGGAUCAGCCUAUCUUCCUUGUCUUCCCUUUUCUUAUCCAUUUCUUUCUUCUCGUUCAGCAUUUUAUGCAUGUUCAUAAACACUGAAAGAAGGGAUGACGCAUCCAUCUGCAACUACUGCUUUUUCUGGGUUUGGAAAAGUGCGGAGCAUAAGAAAAGAUGAGAUCUUGGGAUAAUCAUCCACGUCGUCAGUGGGUAGUUUCUGAAAUACAAGACAAGGUUUUUCAUACUAAGCCAACGGAGAUCCCUUUCGGUCAAAUGACCUUUCUUCCUUAAUCGUUGAUUGAGAGAGGGCGGAAAAUGUCCAUUUUCACAUCACGAACCCCUUGUUCAUUGAGGCGGUGGAGUCCUUAAACCGGGAACAUUCAUAUGGAUAAAAAUCAGUCAGAAGGACGGGGGAUAGGCUUUCAGAUAAGAUAAUAUCAAAUCUUCCACUAGAAGAGUGAAGGAGCUACUUAUUGUCAUAAGAUAAGACGAAGAAAGCCUACGGUAGCUUUAGGAAGAAGAGGGGCCCAGUCACAGAGGAAAAGAAGCAUCGGGUCCUGCUGUCCCUAGCUAGUUGAGUAGUAGAUUAUGUAGGGUAAGAAUAAUCAGUCUGAGGAUAGGUAUGAAUAACCUAGAACUCAGAAUGGCACGGACCGAUACACGCGAGACCAAAAGGAUAGAAGGCCGCCGGACAGAGUGUCAUGGAGAGGCGGGACCCGUAGGAGGACGGCUUACCCCGGAAGCCCAGACGAAUAUAGGCAGGGGCCUUCUCUAAAUCAAAUGAACGGGAAUCUGCAGCUCGCGACCGCUCCGCUUCUUUGCUGAAGUUUCGGAAGGGAUCGACACCGUAUUGGAAUCAAUAGACUUUCUAUAGGUUAGAAGUUAGCGCCCUAAGGCGGCGAGACUGAAGAGGUUCGUUUUCAGACUUCCCUGUGAAAAGCAUAUCCUUUCUGAUCCUUAUCCACCGAUAAAACAGUCUAAUCUUUACAAAACAAGAAUAUCCCUGUCCGGAGUCCGCAGGGCCAAAGAAAGGUCCAGGUGAUUUAUCCGUAGGACCAUCCGUAAUUAACAGAAGUAGGACUAUCCGUAAUUAACCGAAGUCGGACUUUCCGUAAUUAACCGAACCUGGCUAUUUUUUUCCCUUCUAUAUAUUCUUUGCGCCCCUUGUUCAUUGAUUUCAUGCGCUUCGCUUCGCGCCUUCGAAUAUGAAUUCAUCGUCCUUACCCAGCCUCCAGCUUCUUAUUUGACGGAGGACUUGUUUAUCCAUAAAAAAUGAGCCUUUUCUCACUGAAUUUAUGAAAAUGGGUAAAUAACUACUCCACAAAGUAUAAUAAGCAAAAGUCCAAUUACGCUGAUUUUUCUUUCAUUCUUUCAUCUCCUGAGCAAUAUUCUUUGGGCCUUCGUAGCUUAAUAAUGGCCUCAAAAAAAAGACUUCAGGAUAAGGAGGGGAGGCAUAAUAUAAGGAUAAGACGCCAGAGAACCUACCGCCCCGUGGGAAACCCCCACUCCGCGGAAGAAAGCAGGUUCCAUAAGACAGGGAUAUUGUGCUCCGUCCUCCUACGCAGGUUAAUAUGUAAUACUUAGUCGUAGUCUGAAAAUCUUCCGCCUGAAAUUCAUGUUAUAGGGCUUCCGAUAAUAGAAAACCUUCUCCAACCCUAAUAAAUACUGAAUAAGACGAGAGCGUCCUACGUAGCUUAAUAUAAUAAGACCAGUCUGCAAUAAGAAGCCAGAAGACUCCUAAUUUAAUAUGGAUUUCUUAGUCCUCCGUCAAAUAAGAAGCUGGAGGCUGGGUUUCGGUCAACUUUUCGCAUUCGAAUCGUGUGUAAUUUGCUUUCAUCGAUUAUUCUUUUUGUGGUUUGAACGAGUAUAAUGGAAGAAGGAAAGAAGACCUCAUUCGCCCUUUCUUUCCUUUUCUCUUUGGCGGUCAAUAUCAGAUCCUGAGUUUACUUAUCAGCAGCUCAACUUUUUCGACUGAGUUUGUAAGGUCAAGAAUAAGUAGAGAGUUGCGAAAGGGCUAAGGGUCGGCAGACAAGUACCUUCGGUAUUCCCAGUUUCAUCGCUUUCAUCCGUAAAAAAAGAAUAAGCUUGGGAACGAAGAUCCUGCGCGAGACACCAAUCUGCUAUUUCUGCUAUUUAAGAGUUAGAAUCAAGGAGAGUCAAAAGGGAAUGAAUGAGACUAGGCUUUGCCGGGUUGGACCAUCAUCCCUUGAAUCUCGAGAUAAAGAAAGCCACUUACGGAAAGAGUGAAAGAAGGCAUGAAGAUGUUAGCAAUGAGGUUAAACUAAGCCACCGUCAACACCAGGCACUAGGACAAGAACUGAUUAAAGAAGAAGAGCUCCUCAAUUCCAUCCUCGUCAUCUCCUCUUUUGACUUCUGUAGCAUCCUAAACGGGGAGAUCUGCCCUCUCGUCUGCCUACGAUACUGGGAAGGCGUACUGGGAGCCUCUAAGGAGGCGCAUAUAUGGUUCUCGUUCUCGAUCAACGGAGAUUAUUGGAAAUCGAGUUUCAAGCCUUAUUAUGAGCUUACCUAUCUACUUAUCUAGCAACUUUUCCUGCAAGAACGAGAGCUGAAAGAGAAAGAACUCUUUCAACCACAGCGACUGGAACAAGACAAGAGGCCCAACUCAAUCAUCAUAGUUCGCCGCGCGCUUGGUCUCUGCUCCGAUCCCGCCUCGUUCUUGACUCGGCUCUUCCACUUACAGGAAGAAUCCUUCUCCGCGGUUCUGACUUGAUAGAAGGAUAGGCAGAAUUCCUUUAAGUAGGUUCCAAGUCUUCCGAUUCCGAAACAAAGUAGUUUCAACUACAAAAGAAAAAGAAGAGAAAAGAAAGUCUCGGUCAAUGAAGUGGAAUCAUUGAAAAAAGAGAAAAGAAAGAUCCAGCCGGUCCUCUCAAAUUCUUUGAGUCUUCAAAGUCAGAGCUAUCCAAAACGCAAUAUUCUUUGCACCUUCGGAGCUUUAAGAUGAACCGAAACGUAAUGAAACUCAAUCGCAUAUUUCAUUGCGCCUCUCAUCAAUCAAAUUUCAUUGAUCCUAACCUAAAUAAAGGCAAUAUUCUUUGCGCCUAAAGGACCUCUUUGAGCGCUCCCGCUCCGUGGGAAGAAAGAAAGGUCCAGGUGACUAUCCAUUAGAACGUUUAGUGGAAUAAGACUUAAAGUAGGGCGCAGUUGAGGAGUGCUCAGAUUUUCGGUUCAUUUUUCCCACUCCAUAAGACAGGGAUAUUGUAAGGAGGAUCAAAGAAUUAUCUCGGAGUUUUCUACCUUUCCAUAAAGAAGUUCAGGAUCGAGAACGAAGCAUAACAUCCUGAGUCAGCUCGAGUCGGGGAGGAAGCAAUAGCUCGCCCAAAGGAAUAAGGAGUUGCUGUGGUUCUGAAAUCGGCAGGGGAAUGAGAUCUUUCCGUGGAAGAUUUGCUGGAGAAGUUGAUAGACCCGAUUGACCUUCUUUAGUAGUAGGAGUGGUAGGGUCAGAUAGGCUAGUUUCUCGGGAUGCUCUUGAAUGAGAUCUUUCAUUCUCAGUUGCUGCUUCAAGGGAAAGAGAUCUUUCUUCAGUGGCUUCGGAAGUAGAACCCUUAGAUCUCGACGAUACCUCUUGAAAAAAGUUCUUGCAGAAGUUUAGAUCGAUCGGCCUUGUUCAUUGACUUUCCCAAGGCAAAAGGCUUUGAAAAAGAGUCUAUUAACUCUGGAUCGGUACCCGACCGGGAAUUCGAACUCAAAGCAAGAUCAAGACUUUAGGAGAGGCGGAGGAGGCGCAUAUUGCGGAGAGGCAUCCCUUUCUCUCGCUAACCCUAGACCGCGGAGUGGGGUCUUAUUCCUUAUGCAGUUUUACCGGUAACAUUAGGCAGUCUCCGCUCCGAGAAGAGUAUUCAUGAUCCGUUAAGGAAGAAGAAAGAGUAAGCCAGGCCCCGGGCCUAGUUGAAUGAAUCAGAUUUAGGAGGGAUUCACUCUUUACUAGGUUUGAGAAUAGCCCUUGUUCAUUGAGGCGGUCCGCCGCUCAAAAAAGAGAGGUUACCGCUCGACUUAGACUGAAGAGGAUAGGAGAAAAGCAAGAAAAGACGGGGACCCACCCAGAGUCCGCUGGAUGAUUGACCGGAACAAGCGUUGGGACGAAAAGGGGGAGAGGUUAGUGCUAUCGUAAUGGAUAUUGAUCUCUCAUGCUGGUAUUUCCUGAUCUGUCUCGAUAUUCCUUCCGAUCCGGUGUGGACUGGGAAGUGCCGAAGAAGGAGAGAGCUGCUCAGUUCUGAGAUCGGAAGUCCUCUCUCUCCUCUGUCUCAGUACUCCUAUUUGAAAAUUCCCCCUGUAUUCAAGUUAUCCGGAGCAUUGAAUGAGUAUAUCUCUUCCAUAACCUCCUUCUCUGUACUGUAGCAAAGGAGAUAAUAGGGGCGAAUACAACUGAAGUAGGGAACCCCACUCGGGGGAGGAAAGGAAGAAAUAGUAGCUCUCCUCUUUUCAAAAACAAAGAAAGCUAGACCAGGACGAGGAUCAGAAAGUCCCUUGAAUCGCCCAGGAUAUCGGAGCAAGAAUCAGACUUCUCCCUUUCGUCGGUAGGUGAAAAGAAUAUUUCACUCUCUCUCUUUCCCCUUUGAAUAGGACGACUAGCGAACUAACUAAGCGGAUAUAAGAAUAAGGGAGGGGUGCGCGGGGAAUAAGCCAGAGUUAGAGGCAGAUGUCUUCUUCCAUCCGUAAAGGAUCAGUUGAUGAAGCAAGAAGAAAAGAAGAAAGCUAGGGAUAGAGAAAGUGAAAGUACAAAGACCCCAAACAAGGCGCAAAGAAUGAGAAUUUUCCCUAUAAGCUUCACUCUUUGUCUUCUUUCUCCGGAGCGGAAUAAAGAAUAGACCCGUAUUUCUCCGGACCAGAAACUAGAAGUUUGAACAAACUAUGUGAAUUGACAGGCCUAGGCUUGAUUCUUUCAUUGCUAUUUCCCGGCUUUUUUGCUUCUAAAUAGGACUUUUUUGAAGAUUGAUAUUUAACGAAAAUAGAGUGAAAAAGAAGGCAUUUGACUUGAAAAGUUGCGUUCCGUAUAGGCCCAAAACCUAGCAAAAUCAUUGAUUUCCCUCCGUCAAAAAGAGAGUAUGGAACUGCCCAUAUUAAGCAAAGAUGUCUGAAAUCUAGCACAAAGAUGCACAUUUUGCAUUCCCAUUUUGAGCUUCUUUCAUUAUCGUUAAUGAGUUAAUUAUUCUUUCAUUAUCGGUUAAUGAGCUGAUUUUCUUUUCCGCAAUAUUCUUUGCACCUUCGGACGGUCGUCUUGACCCUGAUUUCCAUAUUACUAGAUUCGGAGCAUUUAGCAUUAUGAAAUAAAUCAAGAUAAGACUCUUUCGCUUAGAAUAGGUUCCUUGGCCGGCCGCCUCAAACUAGAACAAAUAAGUAGGGUUACGGAAGUCAAUCGGGGAAGAGUAGGACUCUCACCUCGAACUCUUAUCUUUCGGUGUCCGAGCGGUAUGAAUACGAUUAUUGACUGCUACAUUCUUAAUCUCUUUCGUAAUCAGUCUCUGCCAUUCUCAUCUGAGGGAAGGAUUGGGACCAGAGUGCUUGAAUGAAGAUUUCGGUUUUCUUCCCCGUUUCAGAAGCAAGGUAAAGCGUCACAGGGUUCCAAGAUUCCCUAAUGGAUAGUCCUUCGGACCUGUCUUAUGGCACCGCGGAGUGGUCCGGAGGCGCAAUUCAAUAUGCGACUUUGCGCCUUCCUAUCCAAAAAAGAAGGUUACCCAGUUGAGUAUGAGUAGAGGGACGUCUUUCAGGGAGCAAAAGUACUGAAAUUCAGGAAGUCUAAUGGAUAGGACUGAGGCGCAAUGAAAUAUGCCUUGAAUGAUUGUAAGGAGCUUGAUUUUUCAUUGAGGCGCAAGGCUUAGGCCGAGACUUCGUGUCUUGAGGUUUAAGCCGGCCGACCUCAAGGCUUUCGCCGACUAGUUGCCUUUCUUUCCUUCUCUCACCUAUUCUUCUCAUCCUUCUCUCACGGGUCUUUCGAGUGCUUUCCUUGUCCCUUAUUUCUGUCUGCUUGGUUUUUCUCUUCUCGCAUGGGAGGGGGGGUUGUCUGAUGUCGGGUAGCUUAGAGGACCGAUGGUUGACGUCUUUCAACUCCGAUCGUGCUACUUCUUUUACGAAUGGACCGCCUCUUCUUUUCUUAUGUAUCAUUCCUAUGAUUAGAUCGCCCUAGACUGCUAACAUCUAACCCGGCGGCUUUCUUUCCUUUAAAGUCUUGAGAGGAAAAGGCUCGAUUCAACCCAGCGACUCCACAGGUUAAGCUUGAGAAAGUCCUUACAAGAUCCAGUCAAUUAAUUACAAUAUCCCGCUACGUGGGCCAUAGAUCUUUGCACCCUGUUCAUUUCUUUCUUUUUUUCACGCGGGAAGAGAGUGCGCGCUGGUCUUUAGCCUUCUCCCCUCUUUUAGAUAUUAUGUCCUUAUUUAGAAUAAGAUUCUGACACCAACAUAGAUCAAUUUGAUUCCAAUCCUAUAUUGAUAGAUAGGGCCCCACAGAGAGGUCCUUAAGGAUAUUGUGGGGAGAGGGCUUCCUCUCUUUCUUCUCGCUUCCUCUUCUGGGCCUAACCCUCGGACCACCUAUCCAGAUUCCCCUUUCAGCCGAGACAGCGGAUCCAGAAAGCAAGGUUUGCCUCCUGAGGCCUUCCUUUCAAAAGGAAGAUAAUAGAUGAGGCGCAAUGAAAUAUGCGAGAAUGAAGAUCUCUUUUAUACUUAAGAUCUCAGUCUCCCUCUCUUUCUCUCCCGCUCUUGAUAUUUCUCAUAAUCUUUUCUUUGUCAAUAUUCUUUUCACCUUGUUCAUUGAGGCGGCGGUCGCACCUGCGAAAGUGCAUUAUUUAAGUUGAUAUGAGAAAGAUCUCAUUUCUGAAUAAUAAGAUUUCAUAACUAGUCGAUAAGAAUUUCAUCUUCUCUUUCUUUUCUCGAUCUGGAAAUUCAUAAAUAAGUAGAAAGCGUCAAUUCAAAGAAUCUUUUUUCUCUUUCUCUUUAUUAUAAAUAACCCACCGGUAGGUCUCGCAACCGCUCCGUGGGUUCUCUGACUUAGCGCUCCUACUUGAGUGCCUUCUAUCUCCCGCCUAUGGAUCUCCUUAUGAUAUGAUUCAUCCCCUAGUACGCGCACUAGUCCUCCGAUUUCUACGUCCCGAUCCCGUGGUGGGUCCGGGCUCCUAGGCUGAAAUUCUUUAUCACUAUCUUGGAGAUUCUCAAUCUCUAUUUGAUUCCGAACUCACGGAAGGGAUUAGUCUUUCGCUUCCCUUGCGAAGAUGGGCACAACUUCGCCCCUCCCUCUCUUUCUUAUGUAUGCGGUCUCCCCACUUCGCCCCUAAACAAUGAAAUACCAUACCGCCUAAAAAGAAAGCGGAAAACGCAACUCCGCAGGUCAAAUUCUCUAAUGGAUAGGCCUUCGUUUUUGCUCUCUCCCUACCUUUCAGUUUCUAGUCGGACUCUGACUCUUCAAGGACAGCGUCAACAGCAAGGACGGGGACUGCAACUUCAUCAACUUACCGCGUAGUGGGCCGAUGAAAGGACCUAGCCUAGCCCCCUUCUGCCUUCCCUUAACGGGAUACCGACCGCGUAGUGGGCCUUCCCACCUGAUUCACGAAAGAAGGACCUGGAAUCAAGCACUUCUGAAACCGAUGCGACAAGGGCGUCAACACCAGGGACGCCACGCAACUGAUCUGAGACUUCUUUCUUUCACUUCCCUGCCAAUCGAAGGGAUCCUCAUUCAUUCUCUAAGGCGGUUCUUGAGUCGUAUGCCUCUGUCUCUUGAUCGGAAACUUUCCAUGGGUCAAAGCGCCCAUCCAAGCUAAGGGAGAGGUGAAAAGAAGAUUUUUCUCUUGUUGGAUAGGCGAACCACCUACUAGUCAGAUUCAAGCCUACCGUAGGAGGAAAGGAAAGGCAUCAAGAAUAUCCCUGUCUUAUGGCACCUGACUGAACUUUCUCCUAUGAAAGAGAGUUUCUACAGUCACUGAAAGAAGCAACUGAAAGAAAGAACCGACUCUCACGGACCCAAGAAUCCUUCGUGCGCUCUUGGGCGGCCUCUUAUUAAGCUCUUCCUUCCUCAACGCGGGUGGGUUCUUCUACUACUUCUGCAUUCAUUCCUCAACACAGGUAAGUAACUUCGAUCCCUUCUUGCUGCUCCGCCGCGCCUAUGGGAAAUUCUCUCUUGGUCGAGCUGGAUGGUGCUUUGUUCUCGCUGCUAGGUUCUAGCAGCUCUUUCUUCUGCCUCUUCUUGAGUAUUUGUACAAAACGGAUGUGUUAAGAAAAUGCACACACUUAUAUGGAUAUAAAGAAGUCCCGCUAUUUAAUUGAAAGUUCCCUUCUAUAUAUUCUUUGCGCCCCUUGUUCAUUGAUUUCAUGCGCUUCUCAACUCAUAUUAGAUCUCGCCUCUCCCUAUGUAUGGUCGUCCGGUUUAGAGUCCUUCGGACGGAGUGCAAGGAUGAUGAAAGAAGAUUAAGACUUCGUACUUCUUCCCUUGUUUCAUGAGACUGGGACUCAUCCGUCUCUUCUUCCUCCCCCUCAACCGAGACUUCCCACUCACUUCAAGAUCUCAUUCUCACUCUUCUAAAGAAAAGAAAUAGAAAAGCCUACAUCUCGCCUAUGGAAAGGGUCGUAUUCAGACCUAUCCUUGCUGAGGCAGCUGAGCUCAUAAGCCGAUUCUGACUUUUGAUGUGAGACAGCUACUCAUGAAAGAAGACUGAUAACCGCCUCCCUGAACAAGGUGAAAAGAAGAUUGAAUCCGUGGGUUUGGAAGAAUUGAAUUUGGUCUUCCCUUUCUUAAGAGAGAAUGAAUAGUUCGUCCUACCGCGGAGUGGGGGGCCCAUUCAACUGAGACUUCUGCCGAUGAGGCUUUUUCAACUUCCACAGAGAAUGCUACCUUGUAAAUACCCUUCCACGAGACAAGGUGGAGAUUCCAGUCGUCGAGCCAUUUCUUCUUGCAACUGGAAGAACCUCUCAUGACUCUCUCUCUUUCAUACUCUUUCUCAUUCCACUGCUGCCCUAGCCCCGUCAAUGAACAAGGGUGGGGGCUAGUUCUAAGGGGAAAGCUUCUCCUGUCAACUCGGGAUAGACCCACAAACACAAAAGAGAAAAAAGAAUUACCAGACGGUGUCCAUUUUCACAUGAAAAGGAGAUUCGGCAUUCGGAAUUAGAUGCAUUGGCAGUCGAGCUGAAAUCUUCUUUGAACCUAGCCUUUCCAGUCAGAGAAUAAGACCUCUGUAGCAUCCGCAACUGAUCAUACUCAUUCCACUUAUGAAGACUGAUGACUAUAGUCAAUGCCCACUACGCGGGGAAAGGGGUGUCCGAUCCGGCCCUAUAUAAGAGGCUCCUAAAGGAGGAGCAACUGCGCUCUUCCCAGAAGGGAAGGAGACUGGACGAGAUAGACGCAGAGCUUCUUAUUGGGCUACCGGAGGAGCACGGCCACUACGGAGGAUGAUUCGUCAUCCUCAGAUUUCAGACGAUUCCCGCAUUUAUCAGACUAAGAGGUCAAGCCUCUACCGAUGCCAUUCCCGGGCAAAAGCUUGCUCGCCUAUAUUCCCCUUUCCCCGGUGGUUAACUUACCAUAAAAGGAUUAGUUGCUUAACUUACUCUUUUCCCUCGUAAAUCCGGAAACUCUCCUGCCGGCGAUUACGUGCUUCGGUUCUCUCCGAUCCGACCCCUUGGCGGGGAAUAGCCGGUCCGACCCGACCCGAAAGUCUAAGGUUUUCCUCCGUCUCAAUCCCCCGUCACCUGUCCGGAGGAUUUAUCCGUAGGACUAUCCAUUAGAAGCAGGAUUUAUCCGUAGUCCGGACCCUGGACCUUUCUUUGGCACUAGCAAAAUCAUGUAUUUCACUCAAGGUUAUGAAAUCAUAAUUCUUCUUUCAUUAUCGUUAAUGAGCUUCUUUUCUUUUUCUUUUUUAGUUCACUUCCACGCAAUAUUCUUUGCUCCUCAAAUUCAAAGAGCCGGAGGCUCCCUCCUUUGGAGUAGUCCUUUAUCAAGCUUAACCUGUGGUCUAAUCAAUUUCUUAAGAAUCUUUGCUCCUCAAAAGAAAGAAUGUCCAUCUGAGUCAGAAACCGCAUCUUUGCAACCUUUGGGAUCAUGACUCCCAGGCAAUAUCAAUAUUCUGCUUUCUUCCUUUCACAAGGGGGUCCGCUAUCAAGUCAGAACCUUUCACUUUCCGAUUUCAAUGAAGAAUUCAAUCUUCUUCUUUUUUCCUAUUGAUCUCGUAUUCAUACUUCUAGGGGAAGAAGGAGCUAGCUACUAAUCCGACCAGCCGCACCCAAGGCAUCCUCCUAACUCAGACUUGAAGAAAGUAUUCGUCACACCGCUCGGCAUCGCUUCGCGCUUCCAAAGAAAAUGGACUAGAAUAUGGACUAUAAUACAGGGCGCGGGGGGAUUGAAUAAAGGGAUUUUCAGAAGGGGAAGUGGGAACCCCAUAUCCUCUACCCGACCCGAAUGCUUGGACUCCCACGUAGCGGUCAAAACUUCCAUUUUUGGAUGAGAAGGCUGGAUGAAAUUCAGUCGAGUGAGGCUGAAUUCAUAUUCGAAAGGACUGCCCUUUUUCUCUUUUAUCAAGACUACUUUAUCCUAUGCGGCUCGAAGCCCACGGAGCGGGAAGAAGCAUAAGAAGUCAUCCGCGGUCAAAAGUCGAAAAGGAGAAUUACCGCGUAGUGGGUGAGUCAACUUCUCUAGAAGACUCGCACCGCGGGAAAAUGAGUGAUCCUUUGCUUGAUCUUUCUCAGAAUGAACUUCAGACGAGAGGUGAAAACGAAAGUCAAGGACUUAGCGAAGAACUCCUGUCCUCGAGAAGAGGAUAAAAAAGGGUAAAGACUACCCCACAGAGGGGUAGGGUCCGGCCACCAUUUCCGGAGAAUUAGUGGAUUGGUAAAUCCCUUUACGAGCCCCAAAUGUGAACAUGGCUUCGGCAGUCCUUAGUCUUUCGGAAGAGAAAGAAGGCUAGGGAAGAUCUCUUUAGUUGGAUUGAGUGAGGGAAGAGGAAUAGGUUGAUCAGAAAAUGAAGUUCUUUAAGCCCCUGCCCUGGCUUUUUUUUUCUCUUGCUUGCAUUAUAGAUCGAUCGGUAUUCCCACUCCAUCCACCCAUCUCCUUUCUUAGACUUCUACUUUCAGGAUUCGGAGGGAAUGAAAAGAUUCUCCUCCGUAGCCCUUUCCAGUAGUGCCCCGAGAAGCCGGUCACCGGUAGGCUAAGAACUCUACGAGUUGAAAGACUUUCAUGCCACCGGAUGAUUUAGUGUGCAAAUGGGUUCAAGAAAACUCUUUCACUGAAAUUGGGGGCCCAGUAUACCGCGGAGUGGGAUUCAUUCGAAAGAAGGAAGGGUACGACCUGGUGGGGAGUGGGACGGAGCUCAUCUCCUUUAGUUGGGUCCGCUGGAAAGGUUGCAGUUGCUUUUCUUCUUUCAGUGGCAGGAGCAGGAUGAGCGGAGAAAAGAAUGAACUCAUGAAGAGAAGAGAGAAAGCCGAUCCACUAUCGGGUCUUUUCAUUCCUAUGCAUUCAGAUAGAAAGAACCCUUGAUCUUUCCGACUAGUCUUCUUCAGAAAUGGAAUCCGCCCUUUAUUAGUGAGAAUGCAGAAAAUCCAAGGGCCCACUUGCGCUCCCUCGCUCGAUAGGCUUUCGCUCCGUCUUCCUCUGUAUCAGAUCUCUCUCUUAAGAUAUAAAUAAGUCUAAGGCUAAGAAUAAGUUCUCUUAAUCUCGCUCCGCGGUCAAAGAAAAUUGAGAAAAAUCAUAAGUUCAGACUUCGGAAGAUCUUCAUCUCUUUCGAAAAGCCAGGGCAAGCCCUGGGUCUGGCAGAGUAUCAACCGAUGGUUAAGAAGGUUAGACUUUCCAUGAACUAUCUACACCCGUCACCUGGACCAUAUGAAUUAGGCGAAGGACUGAUUUAUCAAGCUGAACUUUUGAUUCUAAUUCUCGGUUUUCAGUAGAAAGUUUGAAUUCUAAUAUUCAGUAAUUGCUUUUAGUCAUGAACGAGGCUCCAUAAGACAGGGAUAUUGUAAGGUGCGAGGAUACCUUACUUAAUUAAGAGAAAGAGGAUGAAGUACAGGAAGACUGAUGACUUCUUCUUUCAUCCUGAUCCUUUUUCGGUAGCAGGAAUUCUUAUCAGUUAUCUUUCCUCAGUCACUGUAAUGGGACUAGCCCACUCAUCCUAGUACUCAUCUGAUGAUGGAAUUUCCGAUUCGGAGUUCUAUUUUGAUUCCGGAUUAGGAUGAAGAAGGUUGUCUUUCGCGGACCUUAUAUCUCUUCUGUCGUACGUUAUCGUUCUCAGCGCUUCCUCUUCCUCUUUUAGUCGAGCCACGCUAGACCUUCCCUUUCUUUUCUCUUUCCACUUCUAAUCCUGAAUAUCUUCCUUAUCAAUGAUCUUUGCUCCUCCUUCUAGGAAAACUAUGGAAGUAAAGAUAUGGAGUUCUUUUUAUAUAUAGAAGUUUAGAUCACCAAAGGGAAGCAUGCAAAGUCAAACUAUUAUUUUGAACUUCAAGAAGAAUGAGAAGUCGAGAAAGAUCUAAUACUCACUUCCCAGUCGGUUCUCAUAUGAAUUCAGCCUUUUCUUAUGUGAUUUUCCCGGUAAGAGAAAGAGGAAGCCAUUAGUGACCAACUGCCAUUGAAUGAAUCAGAUUUCGGGUUCCGUAGCUGCUGAUAUAUAUGGAGGCAGUGGCUCUUCUUCCAGUUGGACGCGCUAUCACUCAGAAUUAGUACGGUCUUGAAAUCGAGGAUCUUGAACGAGAAGAUAAAGAGACCGAUCUCCAUCAUACCCGGUGGCUCGUGGCUCAGUUCUUUCUUCCAUUAAGAAAGGGAAUUACCAGUGGAAAGUACUCGGUCUUCAUCUGUUGAUACAGACAUAAUAUCUCAGAAUUCCUUGAAUUAUCUCUUUUGAUUAUCCGUUGAGGCAGAAGCAAGAAAGAAAGAGUCAUGAGAAGGAGCUGAGUCAAGUUAAGUCGGAGCAGCUAUCCCUAGAAGCAAGGUAACUGAAAGAAAAAGCGAGAUCAAUCGUCGUUCCGGAUCGAAAGAGAAAGAUCCAGCUUUCAUAGUGGCUCGACUUUCUAUUAAGUAAGAGAAAGCGCCUAGGUUAUGAGAAUAAGCGUCAGACAGAGUCCGCUAGAUCCGUGGAAGAAGGCAGAGCGGGAUCGAUCCGAGAGGAGAAAGGAAAGAGUGAGUUUACGAACGAGAGGAAGCGAGUCUCAUUCAGAAGAGGAGGUACCAGCCCUUUCCUUUCCAUUUCAGAAGAGGUCGUAUUCAUUCUAUCUAAUAGUGGAAAAAAUACAAGAAAAGAAGAGUGGAAUUAUAACAUAAGAGGCUCAAAGAAUUUGAGAAAGAGGUUAAAGACAUAAUAUCUCAAGAGGAAAGCCACUAAACCUAAAAAUAAUACGGAAAGCCUAGCCUUCUCCGCCGCAAGAAUGAAAUGGAAUAAAUCAGUCCAAGAAAUUCAAAGUGGAAGGCUGAAUAGGGAAUAGGGGAGGACUAGUUUGAAAGAAAGGAUAUAAGAGGAAGGAAUUGAAUUUUGAUGCAAAACAAAAGAAAAGGAGUGUUAACAAAAAAAGCCUUACUAGAGAGAAAGCCUUCUAAUGGAUAGGACUCCGGACUGGAAGAUUUCCGCUUGAUUUUAAGGUUUAGGAGAGGCUGAAUGAAUUGAGUGAAAGAUUAUACAUUUUUAGCUUCUUAAUCAGUUCAUUAACGAGAAUUCAAGAAUAAUUCAGAUUUCAUAACCUUGUUUUUACGGAGGGAAAUACAUGAUUUUGCUAGGUUUUGGGCCUAUAAAGUAGCAAGAAAUCAAGUAAAAUGCCUUCUUUUUUCUCUAUUUUCGUUAGAUAAGAAAAGUCGAAAAAGUCCUAUUUAGAAGCAAAAAAGCCGGGAAAUAGCAAGGCAUUGUCCUAUUUGAUUUUCGAAAUUCACAUAGUUUGUGAAAACUUCUAGUUUCUGGUCCGGAGAAAUACGGGUCUAUUCUUUAUUUCACUCCGUCUGCAAUCUCAAAAUCAAUGAAGGAGUACAAUGAACAUCAUAAUGAUUCUUGAAUUCGAGUUAAUGAGUGAAUUAUUCUUUUCUUUUCUUGACUUUUCCGCCAUAAGACAGGUCCUCCGGACGGUGCAAAGAAUAUUGCUCAGAUUUUCGGUUCUCAAAUUUCAUUGAUCCAUUAGAAUGUUCGCAGCUUAAUAUGUGGGAAGGAGGAGUCUUAUUCCUUGCCAAAGGGAAAGGGAUUCGAAAUCUCAAUCUGUAUUUAUUUCAAGUGGUUUUGUUUUCAUAUAUGGGCGAUCGAGUUUACCUUUUACUGGGUCAUUAAUGCAUCAAUGGAGUCAAUUCUUUCUUCUGUUUUUUUAGAAGUAGGUCGGCCUUGAUGUAUAUAUAGAAUACUUCAGUUCCCACCUCCGUGUGUAUUGCGUCUUUGCUUCAAUCCGGGUCAACGAAGUCAACUUCCUUUCCUUACCUUAAGCCGAAGGAACCCGUACCUUUGCCGCUGGUGCUACUUCAAUGGAUUAUGGGUAAAUGUUAACGUUAGUCUCUAAAAUAAUAGGAAGGGCUUCCGGGAUUAUUCAGUUCUAAGGGGAUCUGCCUUUGCUUGUGUCUCCACCUGUGCCCGCCUAAAAAAUAAGCUUGAGAAAUGAUGGGUCGGUUGUGGGAGGUAGGGAUCCGUCCCACGUAGCGGUUGGAAUGCCGCGAAUUUUGUGGUACCUCUAGGGCUGGCUGCUCUCGACCCGAGAGGUAAACGAAUGCUCUGCGAAUUGCUAUCUAAACCCUAGUAAGUUCCUGCUGCCUUUCUUUACCUGCUGAUAGGUUCUCAACGGAGACUAGUCCUUUUGCUCUUGUCUCUGCCACAGCUGCCUCUGCUGGUUCGUUUGGAUGCUCCAACGUCUGCUUCAACCGGCGUAUACAAGAUCAAUUGAAAUUGAAAAAGACUGAAAAUGGAAUUUCAAUUGCCGAAACCCCAUGCCAAGAUUUCAUUCAAGGCCGUCCAGCGAAUGCUCGUUCUGUUGUCAUACAGAAUCGGAAGCCCCUUCUCGAUCUCAUAAGGCUGAUCCGUCGGAAAGAAGACAGAACGAACUGGAUCGGAGAAAGAAAAUCGAAAUCGUCAAAUAUUAGAAUAGCGAAUAGUUCUUACAAUAUCCCUGUCUUAUGGAGCCUAACGGAGAGGUCCAGAUGAAAAAUAGCAUUUUACAGUGAUUUCAAAUCCAGAGGUUUCCCGUACUCGAAAAUCUCUUCCCUCUUUCGGGGUUACCUACUUGAGGGCUUAUAAAUGGCUUUGGCACAAAGAACCUCUCCAACGAGAGAGAUAAUAAUCUUCAUCUUUUGUAAAAGAAAGAAUCAAGUCCACCGGGAGACAUUCAUACAUAAACCGCUCUACCGUAGUUGUUCUUGGCCGCCCCAUUGUUGUGUAGUUUAGUUGAAUUUGACAUCUGCUACGACCCGCUUGUUCAAUUAUUGAUAUCUCUCAACCUGUCGCUGAAGUCACCCAUGCGCUCGAACGACCUUUAAUGGAAUGGGUACUCGAGACCGCCUCACCCUAAACAGACACUGGUGGAAUCAACCCUAAGGCACCCCUUUACUGAUUGGUCGAAGAUCGGUGACUGCAAGAAAAGGGCCUAGCUAAGGCGCCAACUAUUUAGUCAUAUUCAUGCCCUUCUCCCAAGAGUGGAAGAAAAGGCUACCGACUUGGCCUACUUUGACUACGCUAUUCUUCCCAUUUCGAAAGAAGCAGAAGGGGAACCCCUAGAACCUGGCAAAGUCGACAACAGAUUCAAUAGCUGGGGUGGGGAUCUUGCUAAGAAUUCAACUCCUAACCAACAAUCAUAUAACCGGGGAUCCUCUCCUCCCUUCUGGCCAUUGAAAGCAUGAACAUUGUUCUUAGGAUUCGUUCAAAAAAAAGAGCAUUUCCCUAAUCUAAUGCCAUGCCCUGAGUCCUAAUCUCCUAAUGCCCGUACUCCAAGAGCUAAAUGGCAUCGCAAUAUUCUUUGCGCCUUGCUUUCGAAAUCUUCUGAUCGCCAUUCUCUUCUUUACAGUCGAGCGUCUGAGAACCUUGCUAUUCCGAGCCUUAGGUCAAUCCCUUCUUGAGCAACCGAUGAAAUACCAGCUUCUUCGAGAACAGUAAGAAGAGUAAGAGCUGAUUAGUUAGCUGCCAAAGGACUCUUCCUCGUCAAUUACAUUGCCUUCUGUAAGAGCUAUUGAUCAUGUCUGCUAGUCUUCUGUUUACAGGAAAGGAAGUUGAAAGAGGCAUGGUACGAGAGGAAAGCCUCACGGCCAAUUCAGCUAAGUGUCAAAGACCGUUGACAGCUACUGCUAGUCGCAAACCUUCUCUUCUGAAAGAACCUAUUUGCCCACUGACUUUCAGCUCUGUAAAAGAAGCCCUUCCCCUAUUGAGUGCCACUUCGAUAAUUCUUUGAUCCUCUUCCUAUUCAUGCAAGAACAGCACAUUCUAUGCCAUCUUCCUUAUAUUCUUAACCGCAGACAAGGCCUGUAAUUCAUCUGCUGCCCAGACCAGCUACUCCUGUAAGCAAGGUUCGCAAGAUAGUUUGUCCUGUCCAUCCUUUUCUACAUCUAUCGCUGAACCAACUGACAAGAUAGGCCGGCUGGAAAAGUUCCCCAAGGCCCGCCCCCUGAGUGAUCAGCUAAGUCAAACUCCAAGAUCUUUGGAGCUAACAGCCGUACUAGGAACCCUAUCUGACUGAAAUGUAUAUAUAUAACGUUUCGUUCGUGCACCUUUUGAAUUCAAGGUAUAGCUCAAUCUAAUUGAAAGAACCCUUACCGCUCCGUGGGGGUCUCGCUCAAUAACAUUUCAGAUUUCUUUAAGGGAAAGCGAAAUGAGAUUGAACCCACCCGCAAUGAAGGUAUCGCAAAAUCAGAAAUUCAAGAUCGGCUCUCUUACAUUGAGUGAAACCCAGUGACGCGGGAUCGGCUCGAUGUCCUUGAGUCUUGACCUUUCAUUCAUCUUCUUCUCUUAUCAAAUUUCUCAAAUUUCUCUCGUCUUUGCACCUCUCUCCAAAUUUGUCUGUGCAAUCAGAAAACCCACUUGGCUCAAUAACCGGAGAUGAAAUAGUGAGGGUUAGGUUUAUUAGCUAAAAUGAAGAAAAUGCAUAUGGCUGGCAUCAACUUUUUGAUGAAAAUCAGUCAUUGGCAGAAAUAGCUAUUUUAGUCAUUUUAUAACAAAAAAGACGGGGUUUCUGUCAACUGAUCGAGGUAGAUAAAGACAGGUUUCCAUUUGCUUAACACAUUUCAUUCUCUUCUUCGGUUUGUGGUAAAGCUCUUUCUUUUUAUCGGUCAAUUCUUCCCUCUUCUUUUCAAUUUCAACUCCGAUCCCGAUCCCGAAAGGUCAAGCUGCAAAGCCCCUUUCCGCUGUCGCUGCGCUCCUUGACUUAACCUUUUUUCUUUCACCUCGUAACUGGGUUGAACCUCAGUCAAUUACAUCGACCCUCUCCUUGACUUAAGCUGCUGCAACGGCCAUCAACGGCAACAAGUGGCGUCAUCGGAUGAAGACUUCUGCUUUAGGUGAUUCGGGAGCGGAUGCGUCUCUAUCUUUGGAUUCUGAGUCGGAUACUUCCUUCAUAUGAAGCUACUUCCCCGGUCUUUGCGUAUGCGUCUGUCGAUCCGUCUUCGGAUUCGGCUUGGAUCUUAGACUUCUCUUUCUCUAGUGGCAGCUGCUUCUUCAGAUUAGAAUCGGAUUAUUCUUCUUCUCUUCAAGAGUUGAAGUUGAACAGGCGCACUCACUGAAGGAAGCCUUCCGACCCGGAAGAGGCCUAUGGAGCUGGUUCGGAUUGGGAAAGAGCGGGCACCGAUCCUCUCUUUUAACCCUCGAAAGAGCGAUUGCCGGGAAUAGCAGGACAAAGACUCUCUUUUUCAUAUCUUGUUCAAUGGUCUUCGGCCUCCAACUAUCUUUCUUUCUUUAGCUAAGGACAAGCCAAGCUAGAAGUUAGAAUCGAAUUGAAUAAAGUAAUGGUCGAGAUCGAUAUCGCCGGGCUAGUGCGGCUCGAGGAGAAGAUAGGCAGCUCGACUCCUCGAGGAAAGGGCUAAAAAGGCUUGACUGAAAGGGAAAGGGGUAGGGGUUGGAAAAUGGGAUUCUGGUGAAAGCGCUAGAAAGAGGAAAUCAAGGAUUGUCCACCAUCAAGUAUCUAGUUGCAGGGGGGGGAGUUUCACCGACUAGUAUAUAUUCUGAGAAUUCUGGUCGAAGAAAGAGCCAAGCCGUUAUUAGUGGCUUCAAAACGGGAUAUCGCUGCUUCAAAGGAAGGCAAGGCAGACCGAACUACAAGAGCAUUUGGCAACUAUCGCUAGAAAGAAGAAGGCAAAGUCAAAAGGUCAGUUACUCGACUCGCUACAAGAGCUCCACCAACUAAACUAGCAUGUAAUGUUGCCGGGAGGCCUGAAAAAAGAAAGCGCUUUUUUCUUUGGGUGGCACAGCAUGGGAUUGCCUUAGUUGAGUCUCUCGGACGGGAAGAAAGGGAUUCCGUUCCAUUUCCUUUUUUAAGGAAAAGAGGCCGUAGCCCGAUCUCAACUGGUUACCAGACGCGUGACUGAGUUCUCGGUUUUGGCAGUUCUGGGCAUUGGUUCACGACUGCGCUUUCCAAGGUAGUUCAGAAGGGCACCCGCGCAUUCUUUUCAUUCAACUGGGCCUCGUGAAUGGGAGCUUAUCUCAUUCCUCCAAGUCUUGGCGCGACUCAGCUCCCACAUCCCAGGCGUGUUUUUGACCCCAUUCUCGCCGUUCUCAGGCAACCCCGCUCACCAGAACGAGUUAUAGGCCUCGGACUUUAGCAAAGGAAGCUAAAGUGAGUAAGAGAUGCUAUUCUUAUAACUUCUAAAAGGAUUCCUUGUCUUCGACCUCCCCUCUGAAAAAGCGUUCUCAAAUUCUUUGAUCCUUUCUUUCCCAUCCCAAUAGCUUGAAGUGGAAGCAUGAUAGCCGAUGUGCUCAAAGAAAGAGAGAAAUAUUCUUUCAUAAUAGAUCCGUGAUCGGUAUCAACAAAAAGAGUCUCACAUGCAUCUCUUUAUUCACUAGUCUUCCUAGCCAAGAGAGACCUCGAGAUAUUCCAUACAUACGGAAAGCAUGCCGCGUAGUGGAGCAAUUGCUUAGCUCGUCAGGCUCAAGACCCCCACGUAGCGGUUAGAGGUGGAAAUCCUGUCUCCGCAACAUCCUUCUAUUUGUCUCACAUUCAUCAACCCUUGUGGGGAGAGACGAGGUUCUCCUAACAAUGGACCUCGUCUCAACGAGUUCUUUCUUGAAGGGAAGCAGUACUUAAGCAAGAGGGGUCUCACGGUGGAUCGGAGAAGAUACUCCCUUGUAUUCUUAUUCUUAGUCGAAGCUAUGCAUGAGUGGAUCUCUUCUCUUGAUGAGGAAGCAAAGAAGCAGAGCGGUAUAAGCAAUUCCUCUUCUUAAUAGACCGAGAUAAAAGAGGUUUCAUUCCACUAGAUUGAAUGCAUCCUUCAUCUUCAUAGACCUUACCGCUACGUGGGGGGAAAGAAAGAGAGAAUGAAGGUGAAAUUCAAUUCACCUUUGUGCCUUAAAUUAAAUAGCAUACACAGGAAUGAAACCCGUUGAUUGCUCCGACAGCAUAUGUAUCCAUAGCCUGGCAGGCGCACACAUGGGAAGACUGGAAUUAGCCGAUGAUCUGACCUGAUGGAAUAUUAGAGUGGAACCUACCUCCUCAUCUUAGGAGUGGGCAUACCGCGCGAGAGGGCAAUAGCGAAGGGAGCGGCGUACCAAGACAAGAAAAAGAAAAAGCACAAGAUGGAUAAGCUUGCCUCAAACUGCCAUUAGUGUACUAUAUAGAUAGACGGCUAGGGGUCAUUGAACCCACCAUAGACAACUUUCCUGUCCCGUAAUCCGACAGAAAGAAUAUCUACUAAUGGAAAUUGUGCGCUCUGUCCUUCUUUCUUUUAUGGGGUGGUUUAUCUGAGGCCGACUUCUGAGUUAUUCAGGGAAAAGCAGCGAGACCGUUUUGAAGCUUUACGAGGUUAUCAUACGACUUCCCACGGAGUGGUCUGAAUAUCUGAUACUUAGUUUGGGCUUCCUUUUCUCAAUCGUCCAUUCGUCAAUCUCUAGUGGGGACGCCUCCCUCUAAGAAUUCUUUGAUCGCUAAGUCGACCAAUUCCUCUACUCGGACUAGACCGAAGCAGCGGAUUCGCUACCUAAAUUUAAGGCGGAAGACGUAGCCUGGUUCAUAAUUUUUGAUUGAUACUAGAAUUUCAUUGUGUAUACAGUAAAUAAAGGAAUAAGAGGUUCGAACUCAACUUUCUAGUUGGCACAGCUCCCAUCGCUUGAACUUCAAGUUCAACUUCCUUCCUUUUUCGGUAUGAGGGCUCAGUCAGACUUGGGCAUGAGAAGAGUGUCAGCCAAGUUCGUUGGCAUUACAUGCCUUAGCGCAGGAAGAGAUGCCUUGCCCUGCGUGGUCUUCCUUUAUUCAUGCGGCGGAAGCUAGCGACAAAAGAUAAGGCCAGCACAGUAGAUGUCUGGACGGGCGUCAAAGAGACUUAGUCAAGGAUUCUCCCAGGUUGGGGCGCUCGCUAUGCGGACGGAUGCUGAGCCUGAAUUUCCUCUCCAGCCUGAUCCAGAGUCAUCUGUCUCAGUUGAGUUCAUUGUUCAGACCGCCUGAAUCUCAUUUCAAAUUCUUCCUCUCAAGUAAGAAAUUCUCUCCACUUCCACGCUUAGACGAUAGGCUACUGCUUAGCCGCUUUUUUGCUCUACUCGCAGGACUUUUUCUUGCCUCCUCACCUUGGAAAUGAGUCCACAUCUGCUAGCAGUUUUCGAAAAUUCUGAUGAAAGAAUAUGGGACUGCUCUCUUACAUGUCCACCAAGCGCGCCAAGCUAAGAAGAAAAUCAUACCCACGGCAAAUCCAUGAAAAGGAUUCUGCACUCCCUCGCGUAGUAGGAUAGGCUUUCUUCCCCUAUCUCUUCUUAUGGCGGCUUUCCCACGGGGCGGUAGGUUCAGAUAUAAGAAGAUAUAAGGAAUAAUCAAGCUCUUCUUCUUCUUUCUUCUCUUUUUUAUUUACUUAGCCAUUCUUUGAUUUGAAUUGAGUUCUCGUAUUAGUAUUAUCUUUGAAGGAGAGAUGGAAGGAGACCUACGGGCCGGAUUUACCGCGUAGUGGGUUAGUAGGGCUCAAGGGAAUUCUCUUGAAACUAGGCUCGGAGAGGAGAAAGCCUACCCUCCAAAUGAAUAGACGAAAGAAGAAAAGGAAAGCGAUGAAUAAGAAAGAAAAUGGAGUGAAAGGAUCCGGAUCAUUCUUCUUCCUCCUCCCCUCCUGAAAGGGAUGAGUUCGGGCCGCCACCAGGCCUUGAUUCUGGCUUAUGAGCUCGGCUUGCCUCCCGUCGAUCGUAGAUAAGGUGAUCGGACUCCGUGAUGAAUCCUUCCACUCGUGAACUCGGGAAAGCCUAUCAACCAAGUCAUCAAGAUCAAGCCUAGCCUGAAUGAACAAAGGUUCCAGGGAAAGCCAUUACACUCCUAAACAAACCUCUGACUUGGGAGACUCCUAAACCUCGUCUGCUCGGGAAAGGGCUUCCUUUCUUCUUCUUUUCUUCUAUGAAUCAAAUACCUUCCCAUUCAAAUAGUGAGAUGAUAGUAAUCCAACUCCAACUCUUGAGAUAAUUCUUUGAUCCUUUACUUUCUCUUACAAGAGCUAAAACUCUCCCGUAGGUCUGCACUUGCACUCCUCUCUCUCGACUGAUAUAACUCCUUACUCUUCCCCUUCUACUAAUCAGAUAGUUCAAUCAUAAUUCAGUAAAGAUGCGAAUGAAAUAAGAAGAGAUAAUCAGAUUUCAGGGGUUUAUCCUUCUCUUUCAGUGUCUCAUGAAAGAAUUCCGAAAAGAAAUUCCUCUUUAGAUAUUAUGAUAUAUCUUUUUCUGGAGUCCGGAUUGCUCCUGCGUCUUUCUUUACCUUUCAUCCUUAAGUUUCUCUGACUUGAAGUAGGUUUAGGAGUGAAAGGCCUUUCUAUUUGCGUGACGUAGAUCGAUAGUGAAUUAACGACUUAUCAAGAAGAGCGGACUCGCCUCAACCUUUGUUCAUUGAUUCAGUCCUUAUAUUCACCUUUUAUUUGCCGCCUGAAUUCUGUGGAAUCUUUGACUUAGUGGAUAAAAAAGGUCAGUCUUCCGCUUAUUAUGAGAUUUCUUUGCACUCGACCUAAUACCUUUCCUGCCGGUCUUUCCGUUGAGAAAGACGCUUUUCAAAGAGUUUGGAGAUGAGGGCUGAUGUUCUUUCAGGUAUCUCUCUUUUUUCCUAAUGCCUUCUUUCUUCAUUGAUUGACUUCCCAAGAACUCUUACGUGAAAACUUCUUGCUCACCCGCGCGCUGGGCUUCUCCCUUUGCCUUUGUAGAUAAGCGAUGAGCCGACUUUCCAGUUCUUCGUCUUGACACACCUAUAUUAUUAAUUAAGAAAUCAGUCGUACUCGCCGAUCCAAUGCUAUUCAACGGAAAGAGAGACCUCCUUCCCGCUACGUGGGGAAAAACAAAGGUCUAGAUUUACUGACUCAACUCGGGAAAGAUCUCAAUGUGUAGACGGGCGGUCUAAAGAAGGUAAGAGAUUCCAUUCCACCUGUGCCUGAGGCCUCGUCUUUCUCUCCGAGUUCGAGAUCCUCUUUCUUAGUGUGAUUUCUGACUUUCUCUGGAUUCUAUAAGAUAGAAAAGGCCUUAGGCAACUCAGACGAUCGAAGGCAAGAAGAACUCAAGACAGCCGACUCGAACCACUCCUGGCCGGCCGUGCUUAUGUCUCUCAUGAUCGUUCCGAGAUUCUAUAUGAUAGGGGAAGAACUCAAAAAAGACCUUACCCGCCGAUAUGCCUCGUCUCUCCUCGUACGGGUACAGAGGAUCACCGUCGGCCUGAACCAUACCAUACAAUGAGAGGAGGGAAAGUUCAUUCUUUUUUCAUGUGUAUUUGCCGGGUUGUCCACCGCGGAGUGGGUCUUGGAUCUGGUCACAAUUCAAGCAUAAUCGUAGCCUCUCCGCCCUAAACCAACUCCAUUCCUUAACUCCUCUGGCUUGUCUUCAGGUUAGAGAGACGGGGAUAAAGAAAAGUCUCGUGAAAGGAUCUCAUUCUUCCCGCUGAUGGUCUGAAUUGUCCUUGGAUAGAAAGAAAAGGAAUAAAGAAAGGUGCGUCUUUCCCAUUCAUUUUUGGAUGAAAAAGAUUUCAUGGAAAACAAUUAGGGCGGGAUCAGAAGCCUAGGCUUGACUUCUUAUGGUAGGCUUUCCUGGAGAUAGUUGAUCUUUUCUUUUUCUUUCGAUCAUUCUUUCUCAUAUUCAUUCACCCGCGUAGUGGGGAGCAGCAAAGGUUAAUAUGGAUUUCUGAGGACUGAGGAUCAUCAAAAACAAGGUUGAAGAUGACUCGUCAGAGGACUCUACCCUAUUUAGAGCGCAGAUAAGUUGUUUUCUCAUCAUAACCUUCCCUUCGAUAAAAAGACAAAAGAACCGAUACGAUAUUUCCGAAAAAGGCUGAUAAGCCUUUCUCAAAUGUGAAGUUGGCUUUCUUUUUAGUUUGCAUGAGGGAUGUCUUCGCUUCCUUCAUAUUCUACAUCCGUUUCACUUCGAACCACCCUGAUGUGCGUGGGUGGUUCUUCAGCCACGUUCACUAGUAUUCUCUCUUAGUUGUCUCUUAGAUUAGAUGAGACGCCUUCGUCUUAGGCCUGCGGAUGAAAGCUGACUUCACGCUUUCCCCCCAGCCCCUCGGGGGAGGAGAGGAAGACGGAGUUUGACCUUUCAGGAUAAGCCUUUCUAAAAUGGUAACUACAACCAAUAUGCACCGAAACGGGUAAAAUAGUCCUCACAUUCAAACUCUCGCGCGGUUCGGAGGUCAAUUCGACUAGGACCCUUCUUUUCCCUAUGAGAUUCAUAACGGAGGAUACCGGAAAGGGAAGACAGACUAGGGAAUUCGUAAUCGUCAGAAAGUAGGGCUGAGGAUAUUCUUUCGGAGUAGCGGAAGCGUAGCGUAGCGGACAGCCUGAAACUACUUUGACUUCCUCCUGUCUUUCUCAGGAGCGGAAUCAAGAAUAGACCUCUCAGUAUCCGGAAAAGAAACUCAAACUAGAAGUCUUCAUUGAUUUUCCCUAGAUUUUUCUAAUGGACCAGUUGCUAUUUCCCGGCUUUUUUGCUUCUAAAUAGGACUUUUUUGAAGAUUGAUAUUUAACGAAAAUAGAGUGAAAAAGAAGGAAUUUUCAUGAUUUCUUGCUACUUCCCUAUGGGCAAAACCUAGCAUUUCCCUCCGUCUUCAAUCUAGCAGAUUCAUUUUGAGUACAAUGAACAAGGUGAUGAAAUCAGAAUUCUUCUUUCAUUCGAGUUAAUGAGUGAAUUAUUCUUUUCUUUACUACAAGUCUUCUUCUUAUGAAAUAUGAUUCAAAUAAGAGAUAGUCCGAAGGCUCAAAGAAGAUUGAGAUAGCUAACGAGUUUUUUGACUGAUUUUUCAUGACUGCCAGCCAUACCCAAAACAAACCUUGCAAAAGAGGUCUUUCCCGCUCCCUUCCCUUGACUGGGAAAUGGUAGUAAGCUCCGGUGGUCGGAAGUCUGAUUGAAUGAGUCACUGACGAAGAAGGAGAGAUAGGGAUCGGACACAUCUCAUGCGGCGGACUCCUUCCCCUGCUUUUAUCGUAGUUCCUACUGAUCGAUUCAUCAAGAGUACUGUCCUAGACUGAGUUAGAGGAUAGAAAAAAAUACCUAUAACGGAGACUGAAGACUAAACUGAAGCAGACACAACUGGACCUCUGCGCCUCAACGACCUCGGACUCUUUUGCUUAUUCUUCCCGGUGGGUUGGGUUCAGAACGUCGUGAGACUCUCGUCUAAUUCUCUGUCUGAGACUGGAUCGCAUAUGUUCUCACUCAUUUUCCCCUCUAGCUAGAGAUCGCAAGAUCGAAGAAGGCGGAUGACUAUUUAUAGGUGGCCUAAUGUAUCAGCUGAUGGGUCCCGCUUUAGCAACUCAUCUAUUCUCAGUCUCGUUCGUCAAGAAACAAGAGAAAGCGAUCUAGCCGACGGGUAAUCUUUCUGAGCCAGCUACCUAAAAAGAGAUAUGUCCCCAGUUCAAAGCACAAGGCUAUUAGUAAAGCGCAUGAAAGAGCAUAGCAAGCACGGAUUGAUCAUAGCACUUCUUAUUCCACAAGAGAUCGAAGAGGGAGAUCUUCCCCCUUUGAAACUGGGACUGAGGACGAUAUGGUAAGCCAGUCCUAUUCAUCCAUUUCUGAAAGCGGGUACCGAUCCAAGCAGCUUUCCCUGAAAAUAAUAAGUACGAAAAGAAUGGGCGGAAGGAAGUAUGUUUAUGAAUAAGGGUUAGCGAGAAUAGGUUCAAAGACAAAGCUGCUACACCGGCGUCAUGAAUCAGAGGAGGAUAGCAUUGAAUAGGAAUCCCCCCUCGUCGCCCCGUUCUUCUUUAAUCAGUGGUCUCGGAAGUAGUUGUUUUAGUUCGAGUUGCAAGACAAGUGGCUAUAUCCCCAGAAAGAAGGAUUAAUUCAAUGGGAUUGGAACCUGACUUGAUUCUACGGUUUCCCUUAAAGGGAUUUGACGUUCUUUCUUCUUGUCUUUUUCAUAUGACACCAAAGGAAGAAAACGAGAAGAAAAAAAGCUUUGUAGAGAGAACUCCACUCCUCCUACUAAAUAGGGUUCGAAGAAGAUCGACUGUUAAGGAGUGCAAAAUUAGAGCGACUGAUACCUCAAGAGGAGGAGGCAAAGAAAAGGAAGAAGACUCAAAAGUCUGAACUAAAAUCAAGCUCCUUCUCAAUCCGGACUAUCCAUUAUCAGGGCUUAACGGACGGAUAAAAACAAGUCCUUCGCCUAAUUCUCGCAAUAUUCUUUGCGCCUGGACCAAAGGUUAAUAUGGAUAGUCCUACGGAUAAGAAUCCUGGACCUUUCUUUGGCACUGCGGACCACUAUUUAAUGAAUAUGGGGAUCUGGACGGAGUGCGAGAGAAAGAAGCGAAGCGAUCGUGCAGUGCAAGUGCUGGAGCCGUCCUUCUUAACUGCAAAGACUGAUUCCAUGCAUAUGUAUUUUCCUGCUCGCUUCAUCAGCUCCGUUAGUGUAAAGGGCGUAGACCCGCUUCCUAAACCUAGUUGGGUCAACUUAUGUGUAGAGCCGAAAAUCUUUCUAAUCUUCGAUAGCAUAAAGGUGCGCACCUGCUCAACUAGAUCUCUUAAGAAUCCCCACUGAUAGAAUGAGGAGGGGCAAUUGCUUUAUUCAAAGUGAUAGCGGAUGCUGGGGAAACCAUUAGGAAUGCUCAACCCCACCGGGCUUGGGCCCAUAUCCUUUGCUCAAUGGACGCGAGGCUAGUUCCUACUUCCAGCUGGAUUGCAACUACUGAUCUCAUUCUUUUAUACGUGCAUAACCCUCGUGGAACUCUUUCACUGAUAGCCUCAUUCCGGCAAGUUAGAAAGAAGCUAAUGCUAACCAUCAUCAGCCGGAAAGACCCGAUAAAGCCACGAUAAAAGGAAUUGGACAGCUUUCAAUAUUCUUUGAACCGCUCCGUGGGCCCUAGCAUUUCAUUCUUCUUUCCCUCGGCUGAACAAUUACCGCUCCGUGGGCUUCCAAAAUCCCGGCUGCGCUAAAAGCACCUCACGGCCCUAUGCCUUUCAGUCUGAUCUCUUAAUUGGCCUAAUGUAGGCACAGAGAGCAAGAUGGAUGCGGCUGAUCAUUCUAUGCCUCAAGCUCCUGACCAAGGUGAAGAUAUUAGCUUCCAAGCUUUGUCAGCCCGGAAAAGUGAGAAAAUUUCUUAUUCAGAUGACCAGCUCGAGGGCAAGGGAAGAGCCGAAGCCCGCUCUCUCGAUGAUAUCAAGGCUGAGUUUCAGAGAGUUCUUCCGAUCCGUCCGGAUCCCCAUAUGAAUUAGGCGGAGGACUGAUUUAUGGAACAUAGACCUUUUUUUUAGUAGGCUCGUUAGAAAGAGAAAAGAUCAAAAUCUCAAUCGCAUAUUUCAUUGCGCCUCUUCUUACUGGUGUGAUGAUAAGUAUACCAAAGGUCAUAAGUGCAAGAGCUCUCAAUUGUAUAUGUUAAUGAUUCAAAUAAAGGUGCAAAGAGCGCGGGUUAUUCAAAUUUCAGGAUCAGGACUGGUAAGACUCCUUCGGAGCGGUCUUAAUACUCCUAACUACGGCGCAAAGAAUAUUGCGAGGACGGAGGCUCAAAGAAUCCCCCUACGCGGUUCAAAGAAUAUUUCAUGAAUGAGUGAAAGAAGAAAUUCAGCAAUGGAUAGUCCGGAGGUGCAAAGAAUAUUGCAGAGCGGGAAGAAUGGAUAUAUAUUGUAGAGCGGGAGAGAGAAGUCGUCUCCGUUUAGAAUAAAAUAAGAGGAUAGGGCGGGCCCUUGAAGAAUGAUCUUGCUGCUGCCCACGGUUUUGAAUUACUUUACUCUUUUUGAAUCCAGUCAAUGAACAAAGUCUGUUCCUACGGCAAGGAAUGCUCCAAAGGAGGGAGGCAACGAAAUUGAAUCCAGCCUCUGUCUGAAGCCCAAAAGGAAUGCGGGGGAGUCAGAAAGAAGAAAGCCUACGUCACGAAAUUGAAUCCAGCCUUCGUCUGCAAUAAGAAGCCUCCUCAAAAUACUCCUUCGUAAAAGAAGAAGCCGGAGGCAUUUGUAUUGACUCGGUUUUAGUGGAAUCUUUUCUACAUUGAUACGUGGGUCCUCCUUAUCAUUGAUUUGAGUCUGAUUCAGUAUUUCUUAGGUAUUUAUUAGCUCAAAUUCUCAAAAUGCAAGGUUUUCGCCUUCCUGAAAGGGGAUUUCUCAAUCUGAAAAGAGCCUUUCUUCUUUUCUUAGAUAAAUGCGCUUCGCUUCUCGAAAAUGAAUUCAGCCUCAGCCCUAAUUAUCGAAUAUUGCCUUCCACUUGAGGGAUAUUCUUGGAUUUCAGACUCCUCCUAUUUUACCUGGACUGAUUUAUGGAACUUAAGCUCGGAUCGAAACUGAAAGCUAGACAGAAAGAUCUCUCGCAACCCGUUCGAGAAAUGGGAGAGAGAUAAGUUUUAGCAGUUUCCCACCCAACCCAGUUGAAUAGAAAGUGCUUAGGUCGCUGUGGAAGAAAGAGAAGGAGCCUCAUCCAUCUUUUCUCGGGAUUGGAGUUUGAACAUUCUUGAAAAGAAAGAUUUCUUGUCCUAAUCGACUAGGCUAGGUUUCGUAAGGCUGGCCGUCGGCCUUAACCUUUUUGGAUUCUAAUCUCAAGUCUUUGAACCCCAUCAAUGGAAUAUAUAGAAAAAAAAGCGGAAAGAGAGGGAAAGAGAUCAAUGAAUAAGGAUGCGAGAGGGAUCAGGAAGAAGAAAUCUAGGGCAUGCGCACUCGGGUCUUUCCUUCCCGCUACGUGGGCUUACUCGUUCAAGAUCCUGACGCAUAAUUGGUCGUAUGAGAACCUAUACAUACUAACUAUGAAAUUCCCUUCUCGCAGGUGGAGCGGCUGAAUUCCGUCUUACUAAAGGAAACUAAAGUCAUAGUUUUUCUUGCUGUCGCUGUAGUGGAAGGUUCUGUCGUAGCCCUUGUUGCAGGAGAAGAAUUGAGUAUUCCGCUUAGGCACGGGUGUCCCGAGUGGAAGGAAUAUGUCCGAAAAGGCCAACAAUUCUUAGAUCGAAGGACAGACCCCAAAUCGCGAGGAUGCAGUUUUGAGCCAGAAGUCCAGUCCGCUUCAAGGUCACGCUUCGGUACCUCGAGCUAUGUAAGAGAAAGGGGAAAGCAGUGGUACGCUACUGUAGAUAAGAAUAACUUAGAGGGAGUGAACUAUUAGAUGCACAAGAAGAUCAGUUCCAAGAUUCCCAAGAAUAUCCCGUCCUUCGGACAGACGGGUUAAUAUGGAUAGGACUGAGGACCUGUCUGGCCUUCGUAGCUUAAUAAUGGGAUUUUGGAGGGAGCGAAAGUGUUAAAUAUUAUUCGCAUAUUUCAUUGCACCUUCGGACGGGAAAUUGCAACUGGAUGCAUUGUCCUAGGACAGGUAAAAGAAAUUCAUGUGAACUGGUUUCAGGUCCGGAUAAAUACAGGAUCAAGUGCUUUCACCGCUACGCUACGCUUCCGCUCCAAUCAAUGAACAAAGGCGCAAAGAAUAUUGCGAAAACGUAGGUUCAAAGAAUAUUGACUAGACUUAACAGGAGUCCGUAAGGACUAAGAAAUCUAGGAAUGAACUCCGUCUGAAAUCUAGCACAAAGAUGUCUGAAAUCUAGCACAAAUCAAUGAAUAUUGACAAUGAACAAGGCUCAAAGAAUUUGAGUCUGCUUUCAUUCUCGUUAAUGAGUGAAUUAUUCUUUUCUUUUCCGCUCCGUGGGCGUCUAUCAACUUCAUUCCCUAGCUUAGGAUCUUGUCGAGCAAGAGCAUUCUGAUCCGUCCGGAGGCGCAAAGAAUAUUGCCCUAUUUACUUCCCUUGAAAGUGCACUAUCUGCACCCUUGUUUUUGCAUUGAAUUUCAUACUAGGACUAAAGCUAUGCUAUGUAUGGGGAAUGCUAAAGGAAUCCUCCUGUGCCAAUUGAAGUAAUGAACUAGCGGAUCGCAUCACUAAAAAGAGGAAGAAAGUAGCCCACUGCGCGGUGUAGAGGAUCCAAGAAUUUGAGAAAGAAUAUUGACGCUCGACCCCCACUGGAAGAGGAUGAAAUUCUAGACAGGAUGAAGAGACUAAAAGAAAAGGAAGAGGCAGAGGACAGAGAGGAUAGGGUAUGAAAUAGGCGAGACUGAACUUAACCCCAGCAGAGGAUUUUUCUCAUGCAAGGCUCUUUGAAUUUGAGAAGAAGAGUUACGGCCGAGGGAAUCCGUACCAGUCCCAGUGAUGAAUCUGAAAUCUGAUUUCAGCCUCUGGUUGGAAGUCGCUAUGCAAGCUAGCCCUUCUCUUUCAGACUGGGAGAAAGAGAUAUGACCUGCCGUACCGACUUCUUAAGUAUAGAAUGAAGACGAAUGGGAAUAACUUAUGAAAAAAGGGAAUGGGAAUCAAUCCCAGCGAGAUCAAGAGGAAAAGGUCUUAAGGAAGAGCUUAUCAGUCGAGACCAGGACGGGGAGAACUCAGUCUUAGCUCAGUUAAUCAGUUUUUCAGAUUGAAAAGGUAAGACUUCGAGUGGGGGUGGCAUGUUUAAGGCGCAGGAGGCGGAUCGGUUUCAAAGCAAAGUAGGAACUGCUCCGUCUAACCUGUGCGAAGGGUGCGAUGAGCAAGGUUUGGUAGCGAUAGGAAGAAGUAGGACUGCGAAGAGAGGUGGAUGGGAUCUUAGCUCCCGAUACGCCGAAUGCCUAAUACCUUCCCGCCGGUCUUGGGUGGAGAUCUGCCCCAUGAAGGAUGCUCGGACUCCCCGAUUCUGUCUUCUUCUAGGCAGAGUAUCAACCGAUGGUUAAGACUUGAGUUACUUUCCGAUAUUCGUUUGGAAUCCUUCCAAUCUCGGCUAUGAUAGAAGAGAAAUGGAGGUUGAGCCGCUCCGCUUCUUUUCUUUGCUGAAAUCCAAAUUAGUAGAUUCACUCUCAAAGAAGAAAGCCGGGAGUACGAAAGGGAAAUUCGAAGCCCAUAAAGUAGGUCUUAUGAAUGAGGGAAGGAGAUUUAGAACUCUUUCGGAAGAAAUGCGAGACUGAGUUGACGAACGAAGGAUCGUAAGUAAGUUGGUGCGCUUUCAAGGGAAGAGAAGAGGGAUGAAAUAGCUCGACCGUAGGGAGAGGGAUGAAAUAGCUCGACCGUAGGGAGAGGGAUCCGUCCCAGGAUUAUGGCUUUCUGCUCGCCCCCUUUUGAAAGUUUCGAAUUUCAGAGUAAAUAGUAGCGGUUCUUUAUUCAAAAUAGCGUAAUGAUCAAUCUUGCUUAGUUUCGCCACCCAAGGAGAUUUGACAGUGGGAAAUCCUGAACAUUGGCGAGAGGAGAAGAACUGGAUUGACUGACCUGAUUUACCUACCUACUUUACCCCUACGUGGGUUGACCUAGGACCUGCCUGAUUUACCUGGUCGAUAUGGAUCAUACAUUAAGAACGGGUAUUCCUUAUUUGACGAAUAGGUUAUAGAUCUAUUCCCGAGACUGGAAAGGAUGGGUUACCGCUCUCGAACAGAGGAAGCAAGAGAAAUUAGUCUUCUUCCAAGUACUUGAACUUGAAUCUCUCCCAAUAGACCCAAUAGAGAUAGAGAGAGGCCUUGUGCCCGAGAAGGAAGGCGAUGGAAUUGAGCUCAACUCUAUCGAUGUGGAACCCGUACAGUCAUCCAGUCUGAAAGUAGCUCAUCCGGAUAACCUCAUCAUCCAAGAAGCUUGACUGAGUUGGAGAGGUAACCGUCAUAUUAUGAGAAGAUAGAAUCGGGGAAGAGGAAGACGGAGAAUUAGAAGUUAGCCCAGUCAGGUGCGAUUGAUUUAAGGAUGUUCCAAGGCCACCCAUAGCGAAAAGGAGUCAACCCCGCUUAUUUUGAGAUGAGAACAAGAAGAUGUCUUGAGUAAAGAGGGUAUUCUUUACAUAACUGAUGCAUGCGGCUGAGGCUGAGAGGGAAGUAGUCCUCCCCCUCCCAGUUGAAUAGGAAAGAUCGACCCUGAAGUGGAAAGAUCGAGCGUGGACGACCGAGAGGGCCAGUUAACCCGAGGGAUCGGACUCUUUACCCAUAUCCCGUAAAUCUGAUCAUCACGGUUCCGAGCAAUUCUCUGAAGUCAGGAGGAGAGAGAGGAGGAGUCGCUUUUCUUGCUUCCGCUUUCGCUGCAGAAGUAGUAGAAAGAGGGUAUGAGUUAGGCGUGAAUUGCCUUCUUUCAUUCUCGGAUUCUUCUGAAAAGCUAUAAAGCUCUUCUUCUUUUUCUCAAUUUCUUUAUACCGAUUGGGUAUUAAGAAGGAGUAAAUGGCACUCUGUAGGGCCGAGGUCAGAGAAUAUAUGAACAAAGAUUCCCCAUGAGAGAAAUACAUAAUCGAUUCCAAUACUCGGUAUGACACAGCAACCCCAAUCCCUUUCUUCAGAAGAAGUUGGAAGCUUCCGAAUGUAGGAUCUCAGCUGCUUUACUUACCAGAUAGCAAUCAGUCUGGCUCUAAGCAAGGGAAGAUAAAGAUAGUCUGUUUACGAAUCUUCGUUGACUCGGUAACCUCAUCGGUAAGGUAUCGGAUCCCGAAGAAGAAGGAAGACUGAGUCAGCGAGACCAGAGGAUCAAGGUGAACAAGUCAAUGAACAAGGCGCAAUGAAAUAUGCCUUGAAUGAAUGAAAAUGCUUCAAAAAAGAAGAAGAGGGCGCGUAGGCAAACUAAGACGCUGCGAUACGGGCAGCAGUUUCCGUCUCCGUUUCAGAGGCAGGAAUUAUAGAUAAGGAACUCUGGAAGAAGGGGAGGAUGCCUCAUCCGUAGCUGCUGAGGCGGUAGAAUAAGUAGUUGAAGUUGAAACAUUAUAUGCAUAAUUCACUUUGAAAUCAUCUCUAAAAUGAGAAAAGAUUCUCCAUCCCGAACCGAAGGAAAAGAAAGAUUCCAAACUAAUGAAAGAGGAAAGUCCACAUCGGGAAGUGGACGAGGCAGACGAGGCGACCCAAAGCAGAGGCACGCGCAGAGGCAUAUGUAAUCCGAAGGAAGUGUGUCCGAAUUCGAUGAAGAGGCGGAGGGCGCUGUCCCUGGAUCUCCGGCCCUUUGUUCAUUUUUUCGGUCCCAGUUGAGUGCGAAGAAGUUCGAGUUUCUAUAUAGAAGGAUCUCCUAGGUUUUACUUGGACGUCUUAGUUCUUCUUUAAGAAGUGGCCGUUUAUGCUCUUCCUCUUGAGGAUGCUGAUCGGAGAUCUCACAAGGCCUAAAAAGUCAAUUAUCCGGUCGUCCACGUAGCAAUGGUGAAAUGGAUCCUUACCUAUAAGUAUAAGACCACCCUGGAAAUCAGAGUGAAAUAACCGCCCCUUUACGAGUCACAAAUGAGUGAAAGGCCUUGAUUUUAGUAGUGAUCCGAUCGAUCCACGAUCGAAGAACUGAACCUGCAACUUCCACUUUCGAUUCAAGAGGGGAGGUUCAAAGAAUAUUGAGCAAGCCUAUCCUAUGCGACGGACUCUGAUUUUUCCACUACAAGGGAUGGUGGGGAAUCCUCACUAGCCACCGUUCUUGAAAGAGUUUCGGACGUAGCGGGAGUUGCUAGAAGUUGCAUUCUGAACUUCUGAAGAAGUAUGAUCCGGAAGCUCGUAGGAAGAAGUCGGCUGAUCGAAUGAUCCUCGGGGUUCAUUCCUUACCGCGUAGUGGGUCGUGGCUUUUAAGGCUUGCACUCCCGUAGAAGGAGUCGUCUUUGAUUCUUUUCUGAGAUAAAUGCGCUUCCCUUCGUCAAUAUUCUUUGAACCUCGUCUUCUGACUUUUAUUGCCUCCUCCUAAGACUUCUCUUUCCUUAUUCAUUGAUUGUAUAUUCAUUUGUCGGCGAAUACGUGGUUCGGCCCACUUCUAUCCGAUGCUCCGGAUCUUAUAGGCGGCGAAUCGCUUGCUUCUUUUCAGGUUUCCGGAUUUAGGCUUGACUUACCGUAACGGAGAAUAAGAGAGUUUGGCUUAGAAUAGGUUUCAUUCUCAAUUUCACUUUCUACUUUCUGACUUAGGCUUGAUUCUUGAAUUGCUUAAGACAAGGGGUUUUGCUUUCUGACUCGUAUGAGAUCUUGAAGUAGGUUUUUACAAAGUAUCAAACUCUGUUUUGAGAACCUCCUCGAUCAAGAAGUUGAAAAAGAAAGAAGGAGCAAUGACAAGAUAAAGAUAAGUUUUGAUAAAGCUCUUCUUUGAACUUUGAAUUGACUUUCUCUUGAUAUGAACUUCUAAUAUUUAAGGGGGCUAUCCUUGUUUUAGUGGAAUUCAUGUCCUCCUUUUCUAUAUAAUAUAAUAUAGUAUAGAAGAAAGCACUAAUUGGGAGCUCUGCUCGUGCGAGUGAGGGACUAAGCUCCUCACGUAGGAACUCAAGAAAGCAAAUACAAAAGUAGGAGGUUUGCGGAAAUGGAGUCUCUUUCGAAUUUUCUCUCAUCUCAAUUCCUCAAGUCUGUCUUAGUCACACCUAUCCGCCGCUCAAUAUUCUUUGAACCUUGACGUCAAACUUUAGUGAAUCAUGACUAAAAGGACUAAUCGCAACUAAAAGUACUAAGUUAGAAGGAAGUAGUAGUAGUAUUGGAAGAAGAGAGGCUUAUAGCAACCUUAUGGGCUUCCCUCUUCGGCCGCCUGCACUAUACCAGCGGAACUCGUAAGGGAUCCCCGCCUUAGAUAGAAUUCUCUACGCGGAAUAGAAGUGCCCGACCCGUCCUCCGUCCUCUUGAAUGAAAAAUCAAGCUCCAGAUGAGUUGACCUAUCCAUUAAACAAGUCCGGAGGACCAGUCUCGCCCUCAGUCCUAUCCAUUAGAAAGAAUGAGAAAGCCGUCAGUCCAAGAAAAAUCAGAGAAAAUGGACUUUUAGUUCCAUCGCUAUUUUGCAAGGUUUUGCUUUCUUUCCCCUUAUAUAAAAGAAAGCUCUCACUUUUUUCAGCCAUUUGAGACUACUAGGUAAAUCGCACAUUGAGUCACUUUUUCCCCGCAAGAAAGAAUGAAAAAAUGUCUCAGUCGAGCUACUAUGAAAGUUAUUAGAUCAAAGUCUCUAUUUACGCUAUUUUGAGUCAUUUUGCCGCAAUAUUCUUUGCUCUAGACCUUUGUUUUCAAAUAGUCAUUUUUCAGACUUUCAUGAAAGAUCAGGAGUCGCUAUGAAUUAGCCUUGCUAACGCACCUUUCUUCGCUUCGCACCUUUUCUACUAAAUAGUAAGACGCUCUUCUGAACGUCUUUAUAAAGCUCUUCUUUCCAUCUCACCGCUUUUAUUGAUCAGAAUCUUUUCAAGAAUAAGCUUGAAUCGACCCUUUCCCAUCUCGGCUACUAUUGAGUGGUUUGGGCUGCGGGCUUAGGCUUAAUACGAUCUUUCUAGAAUUUCUUCUUUUCUUCUUUUGGUCCUAGUCUUGUUUUCCCCCUUUCCCCUUCCCACUUCCCCUUUGUACUUUCCCUCCAGAAAGUCAGUCUUUCUCCUACUAAAUCAUUGAUUUCUUCCUUUUCCAAUCCAUUCCCAUUUUCUCUUUUCUUUUCUUGUUAAUAAGUUCAAUUGAAAGCUACUUAUUGAUUUGAUUAGCCGAGUUUCAAGUUCAAUUGAUCAUGACUAGGCUUUUUCUUAGCGUGAACCUACUUAAAUAAAAGGAAGAAGACGAGAGGGAGUGCAAGCGGUUAUUUUCUUUCAUGCUUUCAAGGGCCCGGUAAGUCAAAUCCCGCACCGCGCACCCUAGCGCUAUCGGUCUCAGGUUAAUUCCCCACGUAGCGGUAAAGAAGGUGGUCUGGUCUGUCUUCCAACUUCAAGAGAGACUGAUAAAAGCGAACCACCCCUAUUAGGGGCUUUCCCGAACGCUUGCUUCGUAAACAGACAAGGAAGGGAUGAAAUUCCAUGAAAUCAGUCCUCUCUUUUUUAUGGGCCUCCUGAUCUUAGUUCCCUUUCCGCGCGGAUCUAGCUGCCGACCAAAAAGAAGGGAGAGCUUCGUCUCGAGCUUCAACGGUUCCGACUUCUCCAACUUCUCUUUCCGAGUUCAGUGCCACAGCUGAAAUUCCAGAACUGAUCUGAUUCCUCCUCCUGGGGCCUCUCUCCCUCUGCCGGCACUGGGACUGGAACAAGUUGACUAUCUUACUCAUUCAUCGUAUAAAUGGCUUAAAAAGAAGGGACUCCAACAGGGCACAACAAGAAAGAGCAAGGAUGGCUCCAAGGGCACCCGCGCUAUUUGUCCACGCCUGCCUCUUUCAUUCUCUUGGCUUCAAGGUACCCCUUUAGCUUCGGAUCCUAAUAGUCAUGACGUCUCUUUGAGAUCUUUCUCUUUACCUGAUUAUUGACUGAAUUGCAUUCCCCACGAAAGUCUACCCUUUCAUUACACGUUUUCACCGUUCAAAGAUUGAUUUUCUUUGCCUCGAUACAAGCGGAAAGAAGGAUUUUCACCUUCGCUUGUCCUCAACCAGCAAUAAUCGAGUUCUUCCAUAAAUCAGUCCAGAAGAAGAUAUGGAACUCAAUCUGAUAAAUAAUAGUACUUUGUCUUUGUCUAAAAUAGUCCUUCGGACGACUCCGUCUCUCUUCUUUAUGGGGGUCCCAGUUACUAGAGAAGCCCACCAGCUAAGAUCCUGCUGAGGAAUUCGAUCUGUGGGGAGUACGAUCGGAAGAGUGAUAGCUCGACGUUUCGGAAUCGGGCGUCAGAGGCGCAAAGAAGCUCUUCUCUUAAGAUAAGAAGAGGGUAUGAAGGAAGCCACUCUUCUGUCAAGGAUUGGAUCGGGAACACCGAGUUAUCCUAUGACUGAGGAAAGCCGUUCCAAUACUACUUUAUCAGGUCAAUCAGGCCGCCGAGCUAGAAAGUUCCCAGGACUGAAUAAAGAGCUAGACAAGAGUCUCGCUACAAAGUCCCACUGACCUAUCCCUUGCUGGUGGAUAGAUAUCUUCAGAUAUGGUCCCCUAGGCUCGACCCUUUCUUCCUUCUAUCUUGUAAGUUGGUCGUAUUCGACCCGAGGAUAGGCUUUCUCUUGUUUCAAGAAUUCCACUUUCUAUUUGUUGGACGUACUAGAAGAUGUGAUUUAUGAGAUCUGAAGCUGGCAAGAGAUGAGAGCAGAGUGAAGACCACUACACUAAGCAAGAAGACCUUUUCUAAUCCCAAAGGAGGAGAUAGACUAGCACCUUCUCGGCUGAUUCUGUGCCCACCCUCAGAUCUCAUUACGGACCUGAGACUGCACUUCUUGCCAAUGGCUCCCUUCGAAAGACAGAAUUCUUCUUUAUAGAAUUCUCAGUCAUAUUCAAUCUCUCAAGACCUCCUUCUUCCCUCUUUCCUAGGCCCACUCACUCCCACGAUCAGGGAAAGGAGGAACUGAGGCGAGAAUCCCAUAAAGGAAGGUUAGAAUAUGCAAGACUCCCACGGGGCGGAGAGGUGCUCAGCUCUGCUUUUUCCCGAGAGAGGGUAUGAUCCCCUGGACUGGAAAGGAUAGGUAUUCAGUUCCCUAGUAUUUUGAUGAUAAAUAGAGAGAUUGAUGAAUAGAAUAAAUAAGAAUGAGAGAAGUUUCUGAAGAGAUCUCUUGGACUAUUUCAAGCCUUUGUUCAUUGAGGCUAGGCUUUCCUUCUCUAAGCUUUCUCUUGUUGGCCUUCUGGCCUUUCAACCUCACCCACGGAAAGCGACCCCGUUGGUUUGAAAACGGCCUCUAGCCCACCACGUUCCACAAAUCCCUCAGCCCCUUUCUCAACGGGCGUGUAGCCGUACUUUCGCGUCUUGGUUAAGGCUCGCUUCAAAAUAUCGAGCUUCUGCAGGGUUGGUAGCUCGUCGAUGCAGAACCAGAGGCGCUCUUGCUGAGAAUCGGCUCCAGAUGAAGCACGGCUUUGAUUGCUGUGUCGAUCCACAAGGACAAAGCCGGCUUCAGUCCUUCUCGCAUCUCUCCUCUCGCGCAGUGAUAAACAUCCAGGAUCUCCUCACUCACCCACUUGCGGAUGGAGAACAGAUCCCCCUUAUCCAUCCGGUCAAAAUCGAAAGGAUUCCAGCUGAUUCUGAACGGUCAUUUUUAGUGAGAUUCCCGUGCGCUCCGUCAUCGGGUCCACAUAGGCCGCACCAGCGGUGCCUUUCAGCAAGGCGUGCAUCUCCUCGAGAUUGCUCUUGGCAACGGCGUUGUAGAAAUCUCGGUUUGUGCGCCGCCCAUCUCUGCCUAGAACGGAGAUAACGUCCUUGAGCACCCUCCGGCCCGCCAAGGCCCAAAAGGUUAGAGUCAGAACUCUUGCUGGUCUGGGAUCAGGCCGUUGGCCAUAUUAUCGAAGUGGUAGUCCUUGGAGAUCGAAGCCCAGAUAUUCCAGUUCGGGCUACGGGCAUCCAGCGGGUUCAUCAGAAUGUCUUUACCUUCCCGGUAGAACGCUUGGGUAAACUCUCCGGUCUUUUCAUACACGACUAUACGCUUACCUCUUGCCCGAACCUCUUGCAUCAAGGCGAAAAACUGCUGGGAUUUCCCCGUGCCUUGUGCACCAGCAAAGAGCGGAUGCAGCGUCUCUGACUUCAUCCGCAUAGGCACACCGGCAAUCAGGGACUCGCUUCCCCCCCGACGCUUAAUGAGUCGUGCCAAUGCCUUUCCAGUGACCAGCCUGGCGCCCCGCAGCUGAUGAUCCUGCAUUCGUUCGCGUCCAUCUCCAUCCGUAUAGAAGAGCGAGGAAAACGAGACCGAUGGCACUCAGCACGCCGGCCCCAUUGCGCAACUUUCGCCAGCCAUCAGACGCAAUCUCCUCGGUCAAUGUGGCAACUCGCGACACGUCGAGCUGCUUGGCCCUUGACGUGCAAUUCCAUCUUACCGGCCGUCAUGUAGAGCGCUGAACGUGUGUGGGCCAGCACAUUGCGCGAGAGGGCAUACUUUGAAUCCGCUGUGGUCGACAACCAGAAGCAUGCAACCGUCACGAUCAGUCCAACUAAGAGAGAAGUCAGAAGAACCGUCCUAAGUGCCCCCAUCAACAGGCGAGCUUGGUGCGUCCAUAGUUCAGCACCACGAGAAAAAUGGUUGGUACUACCCCCUUCCUCUUUUUUAGCCACGCCCAACUUCUUUUCUGCAGCUUUGCUUUCGCGAUGUCCUGUGCUUCGUAGAGCUUUUGAACGUCCCUAGCCGAUACGAUGGCCGACAGCAUGGCCUCAGCGGUAAACACAGAUAGUCAGAAUGCCUCCGGAAUGGGCGUCGAAGCAUCAUCCUGUCCUCUGCUGUGGCGGAUGUCAUCCACGAGACUUCGCAGGCCUUGCUCGAUUUCCUGCACGUUUUCGGCAGCCCUGCACUAGCGUCUGACGCAAGUACUCUACGACGGUGAUCCCGUGCUCCUUUGCCUUCUGCCGAUAGAACCGUGCGGUGUCUUCAUCCAUCCGGAUAUUGAAUGAAAGGCUCCGACGAUGGUCUGCGCUGAUCUUUCUAGGCAUUUUUGACUACACAAGAACCACUUUUCAUGAACAAUUUCCUGUAGGUGUCGCCGAAAUGAAAUACAUGACAAGAAUUUCUCAGAAAUUCCUAAUUGCGUGGGGUGUGUGGCAAGAUUUUAGGGGAGCGGGGACCAAACGAGAAGGCUGUCCUGAUUCGGUGGGCUAGCAGUGGACGGCCAUGGAUGACCCACCUACGCCCAACGACUACAUUAUGCCAUUGAUUCAGAUUUUCUAGCUUCUAAGUUAGAACAGGAGGGUAUCAAGUUAGCCAAGGGAUAUUUUCUUGAGUGGAAGCGGAGGUAAACAUGAGCAAAGUGAAAGGUGCUGUCUCGCACCACGAACGAGAAUUGGCAGAAUGUAGUGCCGAUCGAGAACUAGCGGUGGAAUACCUAAAAGCUAAGAUGGAAUCGCGAGAGAGAUAAUCGCGCCUUAGGCCUGUUGGCGCUACGCACGAUAGCAGAAGCUUAUGGUGGAUUAGCUGCUAGAGGCUGCAGGUAUAAGCCGGGAAUCGUUGUACCGUAUGCUUUCCCCUAAAGGUAACCCCACGCUCAAGACGUUGCUAGCAGUACUUAAGACCGUUGGAAUGCGCUUGUCUGUCGAACUCGAGAAUUCCGUGCACGCUUGAUAUUCAGCUUUUGAAGUGCCUAUAUCCUCUGAAAGAUAUCAAGUUAUCAUCAAAUUUCUAUCUUGAUUCGGUCUUGUUCCCUACAUAGCAGACAGAUUGGUUUUGAUUUCCCUUGAAAAUCCCUGGCCAAAGGUUUCACAGCCGGGACGAAAUCCAGGCGCAGCAAAUGCAUAGCGAGGUCGAUGGCACCGCCUAGCCCUUCCCUUCUGAGCUCUGGUCUCGUACCAGACCGCUUAUCAACAGAAAAAUGACGCUGCUACCAAUCGAAAGAUCGCUCGGUAUGCUUAUCCUUAGCUUAGUCGGUCUGAAUCUCACCUUUCCAGUAAAUUCGAAGAAGAUCAAGGGCAAAGGCUGUUUAUGCUGCUGUCUCCGUCCCAUCAGUCCCAAGCAAGUAAGCGCUAGAAGCUCGAACCAUCUCUUGAAUCAGUACUAAACCGAGUGGUCGGGCCGAGAGCGGGAACAUGAAAAGAAAGUUUCAGAAAGCCCUAUCCGUUUUUAGUUCCUACUUUAGGGUAGAGGCUGCUGGUCCGAAGGCUAGGUUCAUACAGAUAGUCCGGAGGACGGUUAGUUGGAACUUUGCGACUGAGGGUCAAUGAAAUAUGAGAAAGGAUAGGCUUGAUUUAGUAGUCCUCUUUCAUUGAUCUAUUUUGAUGCCAGUUCAAGCAGCCUAGUGGAAGUGAGAGCAAUCCGAACUCCAUAAAAGGGCAAAGGUUAAGUUAUUUGAAUGAAGAAAAUCAAUGAAGAAGUCAAUGCCCACGUAGCGGGGAAAGUUUGAGUGGAAUCUUUGGAGAAUGAGGAGGUCUGGAGUGAUCAAGUCCUUCGUUCAAUGAACAUCCAUAAAGAAAUUGGGAUUCAAGUACAUACACCAAAUUCAAUGUGUUAAUCAAAUGAAAACCGAUCCUUAUCCACCAUGAAUGCCAAAACAAACCCAGCCUACGGCUUCUUAUUGCAGACUCCUUAUGGGGUUCAGACGAAGGCUCGACUGUAUGUAAGGAGAGGCUCAAUGCAAUUUGAGUUGCGAGACUGUCAAAAUCAAGCUCCAGAUGAGUUUCAGACUGUAAGGAGAGGCGGAGGAGGCGCAAAGAAUAUUGCGUAAAGGCUCGCCUUAGAUAGAGGGAGAGGAGCAAAGAAUUUGAGAAAGAGGAGUUGAGAGAAAGAAUUCACUCAUUAACGAGAAUGAAAGAAUAAUUCGGAUUUCAUCACCUUGUUUUUACGGAGGGAAAUACAAGAUUUUGCUAGGUUUUGGGCCUAUAAAGUAGCAAGAAAUCAUGAAAAUUCCUUCUUUUUCACUCAAUUAUCGUUAAAUAUCAAUAUGAGAUUUAGUCCUAUUUAGAAGCAAAAAAGCCGGGAAAUUGCAACUGGUCCAUUAGCAAAAUCUAGGGAAAAUCAAUGAACAGAGUUUUCUUAUGGUUUCUGGUCCGGAUACUGACGGGUCUAUUCUUGAUUCCCAAUGAACAAGGUUAUUCAAUCCUAAUUAUUCUUUCAUUCUCGUUAAUGAGCUGAUUUUCUUUUCUUUUUUCUUUCUGAAAGACCGACCAAUCGAUUCAAAAUCUAUAGUUACCUCCCCCGAUCCCACUCUGUCUCUUACCCGUCUGACUCAUUCCCUUGAGAAUAGUACUGAUGACUCUGGAUCCGAGACUUCAGACUCAAGAGGGAAUUCCCUUUACUGGGCCUCCUAACCUGGUCGAUCCCACCCACUACGCUACGCGGUGGAGCUACGAAACCUUGAUGUGAUGAAAGUGACCUCUAUUAAGUCCUAUGGGCUAGCUCCUUCUAUUCAAACCUACCUUUCUCGGCUUCUUCUUCCCUUUCUAAAGUGAGAUGAUUCCGAGAAAGGCGGGCUAACCGAUCCAAUUCAGAGUGAGAGCUUGAGCUGUCUGAUCCGACCUUCGUCGGUAAAGCCUAUAUCUACUAUACUACCCCUGGCUUCUUCUGAAACUAGGUAAAUCGGACAACUGUCUCGGUCAACUUAUGCCUCUUCCUAGCCCUCUCAACUGGGACUGAGUUCGCGCUUUUACUUGGUCCUCUCUCGAUCUUUCUUUUCUUGCUUGAAUAACUCCGGCUCCCUCAACUGGACAGUUCUUCUAUUUCUAGGGAAUAGAACUCGUAAACUCUUUCUUUUUCCCAUCCUGGAUGAGCUACUGAUAACCGAUCCCGGAUAGCUGACUGAAAGACCUGAAAAUAGCUGUCGUUGAAGUCCCACAGCCACUGACUUAGAAGUCCCCGCCGAAAGAGAGUUUGAAAGAGGAAAGAAUUCAGCCCGCGAAACUUCUGAUUAAGUAAUGAAAAUAGAAAUGGGUAAUUCAAGCUCUUCUAUUCAAUAAAUAAGUUGAACAUAAGAAGAGAAGUAAAUUCAAAGAAUGAGAAAUCUCACUUUCUUUCUUGCCUUUAUUAAGCGUACCCUGAUGGUUGAUCUAAUAAGAUAUAAGUCGAUAAGAAAGCUCUUUUCUCAUUUUCUAGACUAGAACGCCUUCCUACGAACUGAGAGUUCUCCAUCGUCUACUAUGCCAUAUCUUUACCGGCUUCGCAGGCACCUGUAUAUCGGCCUAUCAUGGCCUCGUGGGCGCUGGCCUUCGAAAAGAAGGUGGGAACAAGAAGAUCGAGAGAGAAAGCGGAAACUAUCUCAUACUCUGAAUUGAGUUCUUUUAUGAGGAUAAAAAGAAUGAGAAGUUUGUUCAGAGAGAUUCUUUACUUAAUUAUGAUGAGGCUUAUUAACAAGAGAAUCAAGAGAAGGCUGAAUGAAUAUGAGAAUGCCUUUAUUCUUUUCAAAAUUAUGACGUUAGCAAUUUAUGAUGAGGAAAUCCUAUUAUCAAUCUUAGUAAGAAAUCUAAUAUGAGAAGGGAAGAGGUUUUUUAUGAAAAUGAAAAGGAGUGCUCGACCGCAUACUAUGGAAUACUCUUGAAAUCUGAUCAAAACCCAUCCGUUGAGAGUCAAUCAUAAAUACGAAAUCAAAUAAUAAGGAAUCCAAAAUAGCGGUUUAUCAAGCUCUUAUAUCGGAAGCGAGACCGGUCCUCCGGACUCAAGGAUUCCACUAAAUAGCGCCUUCUUUUUGAAUUGAGCCUCUUGACGGGAAGAAGCGAAGAAAAAAGCCUAGGAGUCGAAAGAAGAAGAGAUUGCUACUUAUAUGUUCGUCAGAAAGAGAAAGCCUAUGAUUAUGACUUUUUCAGGGUUUUUAAUGACUUAAACCUGCUAUCUCAUAAGAUAACUCUUAUUGUCUUAGGCGGUAUUCUAUUUUGACGAAGACGGAAUAAGAGCUUGAUAAAAGAUAAAGCACUAUUUAUUGAAAGGAAAUAUGACUUGAGCAGUCCGGAGGCGCAAUUCAAUAUGCGACGUCCGAAGGUGAAAAGAAUAUUGAAUGAAUGAGUGAGUGAAUCAUAUUUUUUCCGAGGGAGGACGGGGAUAGAGUCCCAAACUUGACUCCCGUUUACUACCUCUUUCUACUCUCUUGUACCCGUCCGAAGGACUAUCAACCUAUUACUUCAAACUAAAAAUUGAAUGAAAAUCGGUCACUUCCGAACCCCUCCUUUCUCGUCUUCUCAUUCCAUAUAUGAGAUUUCCAGGUAGACUUUUGACUCAUAUGAGUGGAUCAUCUCGGUCCUCACCCUUAUUUAUUUCUGUCUACGAGCGCGUCUGCCUUCACGAACGUCUAGUAACUCACUAGCCCUAAACCAUAACUUCUUCACUCUUCCAACCCGCGCACCAUCCGCAGCAGCUAGGAAGGCGCAAAGAAUAUUGCUCGGAGUUGGAUCGGAAGAAGAAAGAGGAAGUUGAAGUACGAAAGGUUCAAAGUGGUUUUAGUGUACCAAAUACAAAGAGACCUCCGGACUAUCCCACGACGGAUCAAUUCAAUAUGAGAGGCGCAAAGAAUAUUGCGAUGCGAUUGCCUUCCACUAAAAAAGGACUUCGUCUGCAAGAAAAUAUGAUGAAUAGUCAAAAAUAGGGGAAGGACUUGUUCUCAAUCAUUGAUUGCUUCAUUCCAUAUUACUAGAUUCGCCGACAAAGAAGAAGAAGAUCGAGAUAGAAAGCUGAAACUAUCUGAAUCAUAUAGAUUCUCCAUCAACUCAUCUGGAGCUUGAUUUUUCAUUGAUCUCUUGACCACUGAAAACGAGAUUUAUAUACUUUGAUUUUACAUCUUGUCCACUCUCUACUCUUUUUUGACCUUUAUUUGACUGCAAAGAAAAAUGUGUCAGAUUUGACCUUAAAUAAUGGGACUGAUUUUGAUCCACAUAUUAACUUAUAAAGAAAUGGAAACCCUGUUCUUUGUCCUCAUCUUCAGUCGGGCGCAGAAUCCUCCGAGGAAGAGGCGCAAAGAAUAUUGCUCAGGCGCGAAGCGCAUUUAUCUAAGAAAAGAAGAAAGGCGCAAAGAAUAUUGCCGAGGUACUCGGCUUUCUAUUAAGGAGUGCAGGUUGAACCACUUCUAAACAUUGAGAUAAAGUAGGAGCAGCUUCUCAAAUUCUUUGACCACGCAAACCGCAAUAUUCUGCAUUGAGCCCGUAGUUAGGAGUAUUAAGACCGGAGGACCAUCCGUAAUUAACCGAAGUAGUCCGGAGGACUUUCCGUAAUUAACCGAACAUUGCACCUUGUUCAUUGAUUUUAGUAGGCUUUCUUCUUCUUCGCUUCGCUAGGCUUGAUCUUAGAAGAUCCAGUCCGGAGGCGCAAAGAAUAUUGCCCAUUAGAAGUGCUUUCUUUAUUUUGUUCAUUGAUCUCUUUGCCGCUGAUCUGACUGAACUUUCCUUUCAUCCGCCAAAUUCAUAAUUGAUCUGCCUUGUUCGCUAGGCUUUCUCUUUCUUUUCUGACUUUCUUUUUUCCAAUAUCCUAUGCCUCGCUGCCUCACUCUGAUCCUUUAUAUACCCGAUGGCAUAUACGGUUCUCGAUCCGGAAACCUUGAUUCUCGUGCGAGAUGUGACCUUUCUUAGGAUCUAAAUGUUGGCUAGGUAAGCGUCCUGUAGUAAGACUUUAUUCAUUGAUUCAUUGAUCUCUUUUAUUGAGGAAGUUGAGCCUCCUUAUGGUUUUUGAUUCUCCCUUUCCCGUCUCCUUCACCCCGUAGUUAGGAGCUUUGAAUAUUGCGUGGAACUUAUCUCAUUUUUUGCAUAGAAAAAGAAGAUGGAAUUCUUUCUUCCUUAUUCUUUCUUAUAUAAGAGAGUUGGUCCGAGUUAGUUCUAUAGAAGAAAUAGAGACCCAAAAAAGGGAUAGGGUUAACGAGAUGAAAAGAGAGUUCUUUCUGAUACAUAGGCUCCACGGGAGAAGCAAGGGUCCGUGUUCUUGCGCGUCCGGCAAAGCCUUCUCCUUCGGGAUAGACUUCUGGGUCUUCCCUUUCGUACUCAGCCAGAUCCCCUGGAUCUUACCUGUCAAAGCCCAAUGAUGUGCCAACUUAAAUGACUGAAAGAACAUAGUCCGGUCCCACGACUACUCUUCCCCGAUAUGGCCCCCACUCCGCGGUUCCCCGAUCUAGAUCUGAUGCAUUAUGGUGGGGAGUUCCUCCUUCCUCUAGUCUCGACUUCGUUCCAAAAGAAGAAAAUCACACACCACCGCUCCGUGGGAAGGGGGAUACUUCUUCGCCCUAAUCAAUAAAGGGGUCAAGCGCGGGUUCGACUGAACUUUCCACGUUCCACUCCCACCACGAAAGGUUUGGAUUUCAGCUUGAUUCAUGCUUUCUAUUUAUAUCGCUUCGAUCUACUCGGGUAAAGGCGCAUGGGGAAGAUUCAAGCUUCAGGGUGAGCGCAGGUCUUUCAUUAUCUUUUAGUUCAUGCAUAGAAAAUGGAUUAAUAAAGAGGAGGACGAAAAGCAGAAUCAAUCGGUCGAAGCAGUUCCGACUUCUCCGCCCGAUGGUAUGGGCGCAGGGGCGCGCGUGAGGGUACUGAAUUUCUCAACCUUCCUUGAUAAGUCAAUGAACAAAGGCUGCGGAGUCAGAUCGGUGUCUUGUUAACGAGACAAUUUGGAUUCGUUGCUAAAGCGGGACCCAGUUGACAGAAAGAACUCCUUUUGAGUAAGCAGGAGCUGUGUUUCGGCUCUCUCUUGUUCGUAAGGCCAAGGCAAAGAAAAAUCACUCUAUUAAAGGCUGAAUUCAAUUUUCGUAGAGGCGCAAAGAAUAUAUAGAGAAGGCGCAAAGAAUAUAUAGAGUAAGGCGCUUCUAAUCUCAAAUUCUUUGAGCCCGUAGUGCCAAAGAAAGGUCCAGGGUCCUACGUCCGCAGGAUUCUUAUCCGGAGUCCGGAGGAUUUAUCCGUAGGACCAUCCAUAUGGAAGGAAGUAGGACUAUCCAUAUGGAAGUAGGACCAUCCGUAAUUAACCGAAGGAGGACUCCCAGAAAGAAGAAGAAGGACUCUAAAACGGACUCGAAGAUUUCCGCUUUCUUUUAGCCGGAGAGGGAUCUCUUUUUCUUGCUUUACCUGGAGAAGAGGUCUGAGAUCAGAUGUCUUUCUUCUUUAUUAUCCCCCUCCGGUCCGGUCUGAAUUUGCAAAGAUGUCCUUAUCAUAUUUAAGCUACUGAGGCCCAAUGAAAUAUGCGAUUGAGAAGACAAAAAUCAGGCUGAAUUCAGAUCGUGGAUAAGGCUCGGUAUCCGGCAAUAUUCUUACAAUAUCCCGCUACGUGGGCCAUAGAUCUUUGCUCCUCGCUCUUUGCGCCUGGAAGUCUAGUCAAUAUUCUUUGAACCGGAGGCCCAUAUUGCCCAUUGCGUCUUUCCAUUGAAUUUCCGGAAAUAAGGCUCAAAGGAUAUUGAGAUGAGAUUCUUUCUUUUUAGCCUAGGCUUUUCACGCAUCAAAAUAGAAGUUGCGCUUUCUUGUUAUUGUUAGCGGAUAGGUUUCUUAUUUGGUUUAUCAAGUUCUUAUCUUCUCUUUCAUACAUCUCUAUCUUCUUUUCUGUCUUCGCAGACUAAUCUUUUCAAUAGUCUUUGAAAUCAUAAAAGACCUUGAUUCUUCUGAGUCAACCCCGCUUAUUUUGAGAAGGUAGCUUGCUUACUCUCAGCCGCUAGUUAGAGGGAAAUCCGUUGACUGAGUUUAUGUUGCAGUUAAUGGAGAAGCAUUGAGGCGGGCUAAGCUUCCAUUCUCAGUAGAGUUUCAGAUAGAGGAUUCGAUCUUGGACCUCUCGGGAUCCGGUUCGAGAAAAGGUCCGAUCCAUUAAUAUCAUGAUUGGGUCGACCAGGCCAGAUCGUCAGUGAAUAGAAAAUCUAAAACGUACAUAGCAGUCCCAGCUGAAAUACUUGGAAUAAUUCUACCACUUCUACUAGGAGUAGCCUUUUUAGUGCUAGCUGAACGUAAAGUAAUGGCUUUUGUGCAACGUCGAAAGGGUCCUGAUGUAGUGGGAUCGUUCGGAUUGUUACAACCUCUAGCAGAUGGUUUGAAAUUGAUGAUAAAAGAACCUCUUUCACCAAGUAGUGCUAAUUUCUCCCUUUUUAGAAUGGCUCCAGUGGCUACAUUUAUGUUAAGUCUGGUCGCUCGGGCCGUUGUACCUUUUGAUUAUGGUAUUGUAUUGUCAGAUCCGAACAUAGGGCUACUUUAUUUGUUUGCCAUAUCUUCGCUAGGUGUUUAUGGAAUUAUUAUAGCGGGUUGGUCUAGUAAUUAGGGGGCGGCCGUUCGGUCGCCUAUGAUACUAGGACCAAUAGGUCAAAAAUGGGUUUGUGCCGCAGGUGUUGAACGAUCUACUCUACACAGGUGUGGGCUUACAGGGCUAGGGCUCAGAAACCCUUUCUUUCAUUCAUCAAUAGGGCCCUGGCAAGGAACCUACUAAAAGUUAAUAUGGAUCAAAAUCAGUCCCACUAUUUAAAUAGGAUGAAUAGUCAUCUGGAUACUUUAUUUUGAACUAAAUAAAGGAUUUCUAGUCCGCUCUGAAUUUCAUAUGGAUUUCAUAAACAAGUCCCAUAUUAAGCUACUGAGGCCCAAAGCAAGCCCACUCCGUAUUAAUUGACUGGAUCUUGUAGGACUCAUUCAUUCCACAAAAUCAAGGCUCCAUAAGACAGGUCCGAAGGACUAUCCAUCAGGAAAAAAGAAAGCGGAAAAUCUUCUCAAAUACUUUGAGCCCGUAGUUAGGAGUAUUAAGACCGGAGGACCAUCAAAGAAAGGUCCAGGGUCCGGAGUCCGCAGGAUUUAUCCGGAGGACUAUCCAUAUGGAAGGAAGUCGGACUAUCCGUAAUUAACCGAAGGAGGACUUUCCGUAAUUAACCGAACUUUGAACCUUCGCCUCAAUGAAAAGUUCAGGGGUCAAAGAAUUAUCGAAGUGGAAGUCAUCAAAAAGAGAUCUUUCGAUUCGUACCGCUACGUGGGAUCGCUUGCUGGCCUAUAUAUAUUUCUAUUGCUAGAUCGCUGUCUUUUAACCGUCUCUUCUUCUUUGUCAACGCUACCUUGGACCUAAAGGAAAAGGCGCUACUUAGCCCUAGAUUUUUAGAAGUAAGCGGCUGAGUUAGCCUAGCCUACCCUCUAAAUGUAUUGUAUACGAGCGAGUUAGCGAAGACGCUUAGGCUAAUAGAUAAGAGAGCGUCGGUGCUACGCCUUCAUUCUACUACGCUACGCAAAGGUUACGAAUUAGCUCGACGUUAGGAGAGUCAAGUCAAGGGGGAAGGCCAUACCUACAUAGAAGAACUGCUGUUCGUUGACUUUCUAAGGUCUAACCUUUCGCUCCCCUACUGAAAAGGAGGAAAGCAGCUUGACUCUCUUUACUUUCAAGAGGCAGCCCACUACGCUAGAGAUCAGAAGAAAGAGAGUUUCAUGAGAUCUUCAUUCGAUCUUUGUCUUCUUUCUUGAGUUCUUCAUAUCCUCUUCUUUCUUGAGAGGAGCAAAGCAGCUUCGCACUACUUAAGAAAAAAUUCAAAAGGUCCUACUUAGUUUCGUAAGCCUUUUUCAUUGUCAGUCAACUAAGUAGGGCCUGAGGCCCCCUGCGAAUCCGUAAAUCUCAGGAGCAUGCCGCAACAAAAGGAUGGUCCCCUAUGCAUUUCAUUCUUUCCGGAAGGGAAAAAGAAGUACCCCCAUCAUGGUGAACCUCUCCUUGUGAUCGGGAUGAGGUAGAUGCCUCCCAGCCGGGGGGCGGAUCGAAUCGGAGUUUCCUUAGGUAGCCACCGACCUACAGUUAUCCUUAAACUUCCGUGCUUGGUGGAGAAGAAGCGAACAAAGGUAGGCUCGCUUCCUGUCUUGUUCUCUGCUGCGAACUGGGAUCGCUCGCCAGCUAGGUCAGAUUGGAGCAACCUUUUAUGAGAACAUAUUACCCUUAUUCGGGGACAAGGGGCGGAACGACCUCUCGAUCUACUUACAGCUGCCCAGGAAGAAUUCGUCUAGGCCUUCUUGCUCCGAUCUCCCCGUAGCCUAGGGCGUUGUCUGGGCCAAGAGCCAUAGUUAGUUGCUGUUUCCAUUUGCUUCUUUUUUUUUCUUGUUGUUGAUACCGGCAAGACCCAGCCAGAUGAUGUCUUCUGGUUGGUAGUGAGAGGACUUUUAGUACCUGCAUACCCAGGGGCGUCAAAAACAAGAAUUUGCUUUUUUUUCUUGCUCUCCCUUAGCAGCGGGGAAGGAGUCUAUCUAUCUGCCUAGCUUUGGUAGAUUUCCUCCAACGCAAUCCACAGAAAUGAAAGGAAUCCCUUGGUGGAUAAGAUAAGUCCGACGACGGAGCAGCAGUGCGGAAUGGACUUUCUCGUCUGGUGGAUCUGAUCUAUAGUUAGGGGGCAAUACAUACCAAAAGGUUCGAAGAAGGAAGGAAGAGGCGCAAUGAAAUAUGCGUUGAAGAAUGAACUCAUUCUCUUUCUACACUGACGACAUAUCCCGCCUCAGAAUAUUCCUUCCUGGGGUGGGACUCGCAUUGAUUGAAAUUGAUUGAAUCUUUCUUGAACUGAUGAGGCUUUCCAAGACGAGUAGACCGCUCCGUGGCCGCUUAUUGGGACCUGCAAGAAGCUGACUUUCUUUGCUUUCUUUCGUCGUCACAGUAGUUGGAAAAAGAAAAAGUCAAAGCAGCGGACCGCUUUUCAUCUGAAUAUCAGUCUAUUAAAGUGGUUCAUCAGCUUGAAACUGCGAAAGUGCUCAAGUAAGGAAAGAUAUGAAUCCUCGUUUAUAAAGCUCUGAUGAUCUUCUCUUUCCUCUAAGGCUUCGCACCUUUCUUUCGUCGAUUUCAGCUUCAAGACAGCGGAUCCCCAUAGAACCUAGGCCCCCUGAGGCCUGAGUUUCCCCUUCGUCAUCAGAUGCUAUUGGGAGCUGUGACCGCUAAAUUCAAUGGACCUAAUGGAUAGUCCGGAGGACUUCGGACGGAUGAAAGUAGCUACGUAGUCUUGUCUUCCCCGCUCCGUGGGCAUUGACUUCUUCAUUGAUUUGAUUUCAUCCUUCGAGAAUUCUUUGAGCCUUUGUUCAUUGAUCUUUACUGCUUUUCUUGGACUUUCUAGUGGUACUUUUCUCAGCAAAAAAGACGGCAAAUAGCCAAGUGAGAAAUCAAUGAACAAGGAUUAGCAUAUGCUUAGCACAUUCUCCAUUAGGAAAAAGACCUUCUCCUCUCGCGCGUAAACGAUGUUCCCUUCCCUUGAUUCUCUAAAUACGGCUUCGAUCACUCAUAUUACAUUGAGCCUUGCUUCCUAAUCCGAUUCUUAGACUGAGAAGACUUCGUCAUCGGCUUUUCAUGCUGUCCCAUUUAGAAAGUGCAGGACAAGAAGGAGUAUCUCCUUAGAGAAUUCUUCGGCCGAUCCAUCUGGAUACGGUAAGUAAUCUUCUUUCUAUUACUUAAUUACCUUGAAGAAUGAAAGAGCUGAAAGAGCUGCUGCAACUAAAGCCUCAGCUUCAAAACUUCAAAAAGCGAAUCAACUUCAUAAGGUCAAUCUGGCCUAGUAGCCCGAUUCCCCGACCUACCCCACCGCGUAGUGCGCUACCUCUCGCUGACUCAGGGAUUCUUUUUUGACUUCUCGUCCUCUCAAAUUCUUUGAGCCUUCUAUAUAUUCUUUGCACCAUCAAAGAAAGGUCCAGGGUCCGGAGUGCCAAAGAAAGGUCCAGGUGAUUUAUCCGUAGGACCAUCCAUAUGGAGGGAAGUAGUCCGCAGGAUUUAUCCGUAGGACCAUCCGUAAUUAACAGAAGUAGGACUAUCCGUAAUUAACCGAAGGAUAUAAGAGGAAAGCCAAAGGCGCGAAGCGAAGCGACUGAUCGAUGUUAUUGGCUGGAGAGGAGGACUCAAAAGAAAGAGAAACUGAUUAGCCGACUUAUACCGCGUAGUGGGCUUAUGAUAAGAAUUUGAGGCUUGUCGGCAGCUAAGGAUAUUCUUUCUUCCCGCGUAGUGCUUUCUUGAUUUUAUUAGUCGCAAAGUUCUUUAUAGAAGGCGCAAUUCAAUAUGCGUUGACAAGACUGAAUUCAUUGAGUGAAUCAGCGGAGGCGCAAAGAAUAUUGCGAUGAGUUGCGGGGCUAUUCUAAAAGAAAGAACUUAUUAUUAGAGUUAGACAGAAAUCAGAUCUUCUCCUUCUCUGCACCUACUAUUUAUUUGUCAGAAAGCCUAUCCUCGUCGAGCUGCAAGGGAUCCAUGAGGAAAGAGAUAGGCAUUUUUUUCACAUCCCAAAUUCAAAGAAGAAAAGAGAGAAUGAAAGAGGAUACCGAUCUCAGAACGGAUGAGGCAUCCUCAAGGGAUAAUGCUAACUGCACUCUUUCUAACCUACUUAAUGAUGACGAAAGAUUAUCAAAAACAAAUGUAUCGGUAUUAAUGAUUUUGAAAAAACUAUCCAAAAAAAAUGUAUCGGAGCGCAAACCUCCACCUCCUUCUACGUCCUACUUUAGUAAUCUUUUCAUAGUAAAGUCAAUCAUAAAAACCUCCUUCGUAGGGAUAUGAAAUUAGCCGCUCAUUAAUAUGAAGAGAAGAACCUAGCUUUUAUCAUAUUGAUUAUGAUAUGUCUAUAACUGGCUGAAGCAUCUAAAAAGGGAUGGGCUCUUUCCUGAUUUUUGAUUGUGAAAUACUCUUUUCACUCUGAUUUCAUGAUCCUGGGUUCAAGCGGUCGGUCCAUAGAAAUAAUAUGUGCUUAAUGAUUCUCGGAAAGAAAUGAAUGAAAUGAGGAUGCCGAAGCCUUUUGAAGUUAGUGGGACACGCCGAUACGACUUCUUUUACUCAAGGUUAGGAAAGAGAAGGCACCUCGCUCUUUGGGGGCUUCCAUCAAGACAAGAAGAGCCAGCGGCCCGGGUAGUAGAAGUAGCCUCACCUUUCAGGGGCAGCUGUGGCCUUUGAUGCCUCAGAUGUGACCGGAUCUCGCUUAUACGCAUGAGUUUAUUCGUGGCUUUUCAUGCGCCAUUAUAGAUCGUCCGUGGAUCGAUAGAGAAUGAGAUCGUAAGACCAGGGCCAAUAUAAAGCCCUUUCACAAGAUUAACUGGGAUAAAGAAGGUGAUUGAUUAGAGGAUCCAGAGAGAAAGAAGGACUGAUUUUAGCUGCCCAUGGAUUCAACCCCGCAAACUGCAGGUCGAAAGAAAAGGCCUUAUUGUACAUCUUUCACGCUCCAUCCCUCCUUCUACAUUACAUUUGCAGAUUCAAAGAAAAGUAGUGGGAAAGCAAAUCCAUUGUUUACGUGAAAAGUUGACGCUCAUGAAAUUUCAGAUUUGACCUUCUGGGGUGCAUUCUCAUCUAAAUCAUCUAAACUGGGGUCGGACCAGAGAAGGUUUAGGCGCCUCAAGCUCAAACUAAGAGGAAAGAGUAGGGGAGUCGGGAAUGAGAUCUUUCUCUUUCAUAAGCCUCCUCUCUCUCCUUAACUCUUCAGACUCAAUUAGAUCUCGCCUUUCAUCAGUCACUGAAAUCAGAAGAUUGAGUAGGGUGCGGAUUGAUCGGUUGCCGAAGGAAGAGAUCCUGAAUUCUUCCUUAAUCUUAAUGAGAUCUUUCCCAGUCAAGGAUGAAGAAAGAAGGCAGUGGCGCUAGAACAAAGGAGCUCGAAGACAAGAGUCAGAUUGCCUUCCCAGGGGAGAACCAGCUAGAACAAUGAUGAGGGUCGAAGGAGAGUUUCAGCUGAUCUUGUUUCAGGAGUAGCUGAGGCAGCUGCCCUUGAAAGAUGGGGGAGGGGCUGUGCCACCAGGUCUCAUCCUUCUUGCUGCUGUAGAAGUUGAAGUAGCCGCAUCCGUGGUUGUUGAGGAAGAAGUAGCUCUCCUUCGAAGAUGAAAGGGAUAGGCAGCGAGAAGUUAGUUCUUCCAUUGAAUAAGAAGGAUUCCCCAUUAGAAGCUCGAAUGAGUGAAGGAGCUGAGGAAGAGGAUAAGUAGCGUCAUGAAAGUGUCGGCGCUAGCUCUUGUUCUUGCAGAAGUAGGAGUUGAAAGGGAAGUAGUGGCUGUCGCGGUUGCAGCUCUUGUUGCAGAAAUAGCUGUCGCAGUAGUGGAAAGAGCAGUUGCUUAGUAGAAAGAAAGAUCGAUCGGGUAGGGAAUAUCAUAACUAAUGAGCAAGGAAAAGAGCUAGCCCUUUCAUCUCACUAUUUCCGAUUCCUCUUCGAGAAGAGAGCAAGCUGGAAGAACGAAAGCAACUGGAACAAGGAGAGGUGGGGUUGCUCGCGCGGACUGGAGCAUUUCUUCCCCAUCUGCAGUAGUUCCAUUAGAAGCAAGGAUAACUCAGAUUCAAGGGAAUACCGCGUACCUUUCUCUUCGAGUCGCGAGCAGCCUAAUCAAUUCCUCAACCUUUCUUCUGGGGACACUGGAAUUUCUUUCCAGAAAGAAGCUUUCUUCGCAACACAAAAAUACACAAAUAGAAGGUAUAGCUCAACCAAUUCAAGACAUCAAUGAACAAGGCUCAAAGAAUGAUCGAAGGAGAAAAGAAUUUGCGAAAGAGAAGUCCAUCAAUGAAAUGAAAUGAACAAGUCCUUCGCCUACUACAAUCAGUGGAAAGCGUCCCCGACUAAUUAAGCUAAUCUGGAGCCUUUCUUUCUCCUACGCGGAAGCGUAGCGGUUAAAGCUCAAUAUUCUUUGAGCCGUCCGGAGUCCGCAGGAUUCUUAUCCGGAGUCCGGAGGAUUUAUCCGUAGGACCAUCCGUAAUUAACCGAAGUAGUCCGGAGUCCGGAGGAUUCUUAUCCGUAGGACUAUCCAUAUGGAAGUAGGACCAUCCGUAAUUAACCGAAGCAGUCCGCAGGGCCAAAGAAAGGUCCAGGUGAUUUAUCCGUAGGACCAUCCAUAUGGAGGGAAGUAGUCCUACGUCCGCAGUCCGCAGGAUUUAUCCGUAGGACUAUCCAUUAGAAGUAGUCCGGAGGAUUUAUCCGUAGGACCAUCCGUAAUUAACCGAAGGAGUGGGCAGUCUAGUCAACGCAUAUUUCAUUGCGCCGGAGGACAGGUGGAAAUCUCAAAUUAAGGCUCAAGACGACCCCUUUAUUUAUGGAUGUUCAUUAAAUAGUGGGACUGAUUUUGAUCCAUAUUCAUGAACCGAAGGCGCAAAGAAUAUUGCGAAUCCGGAGGAGCAAUAAGACAGGGAUAUUGAUUUCCACUAAAUUCUCUCUUUAUUUUGAGUCCUACAAUUAGACGUGAGAGAUGAGGCCCACAACUUAUCCAGCAACGGACCCAAUUCGCCCUAUUCUCCCCUGUCCUGAGACUAAUAGAAAAAAGUACGGAUGGUUCUGACUCUUGUUGUCGAGCGGUAACCUAUCCUGUGUCUCGGGAAAGAAAAAUACCCUCUUUCAGAUAUACUAGAAUACCUAGUAGUGGGCUUCGUCAAAAUACCAGAAUAACGAGUAAUCCUACAUCCUAGACCCGUAACUCUUGAGCGGGCCACUCUACUCUCCCUAAUUCAACCGACUUCCUCUUUCAGUUCUAGGUCGAUACAGUUACCAGAAAAAAGAUAGGGUUCACACGGAUCGUAUUAUUUGUAUGUAAGCCGCUGAGAUCCAUAUCGUCUUGGUCGAUCCCAUUCCUAUCCCUCCCCUACAGUAAAAAGAGAUUCUGCUUUCUCUUCUUUCGAUAAUUCUUUGAUCCUCCUUAACUGCGCCCCACAUUUUAGCCUUACAGUCGAGCCGCUUUCGCUCCUAACUAGUGGUCUAAUCAAUUGAUUAAGAAGGCAUAUUCCUCGGAUCCGCUACGUGGGCUGGAGCUUUUCUUUUUGGAGUCGAAAUUCAACUCAUAUUAGAUCUCGCCUUCCUUCCGUCUCGACUUCCAAGGUAUGAAUAGGCUAACUGGAAAGGUGUGAAGCUGCUGAUGAGUUGGAGUUUGACAGGUAAUUACCAGUGGAAUCAGUAAGAUCAAUAGGAAUACAGAAAAUAGGAAGAAAUGAAUAACCGUCUUCUUGCAGCGGAGGCAUCCGUAUCCGUCUCUGCUUCCUUACUAUUCUCUUGAUUCAAUCGGAACUUUGCUUCAACCCCGUAAAUAGGGGAGAGAGAACUUGCUUCCCGAACGAAGAGGGACGCCGCCCCUUGCAGCUCGACCAGAUUGAGUAUUAGUAGUAGGAGUGGUAGAGGCAUUCUCUCGGCUCAUAGGUUACUAGUGUAGAGAGAGCUUAUUAGUCUCGACCAAAUGUUGCGGAACCCGUUGAGGAAGAAGGAAGGAAGAAAUUCUCUUUCAAGCUAGGGAAAAGACAGAGGAAUGGGAAUUGAAUUGUUCUCAACAUAGAAUGAGAGGAGCCUGCCUGGAAAGAAAGAGGACCAAGGCGAAUUCUCAGUGUCGGCGGAGUCAGUUUAGGAAGUGGCUGCCCUUGCUCUUGAAUGAGAUAGUCUAAGGAGUCAAAGUCGAGACUGGCAAGCAAAGAGGUCCAAGGCAUCACGCAAUAUUCUUUGCUCCACUAGGCUGCUUGAUAUUUGGACGCUCCGAAGGCCUCCGUAGGCCUCCUCUUGAGCUCUUUUCUGUCUUCCCGCUCCCUCCCGCUCCGUGGGAAUUGAACCGCUCCGUCGGUCCUAGUCUGAAAACCUUUGCCUUUUUAUUCGCUACGUGGGCUUCCGUUCGGAUUGCUCGAACCUAUUUAUUUUAGGUUUAGGAGUUCAAAGCCUCGCGCUAAGGUGGUAGUCUCGCAUCUUUCCCCUACCCGAUCUCAGACCUUCCCCCAGCUGCCCUUCCUUAUCCCCUGUCGAAACUGAGACAGUCUGGGUCUUAGCCGAAGCGAGACCAAGGGUUGAAUGUGCGACUUGUGCGAUUUCCCAUCACUCUACUCUGCGGUCAAAUCUUCUUUUUCCCACUAGUCAGAAUCACUCUACUCCGCAGUUUUGGGCUAUGCUAGCUGAAAGAUUUUUCAUAAAAUCAGCCCUAGAUUUUCAUCUAUUAUUUUUUAUACGCUCUCAAAUCGACUUUUCCCGCGAAAUGAAGCAAGGGAAUGAAGAUGCUCCAAACAAAGUCUGAAACCCUACUCAAUCCAAAGGAGGACUCUGAAGAAAGAUCAAGCCUAGCGAAGCCAACUCCAAAGGUGUUGAUGAGCGCAAAGAAGACGACUUUCGCCUAUUUUUUGGUCUCAUUGACUUCUAAUGGAUAGUCAUCUGGACCUUUCUUCUUUGACCGCCUUGAUUUUGCUGAACUUUGAAUGAAUAUGGAUAGUCCUACGCCUUAAUAGUCCUUCGGACCUGUCUUAUGGAGCAUCGACCGACUUGAUUCUCUUCUUUGAUUUACAAUAAGGCGAAACCUGAAACAAGGGUUUCACAUUCCAAAAAGUAUAUGAUCCCUCCCACUGGCAGCAGCAAGGCGGUAUGAGAUCUCUCAUUCUAAGGUGCAUCCGUUUCCGGAAUUGAAUUUGGAUCGGUAUUCAUAGGCUUUCCCGCCGGGUUAAUUAGUAGGGUCGUAGGGACCAUUCGCUAGGGCAUGAUCUCUUUCCCUUUCAGAAUAUAGGGUUCGGGGAAGUAGCUCUCCCGUUGCAGGAAAGGGAAUUCUCUUAAUAGGGUCUUGCUUUCUUUCGUUAUACAGUGGGAUCAAUGGGCAUCCAUCUUGAUAAGGGAAUGAGACCGCCAUAAAAAAAAGAUAGGGGGGGUUGAGGCUACUUAUCUUUAUUAGAGAAGGAUGGUAGGUAGAUAAAAAGACAAGACGGCUAUGAAGAGUGAGAGAUUGAAAGAUGGGAAAAGAAGCGAAAGCAAUUGCAAGAAGAAGGUUCACCACUGAAAGAACUAAAGCAAGAGCGCGAGUGAGGUUGGGGAUUUGAAAGAGUAUUCCACCCUUAACCUUUUCUUGAAAAGAUUAUUAUCAAUAUCAAGAGCGCUUUCCGGGUCAGACACCGAUCGGCAUAUCUUUUGACAGUGAGGUAAACUUCUUUCAUUUUUGGAAAGGCGUAUGAGAUUAUCAAUCUCAUUUCAUGAUUUGACUGCCGGGCGAUUUCCCAUUCAAUCUUCCAUGAAAACCAUACCCAAAUGGGGAAGGUCAACCAUUUGGUGUCCAUUUUUCACAUCUCUUUUCCCGUGCGGAGGUUCUGAUAGGACGCUGCUUGACUAAGAAGAGAGGAGGUUGCUUGGGGCUGUGGAAGUUGCUUCCUUUCGGUAAGCUGAAAGAUGUGAUCUGGCCCUCGGCCUUGGACUCCCAAGAGAAGAAAUCCAAACAAAGAUGAUAAGAUAAAUGGAAUCAACCCCUCGUUCUACCCGUGGGGACGGUUGAGCUGACCAUAGGAAAGAGCUCUUCCGACCGGUCACCUGGACCCUUCUUUUUAAAGAAGAAGAAAUUCAAUUGAAUUUCAUAGUAAUUUCUUUUCAAUCAUCAGGCUCAAAGAAUUUGAGAAAGAGUAUUCCAAAGAUUACUAUCUGCUGCUCUGAAUUUCAAUAUAUAUAUAAGAAAGUAUUCCUUUAUCAAGCUCGAAUAUGAAAUAAAUAAGUUGAAGAAGAAAAAUAAUAAGUUGAAAGAAGAAGAAGAAAGCCCACCUUCCAACUAGGGAGCAUCUGGACCCUUUCGUCAUUGAGUAGUAAUUCAGCCUUUUCUUCUUCUUAGUUUGGAAUACUUAAAAGAUAAAAACCGCGAAAUCCAAUAAUAAGGAAAAAGAAUGGGCUUCCCAGUCCCUUCCAUUAUACUUGUCCAGCCUGAUACUCGACUCAAUGAAUUCAGCGAAUCUGAAUAGGAUUUCCUCAUCAUAAAUCUUCUAUAGCUCAAAGAAUGAUCGAAGAAUAAUGAAAAAAUUGCUCUUUCUCUUAGAUUCCAGAAGAGGUAUUUUGAUCUUUUAGAAAGAGAAGAAUUACUUAAUUAUGAUCGCCUUUGUUCAUUACUACGAAUGUGCGGGGCUCUAAAUAAGAGUCAUUUUCGAUAUCGUAUAUCAGAUUUCCUGAAUCCCGGGACAAGACCUAGGGGAUCCGUCCCUACAUUUUUCUCUUUCAUUCUUUCUGUGAGUCUGAGAUGAGGCAUUCUUUCUCUGGUUAAGUGAAAAUUAUUGAGGAAGAGGAAGAAUUCCGAUAGUAUGAAAGGUACCGCUACGUGGGCAUUCCCAGCUAGGGAAGAGAAAGAGAGAGAGAAGAGGCCGGGCAAGGAGAAGAAUUCCAACGAUUAUUAUACCGGAAUAUCCUAUCCAUUUUUUUCUUGUAAUCUGAAUCUUCCCUUUAUUAUUUGAUCCGACCCUCUCCUUCUAGAACCUAUAAACUCGAAUCGCUGAGUACAGUUUUUGUUCAUUAAAAACCUGCGAGACUGGUAAUAAAUAGUUAGAAGGGAAUGCGCAUCCUCGUAGCCGAUUGACUUCUCUUGAUCUUUUAUAAGUCAACUCUUUCUUAUCAUAUGGAAUCGCACGAGAUCUCACCUCCUACGCAGAGUCAAAAAAUAGGAUUUGUAAAUUGGGUUUCGGUCAAUUAUGAUUCUGGCAUUCCAGACUAAAUCAUCAAAAUCUCCGCGCUUUGCUGUCGAAACUAAGACAAAGACUGGUAUUUCAGCGCUCGGCGGACUUGGCGGAUUGGGAUGGACUUCUUAACCUCCAUUCGUCUUGAUCUCCACCUACGAGUGUGGGAACUGAAUAAGACCUAAUACUGACUACUACCGCGAUUGAGGAAGAGGAGAAUAUUCCUUCAGUUAUCAAAUUCAUUGAAUUCCAGGCAAUCUUCGAAGUGCGCGUAUAAAGAGCAAGGUAAGAAGUCCUCGAGGUUUCGUUCUCAUAUGAAUUCAGCCUAUCCAAGGCAAGUGGUCAUUGUCUGGUCACACCCGUGGAAAGGUUAUUGGCCUCUGUGAAUUGAUGCUCAGUCGAUCCGGGGCAUAAUAGGUUUCUGGUCGCCGACUAGCUCUCUGUAUCAGCACCUUGUGAUCUGAUCUUUUCUCAUUACGAGCCCUCUCCGCUCCGUGGGGUCCUACGAAGAGCUAAGCAAAUUCUCCCCAACGAAUCCUUCUAAGUCGCAAUAUUCUUUGCGCCUCUCAAAUUUCAUUCUCACGCAUAUUUCAUUGCGCCUCCAAAGUCAAAUUCUCUAAUGGAUAGGCCUUGGCAAUAUUCUUUGCGCCUUCUGGAAAUCUUCUUUGAACCGGAGGACCGUCCGAAGGACUGAUUUUGAUCCAUAUGAAUGAGGCGGAGGACGCCUAUUUUUUGGAAAGAAGAAAGCAUUAUGUUCCUUACAAUAUCCCUGUCUUAUGGAGCCUUGUCGAGCUUCGAUAAUUCUUUCUUUUAAAGGAAGAUGAACCGUCAAAGAAAGGUCCAGGCGCAAAGAAUUUGCGGGUCCAUAUUAACCUCUUUGCGCCUCCGGACUUCUUUAUCCAUUGAAUUUAACCUAACUACGGCUCCUCUUCAGUCGUUUUCUACCCCGCUAGAAAUCCUUUGUUUUUGGAGCACGUAGAAGGAGGCUGAAUUCAUAUGAGUUUAAAAGACCGCUCCAGGCGCAAAGCAUAUUGCGUGAGAUUCCACUAACUAAUAUUCCGACCGCUCCAACUAACCUCUGCGGUCAGUCCUUCGGACCAGCUUGCUAUGAAUCAUAUUGUCAAAUAAGCCUUUGUGGACUCCUCCUACGCUCAAUAUUCUUUGAGCCUCCAGGACGUCGUCUGGACCCUUAUUUCCAUAUGAAUUUGUGCAUCUUUGCUUAGCUUAAUGAGCUCAUUUUCUUUUCUUUACGUAAAGUCUUCGCCCCAAUGAAUAUGGGGAUCGUUGGAAUAAGACUCGUCCGGAGCCGUAGUUAGGGGCAAAGAAUAUUGCGAAAACGUAGGCGCAAAGAAUAUUGCGGAGAAGAAGAUUUCCAAGACUGGUCCGUCCUCCUUACUCAAGGAUUCCGCUAAAGUGCGAGGCGCAAAGCAUAUUGCGUGAGAAAUCCCGUCCUCAGUCCUAUCCAUAUUAAGCUGUCUGUCCUUCGGACCUGUGGUCUAAUCAAUUGAUUAAGAAUCGAUAAUUCAGGCUCAAGACGAUCUCCAUGGGCUCGCUUUCUUUGGAUGGACGGAGGAGAGGCGCGUAGCGCGUAAAAGAAAAGAGGUCUUUAUCUUUCUACGUUGAGGCGCAGCAGUUGACUGGACAUCUAGGGGUAAAGCACUCUUUCGGUGCGGGCCGCGAGAGCGGUACCAGCAAACUCUGAAUACUAGAUAUGAUCUCAAAAUAACAGGGGUCAAGGUCGGCCAGUGAGACGAUGGGGGAUAAGCUUCAUCGUCGAGAGGGAAAGAGCCCGGAUCACCAGCUAAGGAACCUACCCCUAAAUGACCGCUCAGUGAUAAAGAUAAAGGAGGUAGGGGUGCAGAGACAGCCAGGAGGUUUGCCUAGAAGGAGCCACCCUUGAAAGAGUGCGUAAUAGCUCACUGAUCGAGCGCUCUUGCGCCGAAGAUGAACGGGGCUAAGCGAUCUGCCGAAGCUGUGGGAUGUAAGCAUCGGUAGGGGAGCGUUCCGCCUUAGAGGGAAGCACCUGCGCGAGCAGUUGUGGACGAAGCGGAAGCGAGAAUGUCGGCUUGAGUAAGGCAAAGAUUGGUGAGAAUCCAAUGCCCCGAAAACCGCGUAGUGGGGGUUCCUCCGCAAGGUUCGUCCACGGAGGGUGAGUCAGGGCCUAAGAUCAGGCCGAAAGGCGUAGUCGAUGGACAAGAGGUUCAUAUUCCAGUACUACCCCUUGUUGGUCCCGAGGGACGGAGGAGGCUAGGUUAGCCGAAAGAUGGUUAUCGGUUCAAGGACGCAAGGUGCCCCUGUUUUUUUAGGCUAAGAAGGGGUAGAGAAAAUACCUCGAGCCAAUGUUCGAGUACCAGGCGCUACGGCGCUGAAGUAAGCCAUGCCAUACUCCCAGGAAAAGCUCGAAGGACUUCUUUAUCCAUUGAAUUAGGCGACUUGUCUUCAGACGAGUCAAUGAAAAGUGAAAAAAGGAAAACUCUCAUUGUGAUCGCCAUUCUCUUCUUUCCGUCGGAGGCGAAGGACCAAUCUUUUUUUACCGCUCCCUCCGCUCGUCUUGAGCCUUAAUUUGAUCCCCCUACGUGGGCGAGAAAUAUCCGGUGAAGGCGCAAAGAAAGAAGCUCAUUAACGAUAAUGAAAGCAGAAUGAACUCAUUAACGAGAAUGAAAGAAGCUCAAAAUGGGAAUGAAAGAAUCCGAUCAUUCUUUGAGCCUUGUUUUUACGGAGUGAAAUAAAGAAUAGACCCGUAUUUCUCCGGACCAGAAACUAGAAGUUUGAACAAACUAUGUGAAUUUCUUAUCCCUUUAUGAUUCUUUCAUUGCUAUUUCCCGGCUUUUUUGCUUCUAAAUAGGACUUUUUCGACUUUUCUUAUCUAACGAAAAUAGAUCAAAAAUGACAGAUUUUUCAUGAUUUCUUGCUACUUUAUAGGCCCAAAACCUAGCAAAAUCUUGUAUUUCCCUCCGUAAAAACAAGGUUAUUCAAUCCGAAUUAUUCUUUCAUUCUCGUUAAUGAGUGAAUUAUUCUUUUCUUUGAUUGACUUUGAACAGGCGCAAAGAAUUUGCGAAGAAGGACUAUCCAUUAGGGAACGUGAGAAAGAAUAUUGCGUGAGAGAGAGGGAGCUAUUUCCCAAGGCAAUUAAUAUCAAGGCAUAAAUCAAAGACAAAGAAGCUUCUCGACCUGGUACGAAGCGAGAGCUAUCAGAAUCUGAAGAAUGAAAAUGAAGCUCUCAAAAGAAAGAGGGACUUGCUCAACGGAGGGACGGACGCUCCACGCUCCACAGCGGGAGGACGCGCCUAAUUCAUCGGGUUAUGCUUAGGUUCGGUUCGGAAAGGAGCUCGCUCAGUCAUUCCAUUAGCAUCAGAAGGUGAAAAGAAUAUUGACAGGACCACCAGGCCUAUUCAAGUGCAAAAAGAAAGGUCCAGGCGCAAAGAAUAUUGCGAAUAGCUAUUACUUUAUUUGGAGGACGAGACGGAGUGAACGAAGUCGAUUACAUAGUGGCUCGCCCCACGGAGCGGUUACGAGCGUUCUAAUGGAUAGUCCGGAGGACCACGGAGCGGUCAUGAGCGAGAGGAUCCAGGCUCGACACCAGUAGUAGCAAUUGUUGAGGAGACAGGCUCGGCCGGUUAAAUGGAUAGGACCCACGGAGCGGUGCAAAGAAUAUAUAGAAGGCGCAAUUCAAUAUGCGAGGUCCAGAUGAGUAAGAAAGAUUUCCUUAACUCCUAACGUCUGCGACUCAAAGUAAUAGCUAUAAUGAGUCCUCCCUCCUUUAGGAGUCUUCUUCAUAGUCCUCCCUCUCAAAAUGGGGAUGAAUAGUCCGGAGGACCAUCUGGACCCGUCCGGAGGACUGAUUAAUGGAAGCAAAAGAGUCAUGAUCCCUUAUAAAGCAGUUUCAGACGUUAGGAGCAAAGAAUAUUGCGAAAGAGUCAUGAUCCCUUACAGACUUAGGAUCAAUGAAAUUUGAUGAGUCAUGAUCCACUAGGUGCAAAUCUUGUUAUAGAUUAUGCUGAUUAAUAUGGAUAGUCCUUCGCAAAUUCUUUGCGCGGAGGGCUCAAAGAAUCCAAAAAGAAAGGUCCAGGCGCAAAGAAUAUUGCGUUCGUAGCCAUUAUCGAAGAAAAAUCCGUAAAUAAUAAGGCUCGGCUCGUGUGCAGGACAAAGGCCCCAAGAGAGGCAGAAUCAAAACCCCACCAGGGAUCGGAUCUAUGGAAAGAAAGGUCUCAAUCGCGGGUCAGGAAAACUAAGACGCUUAGAGAGCCACGGGCUCUUUCCGUCUACGAAGGAAGCCACCGCCCUCCUCAGAAGUUGAUCUUGCGUCCGAGGUAGAGGUCCUUUUCCCUCUUUCUUUGGAAGUGGAGUAUGACUUCGGUAGUAGAUUGAAUAAACUGCUAGCUCCCUUCUUUCGAGGUGGGAAGCCGCUGUCAGUCUUGAGUCAGACUUCGUUAUUAGUUCGUGGAAUCUGAACUAAGAUCGGUGCGGGUAAGACCUCAGGCAGAGUUUCAGUUUCAAUCCAUCACUCCACUCGGACGAAAGGGAAAGAGUACAAACCCACCUAUCCAUUAUUAGGGGUCUUAGCAUCUCCACAUCAAGGGGCUAAGGCUUGAUUAUUUCAUGGAAUGUGUCUCAUAAUCGUAAGAUAAAAGAGAAGGUACCCUAGAAGUAAUAGCGCGACCAGAGUCAGAAGCUGCUAGCUAGGCGCCCUAGAUCUGAGAGGCGAAAGGGUCGAGUGAGUUCUAGAACGAGAGAGAAAGAGACCUGAGGCAUCCAUGCCCUGCUUUUUUUUGUUUACCCAAUAUCCCUUGAAUAGGAAAGGAAUGAGCCCUAGCUUUAUGCCAGAACCCACGGAGCGGUGAGGACCGACUUUCAUAAUUCUCGCAAUCGCCUAUCCAUUUUCUAUAGGAUAGACUGGAGCUCACCCGAGGGAAGAAGUACUGUAUCGGGGAAUGGGACCCCACGGGGCCUCCAGCUCGACCUUCCCCAGUGGGCGUAAUUAAGGAAAGGAGACCCCCUCCCUUAUAAUUGAACCGUUAAGCCCACUCCUCCUUCAGCAUAAUCUACGAAGCGCAUUUAUUAAAGAAGAAAGGCUCCUUUCAUAUUGAGAAUAUUGCUGGAAGAUUUGCACUGGGGGAUAUUGAUUUGUUGGAACUAAAAACCGAUGUCAUUGACUCUUAGGCGGAGGACCUAGAAUAUCCCUGUCUUAUGGAGCCUCCUCCUACGCGUCCAGAUCCCCAUAUGAAUUAGGCGAAGGACUGAUUAAUUCCACUAAUAUUUCUCCGGACCAUUAAGAAAGAAUGUCCUUCUGACUAUUCGUCCUAUUUCUUUAGAAGGACGAUCUAUCUCUUGAUUUUCUUUUGGGGAAGAUCUUCCUCUUCUUUCAGAUUCCCGCCGGCAUAUAUGAGGGAGGGAUGGGAAUUGGGCCUCAGCCUCAGAGCUCUUGUAUCAGACAGAGGGGGAAAAGACCUAGUGCACAUUACCGAGUCCGGGAUAGAGGCCGCCCGCCCAAAGAUCACUUCUUGGGAUAUCUGGUCUAGCCAUUGGUCUUACCGACUCCCGUUUCGCCUUUGCCUGGGCCUAGGUGAUCGCUCAUAAGCAUCUGCUUGGACAGCCCGAGUGGUCCCACUUUGAUCUUACCCAUGAAACCUACUCAGACGGGACUCAAAAAUCAGCCCUUGCUUUCUCUUUGUUUAUUGAUUUCAUUCUAGGGAAGGAAUCCAGGCCUCGUUUUCAUCCAUUUCUGACUUGUUCAUAGAAUAGAAUAAUUGCUUAAAAAGAAACUUCCACAGGUCCGAAAAUCAAUGAACUCUGCGGGUAGAUUUCAGACUACGACUGAGGUCUAAAUAUAGAAAGUCUUUUUUUGAAUCAGACUCGUCCUUCCGCGGUUCUGAACAUGAAUAUGGGGAUCGUUGGGGAAUCAAUUGAUAAGGAAUCUUCUCAUAUUCAUUCAGCCUCAAGACUCAACAAUAUCCCCCAACUACGUUGCCUCAGUCGCAGCUUCAAGUUCCAGGCAAUAUUCUUUGCUCCUAACCUUUGCGGUCAGUCCUUCGGACCAGCUGACUAUCCAACCUAAAUAGGAAGGAGUCUUAGAGCGGACGUCGCAAUAUUCUUUCUCAUAUUUCGGCAAUAUUCUUUCUCUGGGUUAAUAUGGAUAGGACUGAGGACGGGGGAUGUGAGUUGCUCAAAGAAUCCCACACCUCUCACGGUAGACGAAGAGAUAAUGACUAUUUAUACCGGAACUAAUGGUUAUCUUGAUUCAUUCGAAAUUGGACAAGUAAUGAAAUAUUCUUUUUUUCCUUGAGUUAGGCGAAUAAACCGCCUCAAUGAACAAAGGGUGGGGUUCCUCUUCCUCUUUUUGUAGUUAUUCCGAUCCGCCAUAAAAAGAGAUAGGGCUUUCUUCUUCCUAUGAAACUCAUGAAAGAGCUUUUUUCCUAUACCUCUGACUCAAGAUGGAUUCCUCUUACCCCUCCGAUCCCGAGAAAGAAAGCGGAAAUCUUCUUUUCACCUCUGCCGCUGGUCGAGUCCUUUGCCCCUGGAUAGCUGCUUUUCCUACUUAUUCGUCAUCCUUAGUUUGCAUGAUAAAGGGUUUAUUCAAUUCACGUCAAAUCCUUUUCCUGGGAAAGAUGUCAAAAAGUCAGGUUUCGCCUAUGGAUAGGGGCAUUCUUUCUAGUUAGAUCAAUGGAAUGGCUAGUCAAGACCAGGAAAAACCUGUGCUGCCCACACCAGGGAGGGGGCAGAGGCCAAGACUCAUAAUAUCCGAGAGGGCGACCACUUUACCUGCUUUCCUCUUGAGCGCCCUACUUAUGAUAAUGGGUUCAUUCACUCAAUUCCAUCUCGCCUGCCUUUGAAUUUCAGGUAAUUUGAUUGAAAGCCUUGCCCGAGAAUGCUUGGGAGCACCUUGGUUUAAACCAUAGGCGAGCCCUAUAAUAAAGAAUUUGGUUGACUACCCCCUUCCGCUGGAUUGAAAAAUCAUCCUUUGGUCCAGCAGUCAAAGAACUGACUUUUUUUGAGUGCUUGCUCGACCUACUCCUAAAAGCAUACAUCAGUCCGAAAUUCCCCUAUUGGAAGCAGAGUGAACUAGAGGAGCUCCUAUCUUUUAUGGCAGAUAGGCGGAUAGAAGGAUUUUCCUACAAAAAGAACUCGCUAAUGAAAGAAUUGAAUAUGGAUUGACGCCUGGUAAGGAUAGGUUUGAAUCAGCGGAACUAGGCUCAAAGUAACAAGUCAGAGCUAUCCCUUAUUAUUGAGGGCUUUGACCCGCGCAAAGAAUUUGCGAAAGCUGCGACCCACUACGCUCCCUGAUGGAUAGUCCGGAGGACCACUACGCGGGAAGAAAGAAUAUCCUUAGCUGCCGUGAGACAGGGAUAUUGUGAAAAAACAAGGCUCCGAAGUGAUCAAAAAAGUUCAGACUCCUUUUGAUAGGCUUUCUUUUCAGUCCUCAGGUUAAUAUAGUGGAAUUCUUUGAACGUCCAGAUCCCCAUAUUCAGUAGGCGAAGGACUUUGACUUAGUGGAUAAGAGAGGUCCUUCGGACUGGUAAAAUGCUAUUUUUCAUCUAUCAAUAUCCGAAGUAUUAGGCGCAAAGAAUAUUGCGAGAAGGAGAGGGAUGAAAUAGCGAGACCGUAGGGAGAGGGAUGACUCUCAUCUCAAAUUUCUAAUACCUCAUAUCAUGGAAAUAUGGAGGUCAUUGAAUAAUGGCAUCCAAAAAUGCAGAUUUGAAGCAAAGAAAAAAGACCGCUUCGGGGAUCGCAUAUGAAGAUCCUGAUCUCACCAUCUCGGGAGAUCGACUCUGUCCCCUCUUGGUCUAGCUCGUCGUCAACUCGGCUUAGCGUGAUAGGCAUUCUCUUCAAUACUCGUUUACUCUUAUGUAUGAAAGAGAAUUCUUCUAGGCCGACCAAGCGGGUCCUAUCUUUGAGUGAAGAAAAAGCUAAUAGGUCAUGCGCGGGCGCGCCCGCCGAAUCAGUCUUGACGCUUGGAAUCCUUAUACUUCUUCUCCUUCGAGAUAGAGAAGAUCAUGAACUCUUAUAUAUAUAUGAGUGAAUAUACUAUCUGCCGCUUUUAAGAAAAGAAAGAAGAACUUCUGCUACGGAAACGGCGGCUCGAGCGGACUCAGUCUGGCGACCCGACUAAAGAGAGUUUUGAAGCACAAGUUCACCUUAUCAAUGAGUUAAAGAAUAUAGACAAAGAAAGGAGGCAAGGAAUGAAGCAAUCAAUGAUUGAGAACAACUCCUUCGGAGCGCUCCUACUCCGUCUUAUGUAGUGUAGUGCCGUAGGUCUUUUCAUGCGAAAAUGAACUAUUUGACCUCUCCUUUUGACUCCUCCUCCGGACGUAGAAGGCGCAUAUUGCGAGAAGGUUGAGGUCAUUUUUUCUAAGAAAGAAGAGGGACAUAAGAAGAAAAGUCAAUGAACAAAUCAGCCACGCGAUUAGCCUGACGAUCGAGCCGAUCCACGGAUGAGGUCUCUUUCUUCAAGAAGAUCGGAAACUGGAGCCUCAGAUGCCACAGCCACUAUCUUCAGAGCGGGUUUAUUAAGAGUGAACAAUGAAAGAGAAGUGUAGACCCCAGCAAUGGUUGAACUAUGGGGGCACCCUCAUUCCAGCUUCAAAAGUACUAAUUAGUGGAAGGCAUCUUUGCGCCUCCGGACUAUCCAUAUUAAGAAAGAGUGAGAAAGAAUAAUCCCACGAGCGACUCUAGCUUGGACAUAAGCUCUGGCGGAGAAGAGAGAGAUUUGUCUUAUCUUUCGUCCCUAGCGCCUUAUUGACAGGGUCGAUUCCUCUCCGCAAUAUUCUUUGCGCCUCCGUCUAGAAUUUCAUUCCUCUUUAGUUUUAGUUUAGUCUCGCAACUGCAUUCCUUAGUAAGGAGUUUGGAAUGCUUCCACUUCUUCUCCUUCAAGAACCCGAACGGAUAAUGUGUCUGAGCGGAACGAUUUACGUCAAUCAAAGUACAAAUCAGCCACGCGAUUAGCCUGACGAUCGAGUCCCUGAACUAGCAAAAGUUCCAUAAAUCAGUCAAGAGGAUCAAUGAAAUUUGAUGAUGAUGACAGGCGCAAAGAAUUUGCGAAGAAGGACUAUCCAUCAGGGAGGUGCAAAGAAUAUUGCGCUAAAGGUCUAUCAAAUGCAUUCCUCUCCGAGCUUCCUCUUCCCCUAUUUCCUAUUAUAUAAGGCGAGCCUAUUUCCUCUCUUUUCCCUUUGAGCAAUAUUCUUUGCGCCUCUUCCUUUCUUUCUCGACUGGGACACUGCAAUUUCUUCUUUUCAACGACUUAUAUCUUUUUCUAUAAAAGAAGCUUGAUUUGCCCUUCUAUAAAGAAGGUAUAGCUCAACCCACGUAGCGGUAAGGUAGGUCUGCUGAUCUGUCUUCCGACUGAGAUAUGACCAUAUCCCGGUUUCGGUCGGGUCAAUCCAGUCGCCUAUCUGCUUCGCUUACUAGAUGGAGUCUUUCUUUUAGAGUACUGAGAAUACGAACUGCAAGCUGCUCGGACUAACCCAGCCGAUCAAAGAGUGGCUUUCCACGAACCAUGUUUUGAAGUGCAAACUCUUUUCCCAUGGAAGAUCUGAAUUGGUGGACCUCUGUACGAUUAGGGCGAAGUCCACCCGUGCAAGAAUCCCUUUGUUUUGGGUUCCCCAUGUGCUUUUUAUUAGUGCGAAUGCACAAAUCCCCACGGUUUUUUAUGACUUACUCAACUCUGAAUCACUCUACGGAGCUGUUUUGACAUAGGGAAAGUAUAAGAAGUUCAGUAAAGAACAAAGAAGAAUGAGAAGAGAAGAAGACUUUUUCAAAGUAUGAAAGGAUCAGAUCUAAAGUAGAGAGAACCAAUAUUACUUGAGCAGGUGCGAAGCCUUAGAGGGAAAGAGAAGAUCAGAAAUCAAAGCACUAUUUUAAGCUUAUGAACUGAGUCUUACUUGAGCAGUUCUUGUUCAACUUAUUGAAUUUCAUAGAAUUGACUUAAUUAUGACUUAGAUUUCAUAGAUUCUUAUUAAAUAAUCUUUCGCACUUUCUUGAUGAUGAGGCGAUCAGAAUGAUCGGAGUGCAAGUGCAUUAGAAAUCCCAUUGUGCACAUUUACCCUCUAUUCUAAAACCUCUUUUACGGGAUUCGGACAAGUCUAGUCUGGAAUACGAACUGAUCCUUCUCCUUCUCAAAUUCUUUGAUCCUUUACUCAUUAGUGAUUUUGAAUACGGAAUAAUCCACCCUAAAAAGUAGGAGGAUACCGAUUCUGGCUUCGCCCCUCUUUCCUCCUAUUCGGGCGGUCCUAUUCACACCCGAUCCCGUCUCCCUCUCACUCUCCGCCCCGUGGGUUUCAUCGACCGUACUCUGACUCUUACUCAAGACUAACCUCCUUGACUCAAGACUAACCCUCUCCUUUCCAGUCGAGUUCUUUCGCACCGCUACGUGGGCUUUCCAGUCCUCUACCCGAACCUGUCCCACUACACAAUAUCCCCUCAUACCUUCUCUCUCAAUUUCUUCUUCAAUCGAUGAAUAUCCGCAAAAGAAAAGGUACUCAGAAAAAGGAAUGAAUAAGAGAAAAGCUAGCCUGAUGGGCCGCUUAGUCGGUCCUUCGAACCAGCCCUUGAAAGAGCACUCCCCUAUUAUAUUAAGUCAAGCUUUUUCUCCCUUCUUCUUUCUUCUUUCACAUGGUUUCCGAAUCAGAAUGAAUGAGCGGCUAAUAUCCCUACGACCAAGAGCAAGCAAACUCAUAAAGUAGGGGAGGAAGGUAAUCAUGGGGCAGGAGGUUUCUUAUUAAAUAGAAUAAGAGCUUUCCGUCUUUCUCUUCAAUACCGUCAAAAAAAGACCGUCGAAGUAUGCGCUUCCUCUCUUCUCGCCCUAUGCGCCUUCUUCUUCUGUUCCCACUCUGCGGUACGGAAUCUUCCUUUGGCGCAGUGCUAUGGAGCAUUUCCCUUUCCCACCGGUCAUACACCGAAACCAUUGUAACCAUUGUCUUAAGCAUAGCCUGUCCUUAUCGUCCAUUCAAACUUGAAAGAAUUGCAUUCAUGAUCGAAUUACUAUACAGAUUACAAGGAAUCAAAGUCCUCCCCAUCCAUCAUUCAUAGCACAAGUCCGACUAUCCUACUAGGGGGCACAAACUCCCCACCAUAAGAAGAGGCUUAGGCGCCCCCAUAGCGUGGAUCGGUAUCGGUCGACCCUACAUUCCUAUGAAAGAGCUGAUUUUGCUCUUUGGGGGGAGAAGAGGAAGCCGCUUAUCGAGCCACAGUUUAGGCUCUUUCCGUCUCAGUUCUUUAGGCAGGAAUGCGAGACCGGUCAUUUGUUGAGGAUGCACCACCAUCCUACUCGGUUGAAGCUUUUCUUCUUGAGGAAGAGGUCCUGGCUGAAAAGGAAUCAAUCGCCCCAGUGGCUGGCAGGAUCUCUUUGUCUGACUUUCUUUUCUGUUUAUGUACAAGUCGUUCUUUCAUAAAGAGAAGUUGUAGGGCAUAUCUCUCUUUCCUCACGCGAAAGGAUUCUUUCUGUACUUUUACAUGUCAAUGUAUUGACUUUGACAAGGAAGAAGAAGAGAAAGUUCAGUCAGCCCACGUAGCGGUAAAGGAGAGGCAUAAUAUAAGGAUAGGAGGCAAGGCUCUUUGAAUUUGAGAAGAAGCGAAGCUAGGCUUCAUAGGAGAAAGUUCAGUCAGGCGCAAAGAAUAUUGCGUGAUUGAUGCAAUUCAAUUCCUCUCAUCAAAAACCUAGAAAAGUAAUAGGAUGAAUAGUCAGAAGGUGCAAAGAAUAUUGCGGAGUUUGGUCCUCCGCCUUACAAUAUCCCUGUCUCAAAUUAAGGAUCUGGACCUUGAUUUUUCAUGGAUCUUUUUUGAUGCAUCUGGACACUACACAAUAUCCCCUCGCAAAUUCUUUGCUCCUCCUCUCAGUCGAGCUCCUUCUCGCAAUAUUCUUUGCGCCUCCCUGUCUCCUCCUAAUGGAUAGUCCUACUUCGGUUAAUUACGGAUGGUCCUACGGAUAAAUCACCUGGACCUUUCUUUGGCCCUGCGGACUCCGGACGUAGGACCUGUCUUUAUCAGGAGCGUAGCGAACAGCCGUCAACUACUUUCUAUUUAUCCUAUCCUUUCUUUCGGAGUAGCUCCAGCGUAGCGUAGCGGUGAAAGCUCAAAUUGCAUUGAGCCUGUUCAAAGUCAAUCAAAGAAAAUCCGUUCAUUAACGAUAAUGAAAGAAGAAAAAAAGCAAAUUCAUCUGCUAGAUUUCAGACAUCUUUGCUUAAUGAAGACGGAGUGAAUUCCAUGAUUUUGCUAGGUUUUGCCCAUAGGAAGUAGCAAGAAAAGACAAAAAAUCAGUCAAAAAAGUACUUUUAUCGUUAAAUAUCAAUAUGAGAAAAAGUAUGAAAAAGAAGCAAAAAAGCCGGGAAAUAGCAACUGGUCCAUUAUCAAAAUCUAGGUCAAAGAAAUUCUCAGUUCUAGUUUGAGUUUCUGGUCCGGAUACUGACGGGUCUAUUCUGGAUUCCGCUCCUCCGUUCUAAUGGCGCAAAGAAUAUUGCGGUCAUGAUUCCCAAGGCUAAUAUGGAUAGUCCUUGCACUCCGUCCUCUUGACUCGUUUUCUCUUCUUAGAUAAAUGCGCUUCGCUUCGCGCAUCUGGACCCCUUAUAUCCGGAGGAGGAGUUUUCUACCUUUGAAAAGGAGUCUUAUUCCACUAAAAAAUUAGUUAGGAGCAAAGAUGACAGGCGCAAAGAAUAUUGCGAGACCGGAGGACUAUCCAUUAGAAAUCUGGAAACUUCGGUUCAAUUAUUUUGGAGGGGUCUCAUUGAUAAGGACAUAUUAAUCUGUGGAUGCUACUUGAUUAAUGGGGUGAUGAGCAAUUAUUAAGGAGAAGGACGUUCAAAGAAUAUUGAAUCUACCUUUCUGACUGAACUUUUUUGAUUGCUUUCUUCCUUUUAUUAGUAGGCCAAAAGUAUAGGGCACGAGCUCAAUCUGGUCUAACCGCACCCGCAAGACCCUUGUUUGGGGUAGAAGAAAUGUGAACAAAGAAUGAGCACUGCUCUUCCGAUUUCAGAUGAUAAUGUCACAGACUUAACGGAGAAUUACCGCUCCGUGGGUGAUUCAAGAGCUGAAAGAGCAGCCUCAGCAUCUGCCGAAAGAUCUCUUUCUUCCUCUAAGAACCGCUACGAUCUUCCUUAUUGAAAGGUAGAUUCAAUAUUCUUCUCCGUCCGGAGGACCUAACGGUCAAUGAAAUAUGAGAAGAAGAUUUCUCAAGAAUAUUGAGGCUGAAUGAAUUGAGAUUCUUUAUAUAUUGAUUCUUUCGUAGGUUCUAAAGGAAGAAAGAGAAAGCCUAGGUCCGCUACGCUUUCUGAAUAGAAGGCCUUACCAAUCCAACUCGCUCAAAGAAAGCCAAACCCGUUACAGUAUAGAUAGAAAGAAGCUCUUUGUUUCCAGGCGCCAUUGAAUCAGACUAGGGACAAACUCCCCCGAUCUCGGGAACCUCAAUCACUGCACUGGUCGGAAGCAAGCCGGGCCACUCUUUCCUUUCAGUAUUUCAGUAUCCCUUUUUUCUCUUGCGAUUUCCCAACCAAGGAAAAUAGAUAGAUAAGGCCUCAGCCCAAGCCGAUCUACUGUCCUCUUAAGGAAUUCAGUUGUUGAAUCUGUGAAUUCACUCUCAAUUAGUUGCUCGCCCCAGACCCCCAUUUCCGGCUGAGAUGUCCAGAUCAGGCUAUUUUCGCUUUCGUCAGGCUUGGGAUUGAAGAGAAUUCAGUAAAUACUAGUUCCACAUCCCUAACUUGUUGAAAGAGGGACAAACUAACUAGACAAAGAGGGACACAGUUGUGAGACCUACUACAGUCCAAGAUUCAAUCAAAGGCGCUCAACAGCGGUUACGAGGCCUGGUGGCUAAGAAGAUUAAUUGAGUCGACCUGGUUUAGUUUAGUGAGCACUCUGCCUUUCCGAGAAGAGGUGCGGAUUGAGAAGUUUCCGUUCUUGAAGCUCUAGUGGAAAGAGAGCUUUUCUUCUUUAUAAGAAAAUAUUCUUAUCCAUCGUUAAUUCACUUUUCUCAGAAAGAAAAUGGAUUCAGUCUACGGUUUUCUAAUCAAUCCUAUAUUAGUUAUGGGACAACCACACCAACAAAUAGCUCAUACGGUCCCCCUGCUUCUGACUUGAAAGGACCCGGGAGAGCUCCUCUUGAUCGAUCCGACGAGAUGAUAACUGCACUUAUUCAAUGGAAGAACUUCUCGCUUCCUUUUUUUUUGAGUGCGCUCGGCGGGGGCCACAAAGUGUUGACAACUAUUUCUCAUUUCUCUUCUCUUUCUGGAGUAUCUCACUUUUGUCUCAUUUUGCGGAUCGCCAUUGAGGAAGGAAGGAUCGGAAGAGGUCGUCCCAGUUUCCUCAGUUGCUUAGGCACACCGUGGGGAGGUGGACCAAAGAAAUGAUAGUUGCGCAACCUUUAUUAAUAAAGUAGCAGCGGAUGCGAGAAUUUGAGAAGGCAUUAGAGCUCAAUUUCAUCGACCCUCUUCCGAGACAGAAACUCUUAUUGCACUGAACUUGUCUUCUUUCAUUGGCACGCGAACGGUGGUAUACCGCCUCAAUGAACAAGGGCCCGAUUCCGCCUCGAGAUCUUCCCUUGAGAAAAGAGAUCCUGAUCUAGGUUCUAGCGCUAGUCCCGUAAAAAGAGUUCAUUGCCUUGUUCUUUCUUGUCAAGCAUUUCAUACCCGUCCUUUGGACCAAGUCCUCCUACUACGUCUUAUUCCUUUAAGAAGGUUCCCAGUCGCUUCGCAUGCCAUGCUAAUAUUGAGAAAAGCCUUGUAAACUUCAUAUGGAUAAGUCCAAAAACAAAGGUCCAGAUGAGACGUAGAAGAAAAAUCAAGCUCCAGAUGACAUCACGCAAUAUUCUCAAUCUUCUGAUCGCCAUUCUCUUCUUUCUUUCUUCUUUGCACCUCUGAAUUUCAUGCUCCUCAAAUUCUGAUCGCCAUUCUCUUCUUUCUUCUUUGCGCCGGAGUUAGGCGAAUAUUGCUACUAUUCUUUAUAUAUUGAUUAGACCGCGUAGAAGGUGAAAAGAAUAUUUCAUUGCGCUCCUCUUAAAUAAAAGCCUUUCUAAUCAUCAACACCGAAUAUAGGGGAAGGACUUGUCCUCAAUCAUUGAUUGCUUCAUUCCAUAAUUCUGAUCUUCUUUGAAAUCUCGCCCACAUUUGUAAAUCAUCAAAACCUUUUCUGUCUUCUUGUCUGCAGAUUCAGGGGAGAGCCCUAAAGACGGAUGAGUUCUUAUGAUGGAGAUUGAGGCUUCUUAUAAAACAUCAUUUGACCUUGAUUCUCGUUCAAGGAUUCCCAUUCGAGCAUAAUUGGUCGUAUGAAGAUGGAAGAUUAACUUCUUCCUCUCCUUUAGCUUCGCUUUAGCUCUUUUCUCUUUAAUACCUCUUCUCAUUGCUUAGCUUCUGAAACUGACUCAGACUCAACCGCUACGUGGGCUUCAACGGCUCCUAUCCGAUCCCUCUUCACCCUACCAGAAACUACCUUCUCGUUCAUGAAGUUACCUUCGUCCCACUCUUAAUCUUGAGUUCUAGCUGACUCUGGAAGUCGAGCUGCUUCAUACCUAUCCUUUAGAGCUUCUUCGACCCUCUGAUUCAAGAUAGCCAUCUCUGAUGAUGGGUGUGUGUGGGCCUAGCCUCUGGCGGAUGCCUCUACUGACUCUGAGUUCUAGCUGACUCUUCGCGAGGCUAGUCCUCACCGCGUAGUGGGUUCUCGUUCUACAACUCUUAAGAGCUCCUUCUAGCCUAUCCCUAGGAGUGGGGAACGGACUGAAGAUCUUGUUCGCGGGAUCCUGAGAAUUCCUUUCUCUUUUUUAUACUCCAUUUAGGCUAGUCACUUCUCGUUCUCGAUCCGAUGAGUGGGAGUUUUGUCCCAGAACUAUGAAUUUACGGAUUUCUGAAUCAGUGAGCUCAUCUCUCUCCCGCUACGGUAAAAUAAAGCGGAAAUCUUCUCUGGGUUAAUAUGGGCAAUAUUCUUUGCGCAUCUGGACCCCUUAUAAUUGGGCCAUAGAUCUUUGCGCCUUGUUCUUACUUGUUCAUCCUAAUGUUCAUAAUAAUGGCUUUGCCACAACUCAAGAAAAAAAGGGGUACGAUCCAAGGAUUUCAGUGUGACUACUACCACUUUCCUUUUCUUAUCAUUUUUUGUCUUAAUCAAGACCUGUCCAAAACUUUCAAACUUGGCUAUUUCCUGCACUUGCACUCCGAUCAUUCUGAUCGCCUCAUCAUCAAGAAAGUGCGAAAGAUUAUUUAAGUUGAUAUUCGAAAAUGGCCCACGUAGCGGUAAUCUUGGCUCUUCCAUCGACUCUGCGAAAGUGCUCAAUAGUUCUUGAUCUUAACUUCUCUUCUAAUAAGUGGUGCAAGAAAUUCAUAUAUAAAGACUUCUAAGUCCUAAUUAAUGUCUUAUUCCCGCUCCCUCCUUUGUUGAGCAUAUUUAUUCCUCUUACCGAAGGACUACAAUAUCCCUGUCUUAUGGAACCUUAAAUCACUUUGCGACUGAGGACGGCUCCGCUUUCAUAUGAAUAUGGAUUUCUGAGUGAAUCAAUAUAUAAAGAAUAGUCUAUAUAUUCUUUGCUCCUUACUAAUGGUAAAGGGUAGAUUCAAUAUUCUUUUCACCUCCUACGCUAUAUACUCUGAAGGACCUUUGCAAUAUUCUUUGCGCCUUGUUUAUCCACUAAUAUUCUUGUCUUAGGAAAUAGGUUCUUUGUUCUUAGGGUUAAGAUUCUUUCCUUGGUAUUUUGAUCUGCCCUUGCAGCAGUAACUAGACACCAUUCCCACUCGAGUAAAGGCAAUCAAAAAUCGCAAUAUUCUUGAGAUAAUUCUUUGAUCCUCCGUCCUUAGUCGUUCUUUAUAUCCAUAUUAGCUUAGCUUUCUUUCUUUGCGCUGCGCCUCAGUCGCAAUGACGAAAGGGAUCCAGAUGAGGAGCAAAGAUCAUUGAUAAGGAAGAUUAGAAGGAAGCGGAGAGCCAUCAGAUCUUUCUUCUUCGGUCAGGUGCUUUUCCCGGAGGCCGGCGAUUAGGAGGUUAGUGCCGGUUGUACUUUGUGCAGGACCUGGAUCGGGUACGUGAGUAUGCUUGGGGAGCUGCUUUGCUAGCAUACACGUACCGUGCUUUGUACACUCGAACUCAUGUGGAUAGUAGCUCCACGUUCAGGACUUAUAUGCUUCGUCCCUUUGAUUCAGGUAAUCACGGUCAAAGAAUUCUGCCCCUAGCCCUUGUAUUUUCGAUUCUUCUUGACGGGUCUUGCAAUGGUGGCUCUGGGAGCAUAUCGAUGUUGGGCGUCCUCGUCGAGCAGAGGUUGAUCUGACUUUCUUUCCUCGGAGCCGUACUUGGAGUGUACGGGAGUCUCAGGGCGACAUGCUUCGUCGUCUUCAUUACUUCCGUAAUCAGUUCGAGAUCCUCCGGUCUGUAUAGUAAUCAUAUCAUCGACCGCCUUGAUUUUCUCUUAAGACUCCUUUCUAUUUAGGGCAAUAAGAAGCCGGAAAAUCAAGAAUGUCAUCUUGACUCAAAUUUCAUUGAGCCAGAAAUUCAAUGGUUAAUAUGGAUAGUCCGGAGGCUCAAAGAAUUUGAGGAGCAUGAAAUCAAUGAACAAGGGGCGCAAAGAAUAUUGCGAGACAGGUCCGAAGGACUAUCCAUCAGGUCCAUAUUAACCUGAUUCCACUGAAACUUAUGGGCCUUCUACGCCAUAACAUGAAAGUUCCAUUAUCAGACUCCGCUCUGCUUCAUUUGCGGGUGAGGAUUAGGGUGAUUUUUCAGUUCAUAACAUGUAAAGCAAGGUGAAAAGAAUAUUGACCAACUGCUUCCCCCCUUCGUCGCUUCCGGCUAAGCAUCUUGAGGCGGAGGCGACUAGUCGCUUCUGGCGAAGCUGCGAGUGAAUUAGCAAGUGAAUGAACGAGCCAUGUUCCUAAAAGGACCUCUUUCUUUUAUUCCCUUCCCCUAUCCUUUCCCAUAGGUUGGGCGCUCCCGCUUUACUAAUAGUUUCGAAAUGCUCUUCUUAUUUCUUGAGAGGUGCGAAGCAGCUCGCCUACCCUGAUCGAGCCUACUUAAAUAGCUUACGCUUACCAAGUCUAGUCUACAAAAAGAGGGCUAGAGCAAGCAAGCUUUCCCCCUUUGUUUGUUGUGGGUCGCGCCUCACCGCAGGCACUGAAUGAAUGAAAUGAGUGGAGAUCUUCCUUCCCCCUUCUGAAUUACCAAGAAGUUGCCACUAGUUUAGAAGAAAAUUUCGACCAUCCCACCCAGAGCCUAAACUAAAGAGAAGAGAGUUCAGUCUACAAGAAGCUGGCAGAGCUUUAGCCAUUGGACUACAUCCAGAUACCUAAAUCGUCACCCUUUUUUUGCUUUUCGUUCUUUAGUGGAGACAAAUUCCUUUCGGCGAAGAUACUACUUCAGUCUUCCCUCUCCUCUGAAGUCGACCCUAAGAAUUGAAGGAAGCAAGUGAACCUAUACGAGAGUGAGGAAGAUUCACCAACAACUUCCCACUCCCACGAUUCUUCCCGUUUAGAAGUCCAAAAACAAAGGCGAGAAGACAGGCGCAAAGAAUUUGCGAAAGAAGGCGUCACAGGUCCGAAGGACUAUCCAUUAGGGAAUAUUGCGUGAGGCUCGACUGAAAGGAGAGGCGUUGAGGUGCGGUAUCUAAUCUUUCAGCCUUGCACUCCGUCCUCUUGACUCGUUUUCUCUUCUUAGAUAAAUGCGCUUCGCUUCGCGCCUCCGGUUCAAUGCCCACUCCGCGGUCGAGUCUGAACUUUUUUGAGUUCAUUGAUUAUCUUCCGCUCCGUUUUCUUGAAUCUCAAUGAAAACCCGCGUAGUGCUUUCUUUCCUUAUUCAUUGAUCUAUUUUGAUGCCAAGUUUCACUCGCCUAGUAAACAAAAAAAGCUUUGUAGAGAGACGAGAGAGGUGCAAAGAAUAUUGCGGAGAGAGAUCAUGCCCUUUCUUAUCGUACUGCUGGGACAACCUCUGCCUCAAGUUAGACGGAGAUCGAUCCCUCUCAGAUAAAAAGACCGAAAGAACUAAAGAGAAGAGAGUAGGCCUUGCUCCUCUUUUGAUUGAUGUUACACCCUAAAAGACAUAAAAUAGGAUAAGUUCCAGUUCUCGCAAUAUUCUUUGCGCCUCACAACUAAUGGAUAAAGAAGUCCUUCGGACGGAGGCGCAAUUCAAUAUGCGACUUUGCACCUUGUUCAUUGAGGACCUUUCUUUUUGAAGAAGUUUGAGUCUCAUCUGGAGCUUGAUUUUUCGGAGGGGAUCCAGCUGAAGAAAGAUCUGAGGCUUACGAAAUAAAUGAGAAGACUUUGAAACCGGUAUACCCUGCGACACCCUACUCAAGAGGGUCAAUGAAAGAGGGUGCGGCUUCUUCAACUUCGAAUGCUACGGAUCCAGCUGAAGAAAGAGAUCAUCUAACCUCUCCCGCUCCGCGAAAGAAAGAAGAGGAUAUGAAGAACUUGCACUCCUUUCCAGUCGCUUCCGCCCUAGGCUUGAUCUUGAUGACUUGAUAGUGGAUAGGCAAUUCUUCCAAAUAGUAGGUUCUUCUUCGUCUUCUGACUUGGGAUUUUUUAGGCUUUCUCACGCAACAAUAUCCCUGUUUUCUCGCCUUCGGACCUGUCCUCCGUCCUUAGUCGUUCUUUAUAUCCAUAUUAGCUUAGCUUUCUGCGCCUUCGCUCAAUGUAAUAGCUAUGAGAGGGGUGUGCGCUCCUGAUUCAUGCAUAAGAGUAGAGGCAUCAUCGGGAAUAGAGUUUGGGGUAGAAGAAGAGCAAUGAGGCACUACGCGGUUUGAGCUAUAGGCGGCAUUCAAACUCUCUUUUCUCGGGGAUUGAGGAAAGGGGGACUAGCACUAUCACUAAGAAGAAUAUGAAGUUGGGUUCGGGAGCGGGUUCAGAGUAUUGAGCAGCGGUCCCUCUUAGCCCGAGAAGGGCGAAUCUCACUAAAUAAGGCCAGAAUCAAGGGAAGAGAAAGACUAAGAUGGAUCGAUCGGCCGAUAAAGAUAAAGAGGAAGACUAGUGAAAGAGGAAAUUGUCUGUAUCGUAAGGCAUUGUAUUCAUAGAAUAAGAGUUCGUCCCUUCGUAUUCAAAUAAGAAAGGGCACAUCUCCCACUCCGCGGUAGCAUCCAUUGGACUAGCCCUUUGCUAUCACUUUCUAAGGUGAGGACCUGCUGAGUCCAGCAAGAACGUCAAAGUAUGCUUGGAAGUCGGAAGAAAGGCUAUCAAAAGGGGCAAGCUAGCCGUUGCACACUGGGAGAAAAUAUGACCUGACCCUACCUCCUUCUAAAAGCUCUCACUCAAGGACUAGGAUUGAAGAAGAAGAUCGGCGAGCGCGAAGCCUGACAGCCUUGGAAGAGGAGAAUACGAUUUUGAUUCAAAUCCCAGUAAUUCGAGUUGUUCCAGUAUGGUCGAGCCACUUCUGCCUCUAAUGAAAGAGCUUUGUUGAUCCAAAGAUAUGGCACUCGCGGCCGCUACGGUCGGGUCCGGAUAUCAUCAUGGUUGUUGAAGUUGCUGAGGAAGAAAUGAUAUCCAGAGUUUACGAAAUCUGCUGACCCGACUAAUGAAUGAAACUCUGUCCUGCCUCUGACCAUACUUUUUUCUUGGAAGAUUGGAAAAUCGGACUUGAUCAUGUGAAAAUGAACUCCGGGGAAAGCAUGCAAUUCUUUUACCUUUUUCUUCUUUAGUUUACGAAAGAGAGGCAUUUCUGCCUCACUCCCACUCCGCGGUAGCAAGAGAUAGCAGAAGUAUUCUUAUAUAAAAGCUUAGAUUAUCUUAUCAAAAAUGAAGGAGAAAAUCAAUAAUAGAAGAAUGAAUAUCAUCCCAUUUUAUGGAGAAAUGCUGAACGAAAAAUUCUCUGUGGCCGUAGCUAUCUCACUUAUCUCGUCCGUGAGACCGGCAGUGAGGCAGUCUAAUAGAAGGAUCGGUCAUCUUCGCUAUAGGAAGGAUGCAAACUCAUCAAUCGGCGCCAGGUAAGAUGUUUGGCAGCUCGACUCUGUAGUCUAGGCUUAUUUCUCCAUUUCGUGGGAUAGUCGGCCCACGUAGCGGUAGCAGUAUAAGAUUCAUUCUCCCUUGCAUAAGAGGAAGCGUCAGCGCUUUCAUGAAUAAGUCAGAAGAAUGGGAAGACUUUCAUAAGACAAUCAAUGAACAAGGCUCAAAGAGGUUAAUAUGUCCUUAUCAAUGAGACGGAGGUUCAAUUUCAUAUUCAUGAAUUCAGGCCUAUCCAUUAGAGAAUUUGACUUGCGAUUUUUCUUUUUUUCGAGGCGGAGGUGCAAAGAAUAUUGCGUGGAGGAUAGCUCUGAUUUUGGUUGAGGCGUCUCCUUCACCUAUACCUAUGAUAGCAAUUCCACUAAUAUAUAGGACUUCGGACCACUAAAGGCCUUCUACGCCAUAAAGACCCGGUAAGCAAGUAGUACGUCUUUCCACCAAAUAGGGAGGAGCUCAUCACCAUGGGGCAAGUCCUAUUCUUUUGGAUUUGAGAAAGAAGAACUUGUCAAAGGAAUUGGGCAUUUACGAAGAAAGAGAAGAAAGAAGAGUGGGGCUCCAUAGGAAAAGAGGAGCUUCUGCUUACUUAAAAAAGCUCUUUCAUGAGAUAGACUCCUAGGAUGAAAUAGCGGGCACAAAGGCCCCGGGCACGAGGCACACAGUAAGGAGAGAGGACGGACUCGACCAUAGGUCGAGGGACGAGGCCGACGAACCGCACUAAAGAUCGGGCGCAUAAUUAGCUCUUUCCAAAGUGGCAUUCUAUUGAUAAGAUGUUUCGGCAGAUGAAUGAGUGCAGUUUCCGCUUGGGGUUGGACGCACCCUUAAAUAAUAGAGUGAGUCAGCGAAGAAGGAAGAUCAGAAUCAAGGUCAGACGGAGGCGCGAUAGGGGAAAAAAUUGGCUGAAGAUGAGUGCAAGAGGGGGAAUCAAAGGACUGGAAAGCGGAGUGGGAUUCCUUCUUUAUUAGUGCGAAUGUGAAGUUCAUGAACUUUUGACCCUAGGGUAGAUUCAAGAAAAGACGUCCAAUCACCGCUUUGAUAGUUAUAGAAUUUCUCAAAAAAGUAGAGAUUUACGAACAAAUGGUACAUUUGGAAGCCAAAAAGACGGAGCGGAGCCAAGUUCGAACUAAUAGGAGGAGUCCUUUCUUCUGCUUCUGAUAUGAAGAACUCAAGAAGAAGAUAAGAAAGCUCUUCUUCUCUUUCCCGCUCCGUCCGAAGGCGCAAUGAAAUAUGCGUUGAAGAGUUGCGUUCGAAAGAAAUCCAUGAUUUUUCCUGUGGAUAAAAGAGGUCCGGAGUCAAAUAUUAGUGGAAUGAAUGAGUCCUCCGGUUCAUUCUAGUGGAUAAAAACAAGUCCGGAGGACGGUCUCGCUCCUUCUUUUUGACUCAGCUGGAACUGGAAGUCUAGUUGUCGACUUUCUUCCUUCUCUCUCCGGUCUCGCUCAUCCCUUAGAAUUGGGAUUUGACUCCUUCAUAUCAACAAAGAUAUUUCAUGGCUUUCAGAACCGCUACGUGGGUAGAGCCACUGACUAAAGCUCUAGCUUUUGAGCUAAUUGAAGGAGAACGAGAGAAGGCUACUUCUGCUCUUUCAACUAAAGCGACUGCCUUUAGAAUAGCCGCAAUAUUCUUUGGGCCUCCGUAGCUUAAUAUGGGAAAUCUUGUUGAAGACGACCCCCUCCGCGGUCCCAUAAGACAGGUCCGAAGGACUAUCCAUCAGGGAGGCGCAAAGCAAGCCCACUACACGGGAAGAACUUAUCCACGAUCUUUGCGCCUGGACCUUUCUUUGACAGGUCUCGACCUUUCAUUUCAAGUCUAUAAUUUCUCCUUCUCCGAUCCUCGGUAACCCCAGCCCUUUAAAGUCAAGCCUGCUGAUCGACCGGUCGUCUUCGCCCGAUCUUUCUACUUUCGGACUCUUCCUCUAGCGCCUCUUAGUCUUUCCUUUUGAUCCGACGAGAAGAGUUACCUGUCUGCGUCCCCGCGCCGCGUAGUGGGCAGGGAGACUCUAACUCUUCCGAGACGGAUUCAACUCUCAGUUCCCCCUCUUCCGAUACAGUCUAUGAAGACCCUAACCACCCUAUAAUGAGGAGUUCUCGCUUCGCUGUUCUAGCUUUAGGCUCCAACUCUCCUUACCUCCCUCCGAUCCUUCUGGGGACUCAAAUAACUCGUCGGAGUCAAGCUGAUAACCUCUCCUGUGCCCCCAACCUGAAAGAUAAGAUCCCGAGCCGAGCCUCUUUCUUUGAUAAAGAGAAAAGAGAUCCCUGUCUGAAGGGGACCCUACUAACUUCCUUGUUCCCCACUCCUCUCCCUCCUCUGGGCGAGCUGACUCUUGGGGACUUUCUCGUCUACGAUACGAGUCUAAUCUUGGGACUUUUUCCCCCUAUACUUCAUCCCUUCCUGAGCAAUAUUCUUUGCACCUCCUUCAUUCAAUCUAUGAAUAAUGGCUUUUCAUCUUCGCUAUCUUUCCACUACAGCCCUUGAAAGGGGUACUGCCUCUGAGGAAAAGAAAGAGGAAAUCUGAGCAAUAUUCUUAGCGCCUCUAUUAUAUUCUGGACUAGAACUCUCUCUCUCCUUUGAUUGAAUCUUGGACUCCCGUAGGUCAACUUACUUCGUCCCGCCACCAGGCCUCGGUAAACUCGGUCUCUCUCCUGAAUUCCUCAACUGGUCGAGCCUAAUAAGGGGAGGAGAAUGCUCCUGAAAGUAGAAAGUAGUACGCUCCUUCUAUCCUAUACAGGAAAGCAUAAGGGGUUAGCUCAUACCUAUCUGCGCCAACUGAUCGAUCAUACGAACUCCCGACUCGCUCCUUACCCACCCAGUUUCUAAGUGGUUGACACACCGGAAAGAGCUGGAUUUCCUGCUAGAGCUGCUUUCCCGUCAAGGCUCCAUAAGAAAGGGGGAUAUUGUAGACCGCUUAUUUCAGUUAUUUCACUGCUUUUUUAUCGGCUAUUUAAUCAGACUUUUGAGAAAUCUUCUUUGAGCCUAGCGGAGGGGUCUAUAUAUGAACAGGUUAAUAUGGAUAGGACUGAGGACGGGAUUUCAUCCUUGCACUCCGUCCUCUUGACUCGUUUUCUCUUCUUAGAUAAAUGCGCUUGUCAAUAUUCUUCUCAUAUUCAUUCAUCCUACGCGCGGAUAUUAUUUCCAUUUCCACGCAACGCAAUAUUCAAAGUUUUCAUUCUUUCUUUUUUUUGGAACGCAUAUUUGAGCAAAUCAUAUUAAGCUACGGAGGCGCAAUGAAAUAUGCGAUUGAGAAAUCCAUAUUCAGUCUUAUGGAUCCUAACUACGGAUCCAUGAAAUUUGAUGAACUAGAGAAAAAAUAGAAUAUGUGACCGUCCGAAGGCGCCAUAAGACAGGUCCGAAGGACUAUCCAUUAGGGGAUUUCCGCUUUCUUUUUGUUUGCUGCGACUGAGGCAACGUAGUUGGGGGAUAUUGUUGAGUCUUGAGGGUCAAAGAUGAUGUAUCCUUGAAUGAUCUAUAUUAUUAAUGAAUCCGUAGAAUAGAUACUCAUACAAAUUCAUGAUGUGCCGAGAAAACCAGAUUUGAACUGGUGACACGAGGAUUUUCAGUCCUCUGCUCUACCAACUGAGCUAUCCCGGCCAUUUCCGACAAAUUCUCCUUCUUUUCAUCGAUUUGGUCUAUUUCAUCGAUUUGGUCUAUUAAGAAGAAAGAGAUAAAAGGCGCAAUUCAAUAUGCGUUGCGAAAAAGAAGGACGCAGAUGCGCAAAGAAUAGAAUAUGGAUAGUCCUUCGGACUGGCACAAAAGUCAAGAAAAGCAGAAUUCACUCAUUAACGAUAAUGAAAGAAGCUCAUUAACGAUAAUGAAAGAAGCUCAUUAACGAUAAUGAAAGAAGCUCAUUAACGAUAAUGAAAGAAUCAUUAUGAUUUCAUAACUCGAAUGAAAGAAUCAUUAUGAAUCUGCUAGAUUUCAGAUGAAUCCGCGGAGGGAAAUGCUAGGUUUUGGGCUCGACUGAUAAGGAGAGCUGAAAAGAAAUAGUAGAAAGAAAUCAUGAAAAAUCAGUCAUUUUUGAUCUAUUUUCGUGAAAUAGAAAUAUGAGAAAAAGUCCUAUUUAGAAGCAAAAAAGCCGGGAAAACGCAAUGAAAGAAGAACUCCUAGGAAAGGGAUAAGAAAUUCACAUAGUUUGAUUCUUGUUUGAGUUUCUUUUCCGGAGAAAGAGAGGUCUAUUCUUUAUUUCACUCCAGGUUAUGAAAGAAAAAUGAUGAUUUCAUUCUCGUUAAUGAGCUUCUUUUCUUGACUUUUCACAGGUCCGAAGGACUAUCCAUAUUUUUCUGUCUGUCCGAAAAGAAUAUUGCGAGGACGGAGGACGGGGAAUAGUGAGAAGCGGAUCUUGAAAAAAAGAAGCGGAUAUAGAAAGACUUUAUUUGGCCCUUUUUCGCACUUUUAGGCGCCUCAACGUAUAUUUCAUUUAUAGGAGGAUAGGCUUUCUUUUCUUAUGAGAACUCUGAUGUAGAAAAGAUUCCACUAAUAUGUUCGGGAAUAUUUAUAUAUUUGAUUUUCUUGUCUUCUUUUUCUGACUUUCCUUCCUCCUCUCCUUUCAGUCGAGCCUGAUUUUUCUUUUCUUUCUCCUUUCACCGCCUCAAUGGAUCUGGCUUUCUCCUAUUCAGCCUAGCGAAGCGAUUCUUCUUCUUUAUCUUUUUCAAUACCGAAUAGCGAAGCGAGCGGGAGAGUAAGGAGCGCAAAGAAGACGACUCCGGACUCUUAUCGACUUAUAUCUGAUUAUUUCUUUCCCUUGUUCAUUGAUCUUUCUUCUUAUUUCAUGAGCCGGCUCUCAGAAAUUGAGUCGAUCUUGUGCAAGGUUCUAGAACGAGAUAGAAAAGUGCAAAAUCAGAAGAUAUGAACAUAGGCUUUCUCUUUUCAUUUACUUAUUAACCCCUCUCUCCUUUCUGAGGAUAUGAAGAACUAAGAAAAAGAUAAGAAAGUCAGACCUUGUUCAUUGACUUUCUUCCUUCCUCUUUCUCUCCAACACGAGCCGUCAACUCAUCUGGAGCCUUUGUUUUGCAACAAGAGUCGGUUAUAGAAUAGUCUUUUGGUCAGCUUUCCCGUUCUUUCAGACUUUCUUUCUGGCCGGUAGUCAAUUCCUAGAGAGAGAAGUAGGGAUCUGAAUCUCAUUCAUUCCUUUUUGACCUUGCUUCCGAGACUCCUCCUAUUCUUCUUCGCCGACCGGGAUCCUUCGUCUUCCUUUCUGUCUAAUAUACUUCAUGUAGUUAGGGUUCGCCCGAGCAGACAAGACAGACUUUUCCACCGCUGGCCAAAAGAAAAGACAGAGAGCUAAACUCAAUAUUCUUUGACCUCGUCUAAAAAAAGAAAAGCGCUCAAUUGCGCUACUGCACCAUUCUACAUCCGUUGAACUUCAAACCACCGUCCCGGGCGCAGCCACUUUAAAUAGAAAAGAUUUGUAGUUUCAAGAAAUUAAUAAGGAAAGGCCUACGGCUUAGGCCUCCGCCCAGAGGUGGCUCCGGAUGGAAGCAGCUACGCUGAACUUACUUCAUUACGUAAAAAAGGCGGAAAACUAAAAUGCCAGACUCUCCAUUUACAGAGGUUUAGCGACUAGCUGCCGAGAGAUUCGAAGGAAAGAAAGAUAGUUCCCAUGCAGCACGAUCACAUCAGGAGGUUCAUCCUCAUUUGUCUCAAUCCGGGAGAGGAGAAAGGAAGAACGUCCAGCCCCCGUAGUUAGGAGAAAAGAAUUUGAUAAGGAGUGAAAAGAAUAUUGACAAGACUUCCAGGUGCGAAGGCCUAUCCAUUAGAGAAUUUGACUUUGGAGGAGGAGCAAAGAUCGUGGCCCACGGAGCGGCGCAAAGAAUAUUGCGUGAUCGAUAGCUAUUACUUUUCAGACAAAGAAGGACCUCUUUUAUCCACUGAUUGUAGUAGGCCGAAGGACUUGUUUAUAUCCAUGUAAAUAGUGGUCCGGAGGACUAUUAGAAUGUAGGCCGAAGGACUGAUUAAUGGAACUAACGAAGGACUUCUUUCAGUUCCAUAAUACUCCUAGCGUCAAAUAAGAAGCCUACGCUUUAAUUUAAUGGAUUUCUCAUAUUACAUUGAGCCUUAACAGUCUCGCAUAUUUCAUUGCGCCGGAGUCCGGAGUCCGCAGUCCGCAGGAUUUAUCCGUAGUCCGGAGUCCUACGUCCGCAGGAUUUAUCCGUAGUCCGGAGUCCGGAGGAUUCUUAUCCGUAGGACUAUCCAUUAGAAGUAGGACCAUCCAUAUGGAGGGAAGUAGUCCGGAGGAUUUAUCCGUAGGACCAUCCGUAAUUAACCGAAGUAGGACCAUCCGUAAUUAACCGAAGUAGGACCAUCCGUAAUUAACCGACUGAGGACGGGGAAUCUUGCGUUCGAAAGAAUAUUGGCGACUAUUCUUUAUAUAUUGAUUAGCUGACUGAACUUUCUUUUAGCAAGCUUUCUCGAAAGUUUAGAUCCAAUCCAGAGAGUUCGAUCUCUUAAGUCAAAGACAUUGGUAUCUAUUCAAACUCUUAUAGAAAGCGCUAGGAAUGCUUCUCUUCAUAAUCAAUGCUUAACUUCCUUCAUUCAAUAAUGAAUAGGAUGCUGCAAGUCCAGGUGAACCAUCUUCGACUAGCUAAGAAAGUAGAAUCAGUUCUCAAACUCUCUAUUACGUAAAAUAAGAUAGAAGUCUGACUCGCCAAGCUUAGUCAUUUUCCCAUCCCGCAUCGCUUCCACUUAGAAUUCCUUAAUGGGCCAAGGGGAAGGAAGAUAGGCUUUCUUCCAAAUAGUAGGUUCUAAAGACUACUGGUUGAGAAGUUCAAAUCUCCUUCUUUUCUUCCGUGGCAUCAGAACUUCCCUUCUAGGCUUAGGCUUUCUGCCUAAUAUCGAAAAAAUCAAAGAAAAGAAGGCAGAAAGAUCAAGCCUACCCAGGAACAUCGAUCAGUCCCUAGGGUUUACUAGUUUCAUUAGGCUCAUUCCUAGGUCAAAAAGAUCAAAAGCAUACCAUUUUGACCUCCGUCGGAUUGCAUAAAGAAGGAAUUUCAUUCAUGAUCGAGGUGCUGGGAACAAGGUUCAAAGAAGAUUGAAUAGGAAUCUAGCUCUUUUCACUCUGAUCUGAUUUGAGGCAGUAGCCGUCGUUCUUAUUCCUUCAAAAGAAUUUGCUGUCGCAGUAGUUGAAAGAGAAGGUUCUUAAGUAGCUUUAGUUGCAGGAGAUUGAGUAUGACCUCUGAUUUGAGAAGGAAUAUAGAGAAAAAGCCAAUUCUCAGAUCGAAGGACAGACUUUUGCAUCCUAGCCAGGGAAAUCCCCGUCAGUCAGAAGUUUUGACAGUAGAAAAGAAGAAACUCGCUCGACCCCUAGUGGAUACUACUACAGAGGGACUUUCGUCAGGUUUCGGAAUCGGGACGGGCCUUAGUGGAUACUACUACAGAGGUAGAGUAAUCAGUCUAAGUUUGCGAAUAGGAUUAGGAAUCGGCUGCUAGGGAAGAAGGGGAGGUUUCAACCCUUGAUGUAGCAGACUAUCCACUUACUUCCACUAGGCUUUCUCAAGUAAGGAAGACGUAGCGUUAAUGCGCUCGAGAAUGAGAUCUACAGGCGAGGCGCUUAUUUCUCUUUAUUUACUUAAGCAUGUUCCCCAACCUUUUUGAGAAGACAGAGAUUUGACUCUUUCAUCAUUCUACCCAUAGAAGAAAAAGAAGAAUAUGACCGACGGAAUAAGCAAGAAGAAAGUUCACCCUCGGAUAAUAUGGAUAUAAAGAAGUCCUUUCAGACUCCUUUCGUGGAAAUCAAUAUCCCUAUUGCUCCUCCUACGCGGUUCAUUCUAAAUAGUAUUCAUCCUUGCACUCCUCUAUAUAUUCUUUGCGCCUUCUGUCAAUAUUCUUCUCAACAAUAUCCCUGUGGCACCUUCUAUAUAUUCUUUGCGCCUCACGCAAACCGCAAUAUUCUGCAUUGAGCCUUCUAUCCUUCCCUUCCAGUCGCUUCGCUUCGCGCAUCUGGUCCGAAGGACUGACCGCAGAGGUUUGAAUACUUUGAGUAGUGGAAUACUUUGAUAGCGGAAUAAGAAGCCGGAGGCUGGGUCAAGACGCGGAGAAGGAGCAAAGAUCAUUGAUAAGGAAUAAUCUCAAUUGAAAGGCUUUUAUUUCAUCAGAGAGUGGGAAGAGAACAAGGCUCAAAGAAUAUUGAGAGCCUGCAGACGUAGGAGGCGCGAAGCGAAGCGCAUGAAAUUCAGAGGUGCAAAGAAGAAAGAAAGAAGUGCAAGGCAGUCGGAUAGGCUUUCCUUCCGCGUAGUAGGUAGUAGGCUGUUCUUUCCUUUAUUUGAAAGAUUAUUAUUUAUGGGGAAGAUAAAGGAAGAAGAAAGGACUCAAGAGUAGCGGUAAAGAAGUGAGUUACUCAACUCAACUCGACAGGAAAGGGAACCGCUUUAGCUGCCACUUAACUUAACCAAGAUCCUCUCCCACGGGUAAAGCUUCCCCCCGUUCUCGGAAAGAAUGAUUUUCCUAUCGUUAAGAAAAUGACUGAAAUAAUGGCUGUAAAUUAGUCUAUUUUCCCCUUUCCCGGUAUCCUUUGGGGCAUGAAAACGAGUCUUUCCGACGGGUUGAUCGGCGUCUCAGUUCUUUAUAGGCAGGAAUGCCCCAGUGAUUAGUUGUUCCCGAAGUAGCAGAUGUUGGAGUUGCUUUAUCUUUCUUUGAGAUAGUAGAAUUGCUGAACGAGUAAGCUCAUAGGAAGAUCCGUAGAAGGUAGAAAGAGGAAUAAUUAGUUAUGGGAAAAAGUCCCACCAUAAGUCAGGCUAGGGAGAAAAACUCCCAAGAAAGACACCAUAAGAAAAAUCAAGCUCCAGAUGAGUUGACUUGAUAAACCUCUAUUUAGCUUCUUAUAUCUUCAGACGACAGAGGAUGAAUGAAAUAUGAGUUCCUUCCUUCGUCUUUGCUUUCUUUGUCUCUUCUUUGUAUGUAAUUUCAUAUUGAAAGAAUCAAAACCUUUAAGUAAGAGAGGAUGGGACGUGUGUCCAGGAUGAAGAGAAAUAUGCCUGCGCCUCUUGCUUGCCUCCUCAGUUGGAAGCCCAGAGGAAGGGGAGUCUGUUCGUGCUAUCACUCUUUUCUUUGACUACGGGUCUUGUCCUAAUUGCAUGCUAAACCUGUCCCCGGGGUUUUUCAAAAGGGUAAAUCGAAGCGGAUAACUGAGUUCGCGCGCUUGUUUGUGGCACUUGGUCCGAGCUACCGGCGGAAGUCAGAAUUCCCAGUUUCAGCUCUCAAAAUAGGAUCUAACGAAUAGACCGGGUAUGAAUAAGCCGAGUGGGGAAGGGCUACUCACACUUGAAAGAGAACUCUCGCGGUCUUUCUAGUGGUAUCCGAUUCGGAUUGUAUAGCUGCUGGGAAGGAUAAAGAUCGAUCAAUGUCCCCAGAUUGCAAGGCAUUCAGAUCUCAAUGCCCAGGAGAGGAAGAAAGGUGACCGCUCGGUCUAUCCUCAGUCUUCUAGUGCAAAUCAUAUCUCUAUCUUUUUCAAAGCACGUCAAGACUCAUAAUCACAGUGCUUUGGGCUGGGGCGGAAGAUUUUGAUAAAUAAGUGAGUGAAUAUCGAUCUCUUCUAGCUCUUCGAACUCAUACUCCUCCGCUUGUCCAUGUCUCUCAAAAGAAUAGAGAAAGAGAUCUCCCAAAGUGCUUUGAAUAUCUCGAACUACCUGCGGAUCCUCGUAUAGAUUCCGAAUGCUCUCAUAGGGCUGCACGGCAAGCUGACUGAAGUCAGACCCAUCAAAAUAGAAUAUGAUCUCUUUCUGACUUCUCUUUCUUACCCUUUUUCAUUCAAAGAAGAAGAUGAGAGUUGUCAAUAUUCUUUGACCCUUGUUCAUUGAUUGCACUCCCUCCUUUCUCGUCUUUUCUUCCUCUCUCGUCUUCUUCAGUAUUUAUUAGGUUCUGGUUCUGACUUUUGAGCAUUAAGAGAAGGCCUUUCUUCAAGAUCAAGUUUGAAGGCCAAAUUCUUCUUUGAACCUUGUCAUUUGAAAAAAGAUGAGUUGAGUUAGCCUAUUUCUAGCUUUUGAGCUACUUACAGAAAGAUCGACAGCAGACUUCUCAAGAGCGGACUCUUCCUCAGCCCCGAUCUCGACUGAUGACUCUGGGCUUCCAACUUCCGAAACCUUUUUUCAAGCUAUUGCUGACUUUGGGCGAGCAGCUUCCAACUGGUCCGGUACUCCGGUCUCGCUAGCUUUGUGAUAGCUUCUAACCUUUCGCUUCUUCCUCUGCAGAAACCGAGACUUCUUCCCUAUCCAAUACUGGUACUGUCAAGCUACUUUCUUCCACGAAAGACCCAAGAAGACAGUGAAGUUGUUCACACCUCGUCAAAGAGUCGAGCUAGGUUCCACUCCCAAACCUACCAGCAAUCUCAAGAAAAGAGUCAACCAUCUCCACAGCAAGACGACUUGACUUGACUUAGGGCAAUCAAAUCCUUUUUGCCUCCCUUGUUCAUCGAUUAGUCGCUUCUUUUUUAGUGGUCCGAAGGACUAUCCAUAUGAACCUGGAAUAUUAGCUUUCUAUUUGAAUUCCAAAAAAUAGCCAUAGGAGUGCGAGAGAAAGAAGCGAAGCGACUGAUCGAUGUUCUUGGCUGGAGCCAUCCAUAAGAAUGAAAUUCCUAGGCUCCGUAGGAGUUGAAAAGCCUACCAUCAGAAUAGAAAUAUAUUCCAUAAAUCAGUCCAAGGAAGAAAAGAAAGUUCAGUCAGGAAAGCCUACCGCAACAUGAAAGUGGAAUAGAGAGGUCCUCUCUUUUUUAUGGGCCUAUUUCAUUCCAUAACUCAAAUCCCCAAAAGAGGGAGGACUAGUGCGCGUACUAGGAUAAGGAGAUCAAUCUGAGGCUGCAAGGGAAGAGAUAGAAGGCACUCAAGUAGGAGCGCUAAGUCAGAGAAAUGAGAACCCAGGGAGCGGUUGCGAGACCGUGUUUCAGAUCAAGAGUCUGAAAGUCAAUGAACAAGGGCUUUCUCAAUUGAAUCUGAUUAUAUCAGAAGAAAGGAGGUUAAGACGAGAGGCUUGAACCUACUUAAAGGAUCAAUGAACAAAGGAUAGGGGAUCAGUCCGAGCAGUUUCAUGAUCUCUUUCCUUCCCUUUCGACUUAUAUCUUGUUCUCCCUCUUUCAGAAGUUGCUCUCGUUCAAGAAAGAAGUUCUUUCAGUUCUUGUCCCAUCAGUAGAAAGAUCAAUAGGGAAUGAGCUAUUGUCCCAAGCCUAAUCACCCGGAUAAACAAGGGCGAGAUAUGCCAAUCAAAGUACUAAGAUCAAUAUGGCACGCGAGAAGUUCCAGACAAGAAAGGGAAUCCCGGGAUCUCCACCCUUCUAGCAUAAGGGUUCAGUACUCAAAGAAAGGGAAGCAAUAUAUCCCAUAGGGCGAACCUAGCUCCCCAAUUAUUCAUAUUCAUUCUCUCUACUCUAGUUCACGAGGAAGAAGUUAGCCAGGAGUCUCGAUCGUCCAGGUCUAGGACGCGGAACCUCUUUUGCAUCUGGGUCGAGAUCAGCGCUUUACCUUGAAAUAAAGACACCUUAAUGAGAAGUAGUCAAAAAAUCAGGAAUAGACCACCAAAGGAGUUGGCCACGAGGCCACCGAGAAGCUCUUGUUCUUGAACAGUUCGCAAAUAGGCUGAUUGAUUUCUCUUUUCACUUGGAUUGACAUAUCUCCUCGCUACGGGUCGCUACCUUUCUACCCCUUUUCAGUUAGGCGGCCUUAUAGCGCGCAUUCCCGAUCGAUCUGAUCUUUCUACUGAUGGAGAACAACCCCUCAUGGAGGAUUUCUACGUCCCGAUUUCAUGAGUGAGUUUGGAGAAUGUGAAUUAACAAACUAAUGCAAGAACAAAAUCUCCACCUCGGCCGGAACAACUACAGCGAGGGCAAGAGAUCCAACAGCAUUUCUCCCUCAACUACAAGAGGUCUUCUCCUCUUGUAUACAGCCCCGUGUAUUCUGACUCUGAAGGCAUGAACUCUAUCACUCAUUUAUUUAGCUGGGUCGGAGCCGAUAGGGACCCAGUUGAAGCAGCUGAGAACUCAUCAAGAAAAGAAAGAAAAAGCCUAGGCAAGGCGCGAAGCGACUGAAAGUUCGCCUUUGAAUAGUGCAGGGUUUCACGAUAAAGGAGCAGAAAGAUGAUCAAUUCAUUAACGAGAAAAGCCUAGAUCAAUGGAAGUCCGCGGAUGAAAUAAAAGGAAGAAAGAUCAAGCCAAAGGCGAGACUGAAAGGUGCGAAGCAGCUCGAAAAAGAAGGAGUCAAUGAACAAGGGCGACUCUUUCAGAUUCUUAGAAGGAGCCCUUCAAAUUAGAAAUCCAUAUGAACCUUAAAGAUUCUCUUCUUAUCUUUAUCUUAGCUAAAAUGCUAAAUUUGCAAGGUUUUGGGCCUAUACGGAACGCAACUUUUCAAGUCAAAUGCCUUCUUUUUUUCUCUAUUUUCGUUAAAUAUCAAUCUUUGAUUUACUAUGAAAAAGAAGCAAAAAAGCCGGGAAAUAGCAAUGAAAGAAGAACUCCUAUCCCAGAAAUGAACAUCGUUUGAUUCUUGUUUGAGUUUCUUUUCCGGAUAUUGAGAGGUCUAUUCUUUAUUCCGCUCCGGUUCAAAGAAUGUCAUCUUCUCAAUUCAUUCAGCCUAAAGGUGCAAAGAAUAUUGCGAAGGCGCAAAGAAUUUGCGAAGAAGGACUAUCCAUUAGGGCCUCAGUCCAUCAUAUCUUCUUAUUUCUUUCUAGGCUUCUUUCAUUCUCGUUAAUGAGUGAAUUCUUCUUUUCUUUUCUUGACUUUUCACAGGUCCGAAGGCGCAAUGAAAUAUGCGGGGAACCCGUCCUCCGGACCACUCAAAAUCAUGAAUUCCAAAAAAUAGCCACCUACUAAAAGGUCUAUGUUCUCAAACUCAAAGAACAAAGAAUGAUCGAAGGAUUCUUCCUUAAACUUAGAGGGAUCAGAUAGGUUAUCAGCACCGCCCAUGCAGGUUAGAAGGAGCCCAUAAAGGUUAGACACAGCUUGACCUAGAUGCGCAAGAAUGAGGGCGAGAUUUUUCUUUGGAGAAGCUAUUCCUUUACUUAGUUAGUGGGGGAGUUUCAAAGAAGAACAGUGUCCCAGUCUGAAAUCAAGGUUUCGGAAUUCAGUAGCGAGACCAGUCCGGAGGACAGGUUAAUAGGCCGAACCCUACUAAAUAGUAAAUAGUAGUCUUUGCUAAACCUGUAUCUGGCGUCUCGACUUUGAUCCCUUCGGUUCUCCAACCGAGUUCCAUCUUGAACUCUCUUAUCUUUCUAUCAUAUUUUUGAUAGCAAAUCAAGACCAAGGGGAACUAAAGCAACUGGGACUUCUACUUCUCAAUAUUCUUUGAACCUGGUCGUCGAGCCUUUUGCCUUGAUCCUCCAUUCGUGGAUGUCUUACGCCUAACCUAUCCUUCUCAUUCCUGAAAGGGAUGCAACCUGACUCUUACCCGGCUGGAGUACUUCCGCUUCGGGAGACACCUGAGCCACUUUGAAGCGGAGACGGGUUGAGGUACUAUUUCCUUUCCGUAAGAAGAUAUAAUGUCCAGUUAGAAUAGAACUGGAACAAGAACAAAAAGAUUUGGAUCCUCCAUAACCUUUUCCGCCUAUCGAGCCUUUGUCCUUCAUUCCUAAGGGAAAGCAGAAAUACAGGGUUGAAGCCGGUUAAUAUGGAUAAAGAAGUCCAUUUUCACGGCGGAUAAAGAAGUGCAAAGAAUGAAUAUUGCCUUCAAAGACCGCAAAGUACAAUCGAGAAGGGGAUGAAAUAAGGAAGUCGCGUAGCUAGGUGGGCGCCCACUAGAUCGGCGAAAGGUUAGAAUAGAAAGACCCCCACGGAGGGAGCGGGGGGAGAGGAGAGGCCCGUGGCUGUAGCAUCCCUUUCUCUUUCUGAAGUAGCCGUCGUUGUGCCCUCUCUUCUUUAUGGAAAGAAGAAGAGAUUAGGAAUGAGUUUUGAAUAUUCUUAAUUCACUCAUCAAUCUCAUUGUUGACAUUAGAUUCCCCAACGAGUGAGUUCAUGUCUUAAAGCACUAUUGGGCGGAGGUGAUCAACUAAGAAGUAAGAAGAAAGAAAGCACUUGACCUUAAAGGCAACGAUGAAGAUCAAAGAAGAGAGUUCUCCACUGAACCUUUUCUUCUAAUACGUAAAUCAUCAAGCUAAGAAUGAAAGGUGCGAGGAGACCGUAAAGCCUCUUAUUAGUGGAGGUAUUCUUAACUGAAUCUCCACCUUCUCUCUUCCAUAGGUGCAGUCUCGACUCUAAUUAAGAAAAGUAGGACAGGGACAAAGGUUAGUUCCCUUAGCGUGCCGCUCCAAAGAAGCUUUCCCGGAUUGAGGAAUGCAUUGGCUGUUGGAAUCUCAGAUCUCUUUCUAUUAGUUCGUAAAAGAAAAAAGAAGAAGAUAAAGAAUAAAGAAGACGGAGAAUGAAUGACUUUCGGUGACUCAACCUGAAAAUAGAAUGAAUAGUCCUCCCUCCGACGGAGCAAAAACAAAGGUCUCGCAACGAAAAUUGAAUUCAGCCUUGCACUCAACGCAUAUUUCAUUGCGCAUCUGGACCCCUUAUAAUUGGGCAAUAUUCUUUGUCAAUAUUCUUUUCACCUCCCCGGUUCAAUUCAAUAUGAAAGAAGAGGAGGACUAUUCACGCAAUAUUCUUUGCGCCUUCGCCCAACCGAAAAAGAAAGCGUCAAGGUGCCCAAAAUAGGACUUCCAAAAGCAGUCUACAUAGGGACUCGGAGAGGAAUGAAAUAGCUCGACCCUUGAUUGAGGGAGAGGAAUGAAAUAGCUCGACCGGGAGAGGAAUCUCAAGUUCUUUCACUAAUUAAUAUCCUAUCCUCGACAGACAAGGGGCCGGCCAGCUAACCGGAAGAAGCAAGGUGCAAAGAAUAUUGCGUAGGAAUGGAAUAAGAGUGAGAAUAGGUUUCAUAAGACCCAAGGGGACUUUAAUCAUGAGCGAAGCACUCUUUCGUUAGUAUCUCCAUCCGUCCCAGAUAAGGAGGAAGGGGGAAUUCUCAGGGGGCAGGAGAAUAAUAAAUAGUACCUGGAUGAGUUCUUGUCCCUUGUAGCUUUGCAAAGCAAUUAUGCCAAAUAUCUACUCUUAGAAGAAGCUUUUCGGCUAAGAAGACCAAUUCUCAUCCGCUGGUGAGGCGCUCGACCUCUAUCCCUUGGAUAAGGGUACAAGGAAGAGGCAACUGGGGAAUUCUGUCUACGGCAAAAAGAAAGGCCUUGAACGAGAAAGAAUGGUAUUGACAAGGCGAUUUCUUACAAUCAAAAAAUCAGGCUAUUUGCGAAAGAUCGAACGUACCUAGUUCGCCUCCUGGUGUACCGCGUAGUGGGCUAAUCUUAACAAUGAUGAGUUAAUCAAUGAGAAAAAGUAUAAGAAGUGGAGUUUCAUCCCCUUUACCGUUCAGACGUGGAUAGAAGAAGGCACUGCUUGUGCGACCAAAUCGGCUAUCACCCGAAUCCAAAGAUAAGGGGGUAGCGGCUUUUAGAAUAGCGAAUAGUCAGCUGGUCCGAAGGACUGACCGCAGAGGUUUGUCGAGCUUCGAUAAUUCUUUGAGCGUCGGACUUUAUCAAGCUUACGAGCUUCCCAGGAUAGUCGGACCCGUCGAAUUCUAUUUGGUACUUUCUCACGCAAUAUUCUUUGCGCCUAGCCUUCGGACCUGUCUUAGCCUUCGCACCUGGAAGUCUAGUCAAUAUUCUUUUCACCUUCGGACGGGUCGUCUUGACCCUUAUUUCCAUAUUCAAUUAAGGACCACUAAAAGAUAGAGAGGAAGGAAAGCCUAGACUUAUCGAUGUUAUUGGAACAAGGUUCAAAGAAUAUUGACAAAGCAGAUCCACAGCAAGGGUUUCAACUUCAAUUUCUCAUGAAAUUCUUCCUUAUUUUGAGUCCCCGUGGGAGUUUGAGCCUGAAGAAUUGAAUUUUGAUGCCUCCUACGGGGUUCAUUGGGAUUCUACGACCUAUGGAAAGAUCUGGUGCGUACUUGGCUCGGUCGUUCUAAUUCCUCCUCUGCGACCGGUCCGGAGGACCUCUUUUAUCCACUCUUGUCUUCCCUAGCUUCCGAUUUAUUUGAGUUCGGGAACUAAAGAAGACAGCAGCUACUCACGCAAGAACCUACUCUGAUUAAUGAUGAGAAAUAGCAGCAAGGCCCUUGAUUUUGAACAUCUCUAUCCAGACCAUAGUACUCUUUCAUUUCCGUACUCCCCUCCUGAAACCUAUCUUUCUACCAAAUUACUGGGCGAUUCCGACACAAUGAAAAGAUGAGAUCGGGGCGAAGACCUGAUAAAGAAAGCCCCCCUGGAUUGACUGUAUAAGAAGGAUCAGUAUGAUCGCUUAGAAGGAGCUGAGUGAACGAGGUGUGAACGACCAAUACCGACCAAUUCGGUACGAAGGGCUAACUAUGAAUUAUCUGUGGAAAUCUCCCAUAAAGAAGAGAGACGGACUUUCCUCAUUCAUUCGACUAGGACAGACACGCCGGCCGUCUCCAGCUAAAAGUAGGGUUACGUGUGUUGAGGGAAUGAUCAAUGAGUCAAUCGGGGAAGAGUACUCAGUCUCACCUCUAACUCUUCGGUGUCUCGGUUGAGGUCAAAAAAGGUUAUCCGCCUAUUACCUAUAGGAGAAAUGCUGGCAUGAAUAGACUUCCAGUGAUCAAUGAACAAGGGUAAGCUCCCCCCCCGACUCAUAUGGGGUCGACGAACAAGACAAGAGUGGAGGCAUCAAAAUAGAUCAAUGAAAGAGGACUAAAAUCAAAAGGAAGCUGUAUUCUCAGUUUACUCGGGUGAAGCAGCUAGAUACAGAGUUGUAGAGAGUUCAGGAGCAAAGCUCCUUUAUUGAGUUUAGUCGGGUUCCGGAGCUGAGUUCAGCGCGAAUAGAACCAGAAAAGGAAUAUGAAAGAAAGCCUAGGGUGCAGAGUGGAAGAGCUUUACCGCGUAGGCUUUCCUUUUGUAUUUUCAGAAGUUCUCUCUCAAAUUUCAUUCAGCCUCAGUCAUAAGUACUCUUUUCAUCAUCCAGAAAGAAAAAAAAGGAUGAAUAAGGGAUGUUUCCGUGAGUUCCAUCAAUAGAAAGCAUAAGAACAAGCUCACUUAAGUCGAUGUUCCUCGUAUGAGUAUGAUCUCUUUCGGUGAGUACUCUGCCUUUCAUUCUCUCUUUCCGUGAGAAACUCCUUUCGGAAGACUGAAAGACUAAUUCGAUAGAAAGUUGCUAGGGAAAUCUCUCUCGAUCGGUGCUGGAAGGAGAAGUGCUAGCUCUUUCCGAACAUCCUUAGAUAGGAGCGGAGCAGCUCGACAGGAAGCCGGAGAGGCUGAAUUCCAUUUGAGAGCGGCUCGCUCGCAAGAUUCUCUUUUCAGUGGAAGGCAAUAUUCCCCAUAUUAAGCUACGGAGGCCCCAUAAGACAGGUCCGAAGGCGCAAAGAAUAUAUUUAGAGUUUACAAAUUAGGAGAAAGUGCUGAAGAAUGAACUCAUUAACGAUAAUGAAAGAAGAAAAAAAUGGGAAUGAAAAAUAAAGAGGUGAAUAUGGGAGAUUUCAGACUAGUCCUUCGCGGAGGGAAAUACAAGAUUUUGCUAGGUUUUGCCCAUAGGGAAGUAGCAAGAAAUCAUGAAAAAUCAGUCAUUUUUAGACAAUUUUCGUUAAAUAGAAAUCUUUGAUUUAGUCCUAUUUAGAAGCAAAAAAGCCGGGAAAACGCAAUGAAAGAAUCAAGCCUAUCCCAGAAAUUCACAUGGAUCAGUUCUAGUUUGAGUUUAUGGUCCGGAGAAAUACAGGUCUAUUCUUUAUUUCACUCCGUCUUCAAUCUCCAAAUCAAUGAAGGAGUACAAUGAACAUCAUAAUUCUUCUUUCAUUCUCGUUAAUGAGUUAAUUAUUCUUUUCUUUUCUUGACUUUUCACAGGCGCAAAGAGCGAGCGAUUCAAUCUUCUUUUCACAACUCUCGGAGGUGAAGGUUGCUUCUGCUUCGUACGUGGAUCACUGACUGAAUCUUCUCAUGAACGUCCAAUGAAAGAAAAGAAAAGAAUUAUCAAAAAAAGAAAGUCACUAGAAUGUAAUCCGGAGGACUCUCUGAAAUCCACUAACAAGAAAAAAAGAGCUUUUAUCAUGAUGAUUUUGACAUAUGAAAUCUUUUUCUUAGCGAAAAUGCAAAAUUCUAUCUUUCCUAUCGAUCACACACACAUAUUUCAUAAAUAGCCCGAUCAUCCUUUUGGCCUGCGGUAUAUGUCGAGAUUUUCUUUCUCGUUCUUUCCUAUCUAUCUGAUUUUCCUAUCUAUCUUAUCUGGCUGAGAACUCUGUCGCUAAAAACCAUUGAAAUGCUUGCUUCUAAAACCUAUUGAGUUCCUUCUCCACUUUUUUUAGUAACUGACGAGUCUGAAAAGACUUUUUUUUGCAAGAUCGUCUUCCGAAUCGUCUAAGAAAUCUCUGAUUACAUUUCACCUUGCCUCCGCUUCCUUUAAGUAGGUUCUUUAGUAGGUUCGUUUCCGUAGGUAACUUGCCGUAGGUUCAUGCUUCGCUUCGCGCCUUCACACCUCCCGGUCCGUGGUAGUUUCAUUUCCGGCAUAAGCCAAGGCCUCUGACUUAUUGUCGAAUUUCCCCUAAGACUGAGGCCUUCCCUUGAUCUGAGCCCUCUAAGUCGAGCAGCUUCUCGCACCUCAACCCGCUAACCUCGUGGAUUCAGCCAGCCUCCCCUACGUUAUUCCCUUGAACUUAUCUACAUAAACAUAAGGGGAUAGAGUACUGUUCUGAGCCCGGAAGCGGCUUUCCCGUUGAGAUCUGGAACUUGACGCUUCUCAUUCCCCUUGUGGGAACUCAUUCCGAGAUUCUAACUGAACUUAUUCAAUUUCAAUGGAACACUUAUACAGAACAAGGGCUCCAAGCCAACGUAGCAGCAAGGGCACCACGGUCUGGUCUCAUUCCGAUGCCUCUUCUUAUAGUCUCACCUUUCUCCUCUCCUUGAACGUCGAGCUACUAACUUCUUAUGUUCCGUCUCUCGAUUUCAUUCCGAAACGGCUCCGUGGGGUAAUUUCUUUGUCUGAUGUCUGACCCUUGCUUUGCUUGUUAAUACGGACUCCCUAGCUGAUUUCAGAGUCUUUGACUCGAAAGAAUGAGAAUGAACCCAAACCUCAAAUCAGCCAUUCCCCCCACUUGAACCUACUUAAAGGCACCUACACGGCAAGGAACCGUAGGCAAGGUUUUGAUGAUUAUAAGGACUAGUACAAAGAUUAGUAUGCGAAGCUUUAGCUGGAGGAAAGGAAAUCAAUGAACAGGGGCUUAUAACCUACGGCAAAGAAUCUCCGGAGGGGUGCGGAUCGAUAGAAAGCUGCUUUACCUUAUCGGAUCGGAAUAAAGGGAACAUCCCUUCAUCUGCAGACAAGAACUGGAGGCAAGGUGAAAUGUAAUCAGAGAUUUCUUAGACGAUUCGGAAGACGAUCAGACGAUAUGGAAUCGUCUGGAGAAUCGUCUUCUUGGCUAGAAGCUUUACCAGUUGGGUGCGGGGAAUCAAGACGAACCCCAGAGACCGCUGUUUGGGAAAGCCGUGAAACUCCUUUUCUGCUUCUACUACUUAAACAUAUCUUUCCGAAAAAGGAGUGUCCUCACUAAAAGGAGUGGCCCCCACUCCCAAGAAAAGCUGCUAAGCGUGCUCGUGCUCCGUCUCUCGUCCGAUGAGAAGCCUCGUGCCCUCAUCCUUUGUUUCUUCUCCUUCGAUUUCCUUUUUCAAUUUCCUUUUAAGGAGUAAGAGGAGCGGCUCCUCUGCUUCAAAGUUGAUUAAAACAUUUGACCCCUCCCUCUCUUUCUUUUCAUAAAUAAAGGCCAUUGGAUUCAAUCCCCUCAAUAUUCUUUGAACCUCCCUCUCUCCUUUGUAUAGGUGGGUUUUUUUUGAGCUUGCGUCCGCCUGGCCCUGGCCUCCUGGGAACAGGUAUUAGAGCACAGGCGAGUAGGUUCAUUUGACACCUUUCGAAGAGGAUUUCCUCGGUAAUCUGUAGAUAAAUAGGGUCCCCCUCCUUUCCUCCUUCUAAUGGAGGAGAAAAGGCUUUCAUCCUUUGGUAGGAAAUCUGGGCAAGCCCAAUAACGUCGUAUGCCUCCAUACGCAGAUAGUACUUUUCUUCUAGGAAGAAUUCCUUCACUCGAAAGAAGUUCUUGUCCAGUGGUGGGCCCCCCUGGGCCUCGAGAAUAGCCGCUCUCUUUCGUAUGCACCACCCCACUCCGCGGUGGAAACAAUCCUUUCUUCUUCAAUCCUUUUCAGAUGGGAGUGGAACUUUAGAGGGAAGAUCCUUUCGGCCCAGGGUCCCGUCUUCCUAAAAAGAUAGGGUAGGUCCUUGCCUUUAUUUCUUUUCAUAAUGGGAACGUUUUUCUUUUUGAGAAAGACUCUUUCAUACUUAGCGUCGAGCCUACAUCUUUGCCCAUCUAAGAGUUUCAGAAGAUGAUUCAGGUAGGCCCCCGGCUUUUCUUCGUAGAGAGUCUUCUCUGCUACGUGGUCCUGAAAUUCGUCCAGUACCCAUAGAUCAUGGAAGUCAUCCGCACCCGAGUAGUCACUCUUUCUUUCCCCCGUGGUGUAUACCUUAAGAGCCUGCUGCAGCAUGCGGAUCAGUAGGGUUUUUUGGGUACUCGGUUCGCCAUAAACGAAGAGUUGCCUUGUCUUUAUAGGCCUCUUUGAGCCCACUACGCGGUUGACGGCAAGCCAAUCCAAAAGAAGGAAUUUCUCGUCCAAGUCCUCCGGUUCGUAGGCCUGUUGCCAUCCGUGCUCCCAUAGGUAAUUGGGAAUUCUUUCCAUUUCAAUCUUCUUUGAACCUACUUUUUUCGGCCUUAGUUUCGUGCCACAUUUGUUGUACGACAUUGUACUUUACCCAUAGGGCCCCUUGGAGCAGUGGAUCAUUUAGAACGGAGUUCCAAUUCUCGUGUAUUCGUAGUCUCCGGAAAGGGUGCUUUUUUUUGUUCCGCCUGAAGACGAAGUCGAAGUCUUCUUCUUCGUGCUUGCCAGGGCCUCUGCCAGUAUUUCUUGGAUGGAGAACUCUCCCCAGACGAAGGGCUCCUUGUCCUCCUUGGUGACGUAGUAGCAGAGCGAUCCCCACGCCUUAUGGAAGGUGACCCAGCAUUGACUGCCUUCGAAUUCUGGGAAUUGGCUUCUAAUGCGGUUUGCGGCAUUCUACCUAGUGGCAUUCCGGUUCAGUAGAGCUACAUUCAAAUGGUAAGACCCAUCUUUGUCUUUUUCCCUCGCUAGAACGAUGGAAAGACAUUGAAAGAGACUUUGCAGUCUUUCGGAAAUGAUCCCACGUAGCGGUGUGACUUUAGCUCUUUCUCCCCUGUCGGCUUGGGAAAGAGUCACUGAAAUUCAUUUCCGUGUAGUGGUCCGAAGGACUUCUUUAUUCUAUUCCACUUGCUUGGUCCAUGAAAACACACUUUAGCCUUCUGGUAGAGAAAUUCAAAAUGAUAAAUAAGAUAGGCUCCUGACGGAAUAGUUAAGAACGGUGGAUAAAUCUAGAACUAAUCCGAAGGGUUGAGCAGCUUCUCAUAUUUCAUUGACCCUAGCCCCUCGAAGCUUCCGUAGAGGAGCUGAGCCAUAGACCCCCAUCCUCUAGAGGGAGAUGCCUUUUCUUUCCUAAGAAGAAUCAGUUCUUCAGUCAUUCUUCCUGUCCGGCCGGAAACCCCGGAGCUUUCACUGUACGGCUUAGUCUCUUCCUCCUAAGUCAGGUAGAAACUGAGAAGGGAGCUGAUAGUAUAUUAUGGAACCAGCCUAGUUCGUACAACUUCGUCAACCUAGAAAGAGCCCGAAGGUGAGCCGCAAUCUACUAGGCUCCUAGCAAAGCCGAAGCCUUAAAGAAGCUCCCCGGCUUCGCCUUCGACCCCAACCUCAUCAUGAGGCUUAUAAGAAGGUGAAAAGAAUAUUGACGGGAAAAAUCAGACGUCAGAGCUCACUUUUCUUGGUUGUGCAGCUAUCGGCUGCUGGCUUUGAAGGAUGGUACGGCUCAGCUCCGCGGAGGUAGCGGCUUUGUCUUUCCUAACCGGCUCCGCGUCUUUGUCUUUCCUAACCGGAGGGAGCGGAGCGUCAAUAUUCUUUGAACCUCUUCUAUUUAUUAUCCGGGAAAUCUCUUGCUAACCGCUUUCCGUCUUCUGAGGCUCGGGAGGUAGCGUAGCCUCUUUGUCUUUCCUAACCUAAGAAGAAUCAGUUCUUCAGUCAGUCUUCCUGUCCGCCCGGAAACCCUGCUGCUUUCACUGUCCGGCUUAGUCUCCUCCUCCUAAGAAAAGUAGGGAGAGCAAGAAAAGAUUCCCCAUUGGGGGCUACCGAGCCACAAAGAAAUAAAGGUCAAAGAAGAGACCGAGGCUCAAAGAAUAUUGAGAAGGUGUGCGCUCCGUCCGAAGUAGCUUAAUUAGUCAGAAAAGUCAUAGUCUUACCUACGGAAACGAACCUAAAUAAGAAGAACGAAUCUUGCAUUGAGCCUCCGGACGUAGGAGCCUCUCAUUCAUUCUCAAUUCAUUAAGGAAAAUCUUUUCUUUCAUGCUUUUGAUUAUCGUGAAUAAAGAACUCAUAAAUGAGAUUGAGAAAUGUAAUAAGUUCAUCACUCAAUUUCUCGGUAGUUUCUUCUUUCUAUCUUUCUUCUUCUUUGAAAGAGGUUGAGAAAACCCAGCGCCCCGGGGGAGCGCAAAUCUCUGUAGGAGUCCUUCGGACCAGUAGUGGACCGUCAAAUAUAGGUGCCCGAAGAAGCCGGUCAACGUCUGGCAGAGUAUCCACCGAUGGAUAAGAAGAAGGAAGACAGACUUUACACAACUAUGACGGUAGACAAAGCUUGAUCUCUUGAUCUGAUCUUUCUGUCUUAAGAGAUUGAUUUGUUCUCUCUCUUAAUCGAUCUGUCUUACUUACUCCCUAAUCGAUCUGUCUUAAGAGAUUGUAUUUCUCGAUUUCAUCCCUCCCAUAUCUCUUUCAUUUCUCGAUUUGAUCUAUCGAUUGUAUCUCUCUUAAUCUCAAAUCUUUAGAGAUUUGUCUUCAUCUCUUUUCUUUAUCGAUCUUUCUUUCUUGAUCGAUCUGAUAGCUCUUAAGCGUAGCGACUCAGACCGCUAGCCUGAAUCAGCUUUCCCGGAUCUUUCUUCAUCUGCUUUUCCUACGCGUAGCGGACAGCCGUCAACUACUUAGAAUUUCUUUAUCCGAGCAUUAUCAGGAGAAAGGGAGAAAGAAAGGCGCAAAGAAUAUAUAGAGCGAUUCAAUCUUCUUUUCACCUUGUUCAUUGAGGCGUCGGACUUGUUAAUGGAAUUUCAUUCCUUCUCAAAUUCUCAAUAUUCUACCCCCUUUGUUCAUUGAUAAGAGUCGAUCUUCUUCUUCACGUCCGGAGGACUGGUCCGAAGUCCUAGUCUUUGAGUUCUCCUUAUCUAAUGAGACCUUGUAAAGGGCGAACUUUCAGUCGCUUCUCAAAUUCUUUGCACCGCUCCGUGGGUCGCAAAGUUAUUUAAGGUUCAAAGAAAAGAAUUAUCUCAAGGGGAUAGUUUCAAGAGAAUUCCUUUGAGCCCUACUAACCCACUACGCGGUAAAUCCGGCCCGUAGGUCGAGUGGCUUAGCACCGCAGAGUGGGAAGGAGAUAUUCAUAGCCCUUCUUCCGACCUGGUGUUCGCUCCGAACUCACCCUAUUUCGCUUACUCAGUUGAGGCGCCCUAGUAUGAAGAGGUUCCAGAAAAGCCCUUUAUGGGCAGCUUCUAAGCAUAUCUAUAGAAUAAAUAGCUUGACUCAAGGACAAGAAGCGAGGGCUACUUCUUAAAGAAGAUCUGCUGGAACAAGAACUUCCCUCUGAACCCGAUCCUCUGAGAGUGGAGUUAGAGCGAAGACCCAGCCGGGCAUGCAAGGUUUUCCCAUUCAAUGUGGUCAUGGUCAAAUCCGCCUCUUUCAGCUGUAGCCCACUCUGCGGUGUGAAUGCGACUAAGCGAUGAAAUCUCAUUAGACGCGGACCUCCGCUUUCUCUGUCUGCUUGGACAUCCCUUCAUACCGCUUAAGAGCCAAGAAGGCCUGUGACUAGAGUCGAAUUACCGCUGCUACGUGGGGAACCUAGGGCAAGGAAAGAAAGACUUCCGCUCCGUCUUCCGCCUGAAAUUCAUGUAUAGGAGUCUCGACUGGGACGGACGGAUUCCAUUCCCUUGCGUAGGUCUGCUUGGAACAUCCUACCUCCUUGACUUUCCUUUCUAGGCAAUUUCUCACGAAUGAAAGAGCGAUCCAAUCGAUUCCUCUGCAAGAACAAAGCCUUAACCUAGAGCGCGAACUCAUUCUCUUCAAAAUCUCUCUCUCUCCCGCGAAACUAAUAAGAAGAUAGUAACUUCAUAGAAUAAGAUAAGAAAGCUAAUCAGUCAAUGAAUGAGUCUGAACCUACAUGGAUUUCACAGGUUUUUUUUGAAUAUAGACCUUACAAUAUCCCUGUCUUAUGGCACAAACAAAAGUCAAGAAAAGAAAAGAAGCUCAUUAACGAGAAUUCAAGAAUCAUUUUUCUUUCAUUCGAGUUAAUGAGUGAAUUCUGAUUUUCGUCAAUAUUCUUUGCGCCUUAUAAUGGGCUAAUUGGUCCUUCUUCUUUCUUAGAAUGAAAAUCAAGCUUUCCUACACCUCUCAUCUUCUCUAAUAUAAUAGAAUAUUGAAUCUGAGUUCGGCGCACUCAUCACAUAAAUAGUAAGCACGAACUCAAGAGAGGGGAAGGGGAUCGACCAGGACGCUGAAAUGGUGAGUUGCGCCUGAAUUACCUAUCCUAGCUUACCAUACUCGGUGCUUGGGAUGGGAGACUUUAGCCUACAAUGGCCAAGAACGCCAGUUCCCGAGGCAGCAUGAACCCUCUUCUUUAUGAGGGGGACAAGGAGGAGUCCACUGUAUUUAACCUUCACCAUCAGCGAAUGGUACCAUUUAGAGCAAAUUGGCAAGGUUCUCAGAGUUAUCCGUCAACUAGCUGAGAUUUCUGAGAUGCUAGCACAAUUGACCACCUUGAGGGCAGACAUCGAAAAGCCCUGGCUUUGAAUUUGAAAGUACUCAUCUUACCGAACCCAUAAAGACCCGGUAAGCAAGUAGUACGUCUUUCCACCAAAUAAAUAGGGAGAAAAGGAGCUCAGCACCAUGGGGCAAGUCCUAUUCUACCUGAUCCCACUCCUCUUCGGAAGCUGUCCCAGUUGAAUCAUCAGAGGCAGAAGUGGCGGAAGUAGCCUAAGUUUCAGUCGUUGUUCCAGCAGAUCUUGGAAGUCGCUUAGUGAAGUUCCCCUAUCUUUCCCAAGGCGCUUGACCUCAUAGGAAAAAGAAAGCGUAGUAGCCAGCCGCUCGACCGCUGAAAGCAAAGGAGGAAAAAGGGCGAUUCGAGCCCACGUAGCGGUAAGAACUGAGAAAGUGCUGGUCCGGUUGGAGUUGCUUUUCUUUCUCCUCUUUCUUCAUUCUUUGACUCCUAGUCGACUCUGAUUUUACACGGGGGAGUUACCUGGGAUCUUAGAAAGAGUAUUCUCCCAGAACAGAGCGGAUCGAGAAGGAUGAAUGGGGGACUGUAUUUGUUCAUAGUGUCCGAUUGGUCGACCCGGUGUAGAUGUAGUAGACCUAGUUUCAUAUGCUCUUCCUAUCCCCUCUAUUCGCGUGGGAGGGAAUUUCUCUCAUCACUCUUCCCAUGAGUGACCGAGAUUAGCUUUCUUAGUGAGAAAAGGGGAUUAGAAAGAGAGGUCAGGAGAGAGAAGCGCGGCUCGAGCUAAACGAAAGGCGAGAAAGAAAGCCCAAGAAUAUCCCUGUCUUAUGGCACCGCUACGUGGGGCAAUAUUCUUUGCUUUCCGCAAUAUUCUUUGCGCCGGAGUUAGGAGUAUUAAGACCGCUCCUUUCAGUUCCAUAAUACUUUUCUAGUUAUUUAACAGUGGCUAUUUAACAGCUUUUUUUUCCAUAAUACUUUCUAAGUUCCAUAAUACUUUUUAAGCGGAAUAAGACUCCUUACUAUUUUAGAGUGUCUAGCUGACUUGUUUAUCCAUUAGAAAAGUAGGACUAGAAAUCCAUUAUUUUGAUCAUAUUUCAUAAAUAAGGAAGAAGACUUUACAAUAGAGAAAUUUCAAGCGUCAGACAGGCGGUUAGAACAAUCUAAUCCCCUUCCUUCUUAAUCCGUACUUCAGACUUGACUCUUUAUUACUUUGAAAAUGAUGAAAAAUCAAGGUCAUCUUCAACCUUCUUUUUGAUGCGCCUCAGUCCUAUCCAUUAGAACCUUUGAGUUGGAUGUCUUAGAUUCGGACAGAUUUGAUCUCACUCUGGAUUUCUCUUUCAGACUUUAGAGCGGGCGAACUUCAAUCAGCAUACCUUUUUCUCUGCUAAUUCAAGAAUCUCCGCUAUUUCCUGGUUCAGAGUUCUGCCUUCUCUUCUCUUCCUUAAUCAGGAAAAGCGGGUAUGAAUCAAAUCAAAAAUCAAGUUCACCGGAUUCCGGAAAUUGAAGAUAAGGCUCUAACUUUCUUUGAAUGAAAAAUAGGUGACUCGAUAUACAGCCUUCACUUGGUAAACUCCACUGCUUGGAUCUGCUGCUGAAAGACGGUCAAGCUUCGUCCCAGUCCUUACCCUUCUUUAUAGGAUAGUUAUGAAAUACCGCUACGUGGGGUCGUACGAUACCCUCUCCCGGUAGCUGCUCUUGUGGAGGAUGUUCCCUUGUGCUAUCUGUUCUUGCUCUUGAAGCCCACUCCACGGUAAUAUGCCACCCUGCUUUAAUGAGAGUAGAGGAGCGAAGCCUAGCUCAGCUAGGCUACUUAAUCAAGUAUAAACCUUGAAAGAAUAAUCUAAGCUUAGACCAGAAAGGAGCGAGAAGCCGUCUCCUAGCCUCGGAGUUAGACCUUUCCCUAGUUGACUUGGGUGCGGAUCGAUAGACUUCGACCUACUACACAAGAAAAGCAGCUUUCCCAAUAGCGAGACAAGACAAUCAUAGGCUCUCGCCGAGUCUCAUGACAGAAGAGGAAGAAUUCUAUCUUUCUCUUUCAUAAGUUGAAGUCGUUGACUAAAGCUUAAGGAAAUCGUGAACUCAAUAAUAUCCAAUUCUAUUAGAUUCCCGAGAACUAAGGCAUAUGCAAAGUGGGACUAAUAAAGAAAGGAUGAGAAAUUCAUUCUAUGCUGGUAAUGCCUUAUUUCCUACUAACAAAGGAGAUAUAGAAUCCUCUGUAGCUGUAGCAACGGAUCUUGCUUACUCAGCCAGCCGGUGACGCUUCCUCUGCUCUUCCACUCUAUCUCAACUCGGUCUCUCUUACCCCUAUUUAUUUAUGGAUCUCAUUUAUUAAGCUACGAAGGCCCAAAGAAUAUUGCGACUUUGAACGAGCCUUGCCUUCAACUUUGAAUAUAUUUGAAUAUGAUAUUUCUAUAUUAGGCUAGAAUUUCAUAAGAUAAGAAGAUAUCAGUCGGCCAAUAAGUAGCUUUGGCGGCGAAUAAAAUAAGGAGCUAAGUACUUUCUAAAUCUACUAAAAGAAAAGGAAGAUCAUAUUCUACCGCUUAUAUCUCCGAACUUGGCUCCGCUCCUUCUACGUCCGAGCAAUAUGAUAAAAGGAAGAAAACCUAUGGAAGAAGACUAUAAAGGAGAGGUUGAAGUCAACUUAUCCAGAAAGAAAAGUGAAGGUGCGCUUUUGGAGAUCGGACAACUAACCUAUCCGAAGAGACGGAUGAGGAAGUGAAGCUGAGAGACUGCCCACUACGCGGAUCGGAAGUGAGGCUGCUUUACUCUGAAGUUGAGGUUCAAAGAAUAUUGACGAGACCAGUCCGGAGGACCCAGAUAAGAUAAUAUAAAAGAUUCCACUCUCCCGCUUAAUUUGCAAAGAUGUCCUUAUCAUAUUAUUAAGCUACUGAGGCCCAAUGAAAUAUGCCUUGAAUUCAAGGUAAGCCCACUACACGGGAAGAACUGCGCCAUAAGACAGGUCCGAAGGCUAGGCGCAAAGUUCGGUUAAUUACGGAAAGUCCGGAGGACUACUUCGGUUAAUUACGGAUGGUCCUACUUCGGUUAAUUACGGAUGGUCCUACGGAUAAAUCACCUGGACCUUUCUUUGGCCCUGCGGACUCCGGACCCUGGACCUUUCUUUGGCCCUGCGGACUCCGGACUCCGGACUACGGAUAAAUCACCUGGACCUUUCUUUGGAUAGUCCUACGGAUAAAUCCUGCGGACUGCGGACCCUGGACCUUUCUUUGGCACUGCGGACUGCGGACGUAGGACAGGUGACGGAGGACGGCUCAAAGAAUCCCACGGAGCUGGAUCGAUAUCCCUUAAACUUAAAGAUGGAAGGAAAAGCCGGACGUCAGGCCGGACCGAUUAGUUAGUUAGCUGGAUCGAUAUCCCUUAAAGAUGGAAAAGCCGGACCUCUUAGUUUAGUGAGCCGGACUCACAAGGAAGGGACGAAAGGCAGGCGCAAAGAAUAUUGCGGAGUUGAGGCUCAUAAAAGUACGAAAAACGUAGGUUAAAAGGCAUAAAUCUUCUGUCUAUCCGUCUAGGCGUAAAAAACUCCGCUAUCCGUGUAGGCGUAAACCAAUCAAUCCGUCUAGGCGCUAGGCGUAAGCCACUCCCUUCUUCCUUCCGUCCCGUCUAGGCGUAAACCAAUCCAAUAAUCCGUCUAGGCUAAAGCAAUCCGUCUCCAAUCCGUACCUCAUUAUAGCUAUGACUUUGGGAGGGAGAGCCACCGCUCCGCUACGCUAGGCUGAAAAAGGGAAAAAGAAAGGGCGAAGGCACCGACCGAGCCGGGCCUGGCCAAAUCCGCAACGGCGAAGGCACCGCUCCGCUAGGCUGAAAGCAAGUGCUUUAAGGCUGUCCGCUACGCUUCCGCUCCGGGGGUCAAAGAAUUUGAGAUAAAGAGAGAAAGAGAAACUUAAGGCGCAUAAAGGAUCCAGAUUUCAGACUAUGCUGUGGGCUGGGGAGAGAGCAGCUCUGCGAAGCUGGGCCUUCAGUGUGAUUUUAGGGAGGGGAACCAUACUAGAAAGAGAAUAGAAAAGAAAGGCUGAAUUCAUAUUCGAAAGAGAGCGAGUGAGUGAUGGGCAACCUCAAGUCUAUAUCUUGCUCGUGAGCCGCCAAGUACCAGUCUCGCAAGAGUACUGGCGCAAAAGGAUCGGUCCUUCACUUGCUGAUCGUUCGCGAGUCGAACUCGCUCUCUUGCCACGGCCACGCUUUUCACUCACUCACUCGCUUGAGUCGGACGAAAUCACUCUUUUUCUUUGGAGGUCGUUCUUCACUCUCUUCUUACCCGAGCGCCAAGGUGCAUAUAUUUGAAUAUAGAAAGAAGGGAAGCGUAGCGAUUCGUACUACCGGCUUUCGGUAACCGGCAGGCAGUCGCCGAUAAGGCGCAAGCAAGCGUAGCGAAUCAAAGAGAUAAGCCUCUACCUACCUGCCAGCGCGAUAGGGCGGGCGAAGAAGGGGAUGGAUGUCUGCCAGUAUAAUUGAUGGGUCUUGAAAACCGAAGUCUUGAUAGGAAUACCGGGGGUUCGAAUCCCUCUCCAUCCGCGAAUAAGAUAAGUUCUCUCUUGCCUUAUAUCAGAACGAAUCGGAUCUUGGCUUCCUGUCCCGCUCGUAUCGAAGGUAUUCGCUACUAUAGAUUGAGAUGAAAAAAGCAUUUAGCACUCAAGGAAAGUUGUGAUUACCGUGGUUGAGGCAUUCCGUUAAGGGGGCGUGGGAAGGGAAAAGAUGCCAACCAAUUAAUCCAACACAAGUAGAAAAACCCAAAGCAGGAGCUACCUAUAUUGAUGUCUUCUUAUAGCCUUCGUUCCCCGUUAGCCCUAUGGGAAGAGUCAGCUACCACACCAGGGAACUCUCCCGCUCCGUGGGAACCCCUAGAGAGAUAAAUCCUUUUUCAGGCUUGCUUGUUACGACUGAACUCCAGUGAUAUACUUUUCGCAAUCAAUGGUGAAAGUGAUUCUUCGUCGCUUGCCAACCAGUCUCAACGCCCCUAAAUCUGAAACCUACGGCCUUACUAAGAACCUACUAAACCUCCUACGUUAUAUAUAUAUAUAAGAGACCUACGGCCUUACUAAGAAGGCAAGGUGAAAAGAAGAUUGAAAAGUGAAGGGGAGCGCAAAUCAAUCUACUAAUUAAGCUACUUCGGACCGGUCUUUAUGAUUUACAAGAUGAAGAAAAGAAGAGAAGACAACUCCAAAGGAGCUACGGCAAGGGGCGAAGCCAAGCGACCACCUACAAAUAAUAAGGUGUUGAUGAUUUACAAGAUUACCUAAAAGAAUUCAAGGCACCUAGACGGCAACUGAAUAUUGCAUUGAGCCUCCGUCCGAAGGACUGUCCAUAUAAUAACCGUCCUCCUACGGAAGCCAAGCGACCACCUACAAAUAAUAAGGAAGAAACCUCAAAGCCUUGUGUUAAGCAAAUGAGAGAGAUUCCGUAGGUACAUUCUCACAUUGCGGAAACCCGUCCUCCGGACUCCUUUAUCCACAGAACUGAUUUUGCCCAUAUUAUUUCGAUUAUUUAGACUGAAAAAAGUAGAAAAGUUGCGGCCCUUACUAAACUGGUCUUUUUCUUCCAACUCCCCUACCGCUACGUGGGAAGUCAGAAAGAUCAAGCCGUCAGUUCAAAACCACCCCAACUUAUUCGACGAAAAAACAGAAGAUUUGACUCGUCCGAAGGGUCCGAAGGACUGUCCAUAUAAUAACAUAAUAACCGGGAGCGCAAAUCUCACUCCUACGCCUUCUACGCGGUACGCGGAAUAAGACUCCUUCUACGCCUGCGUAUCACGCCCUACCUACUAAAGAAAGGGAAAGACUCCGCCUUAAGAGAUAGGCUUCUCUUAGGUCUACGUCCUCAAGGCUGGGUGGUCUAUAAGAUAUAAGAUCACUCUCACUCACUUGGGUGAUUCUAUAAGCUAGGACCAUAGACAGUGUUCAGAAAAGCAGCUGUUAAUUGAGCGGGGAGCUGGGACUACGUCUCUUCCGAGUGCCUAACCACCCGGCAGCUAAGCAGUCAAACUAGAAAGUCAACUAAGUGAAAGAAAAUCAAAGGAAGAAUUGAAUUUUGAUGCCUUCGAAAGGUCAGAUCUAGGCCUAGCUGCGCCUCGCCUUUGUUACGUGUCACUAGUGGUUAAGACCUGGUUCUCGCGGAGGGGAAAGAGAUAGUCCUGUAAUGAGGUGAACAAGAAUUGGACGUAGAAAGCUAAUUUCUUUGUCUUUAGGAGGGCCUCACUUCUCUCCAAGAAGAUUCCUCUGAAAAGCGAGCUUAAGUUCCAUAAAUCAGUCCGAAGGACGGGCAUUCCUCAGAUAAGAUUCCUCACUCAAAGCGAACCGGUCCGAAGGUCUUGACAAGAUUACCAUUUGAUUCUUUAGAUAAAGUAUGAAAAAUAGAAGCAUCGUAGAAGGCUCCGUAGGAGAUGUAGUGCCGUAGGUAAGACUACCGGAGGCAAGGUUUUGAUUCUAAUAAGUACUAUUACAAGAAUUAGGAUGCGAAGCCAAGCUACUAAGAAAUGAGGGGAUACUCCUACUACGGGAGCGCACACCGUAGGCAAGGAAUGUCCGUAGGACGGACCAGACGCAUGCGAAGCGCAUUUCAUAAGCCAAGCAAGGUUUUCGGGAGUAGUUGUCUUCUCUUCUCUCUUUUAAUAAGUACUAUUACUACAAGAAUUAGGAUGCGAAGAAGAAGAAAGGAAAGGUGAAGAUGAUUUACAAGAUUAUUCAAAACAAGAGAAGAAGAAGACACUCAUAUUGACUAAUUAAGCUACUUCGGACGGAGCGAAGCGACUCUUAUAUAAGAUUCAGAAGAAAGGAAGAAAGAAACUCCAAAUAAGAAGAACGAAUCUUGCAUUGAGCCUACUAGGCCCUUGUGUUAAGCAAAUGAUAGGGAUAGGGAGAAAAGUCUACCUUUCUCACUGAGCUAUUAAACUCAAAUUCUUUGAGCCUGCUCUUCGCAAAUUCUUUGCUCCUUUGUUGUUUUCUUAUACUACGAUAAUAGUGGUUUUUUGACUGGUCCGGAGUCCGGAAGAUUCUUAUCUGGAGUCCGGAGUCCGCAGUCCGGAGUCCGCAGGGCCAAAGAAAGGUCCAGGGUCCUACGUCCGCAGGAUUCUUAUCCGGAGUCCGGAGGAUUUAUCCGUAGGACCAUCCGUAAUUAACCGAAGUAGUCCGGAGUCCGCAGGAUUCUUAUCCGUAGGACUAUCCAUAUGGAAGUAGGACCAUCCGUAAUUAACCGAAGUAGGACCAUCCGUAAUUAACAGAAGUAGUCCUCCGGACUUUCCGUAAUUAACCGAACUUUGCGCCUCAAGAAAAGAAAAGAAGCUCAUUAACUCGAAUUCAAGAAUCAUUAUGAUGUUCAUUGUACUCCUUCAUUGAUUUCACUCUUUUUGACGGAGGGAAAUGCUAGGUUUUGGGCCUAUAAAGUAGCAAGAAAUCAUGAAAAAUCUGUCAUUUUUAGACAAUUUUCGUUAAAUAGAAAUCUUUGAUUUAGUCCUAUUUAGAAGCAAAAAAGCCGGGAAAUAGCAAUGAAAGAAGAACUCCUAUCCCAGAAAUUCACAUGGAUCAGUUCUAGUUUGAGUUUAUGGUCCGGAUACUGACGGGUCUAUUCUUUAUUUCACUCCAGGUUAUGAAAGAAUAAUUCUUCUUGAAUUCUCGUUAAUGAGCUUCUUUCUUUGCGCCUUUCUUUCUCCUAAUUUGUAAACUCUAUAUAUUCUUGGACCCUUUCUUCUUUUCCGCAAUAUUCUUUCCUCCUCAAAUUCCCUAAUGGAUAGUCCUUCGGACCUGUCUUAUGGGACCGCGUAGUGGGUGAAUUUCUCCUUUCGAAGAAAGGCACACAAAGGCAAUUCCAUACCUCUGCUGAGGAAGAAGAUCGGCGAAGGCAAAGAGCUUUCAGCCUUAAUGAAAGAGAAUCCCUCCCAGUUUCCUAGGUUUCUGCUCGCGGAUAAAGACGAGACCAAAGUCAAUCGGAACCAGCAGCGUAGCUCCCCUCACAAUCUACAGCCGGAGAGGAGGCAGAAAGGGAAAAGUCUCCGGAUCGGAAUAAGAGGCAGGGGUAGAGGAAGCCGUCGGUCGGGGCACAGUUCUUUCUUCGGGUUAGAACUCAAGGGAUGAGGUCCCAGUUUCUUCAGUAGCAGUGUCCGCUCUUUCAUGAGAAAAUGGUAAUUAUGACCUCUCGCGGGCCUCCUACAGAGUCUUCCUUUUGUUUGGGGUUCUAAUUCAAGGAUAAGUUCAUAUGGAUAAAUCAGUCAUCUGGACUCGUCAAAUCAUAUAUUUCAUUUCAAAAGAUAUCUCAAUUUCUUUCUAUCUUCUUUCUUGGGAAUAAGAUAGUGCAAUUUCUAGUUCAUUCAAGGUGCAAAGAAUAUUGCGUCUUUGCGCCUCAUGGAUCACUUUCCGAAAGAGCUAAUUCAAGAGAUCGAGCUUCCACUUCUAAUUCUCAAGAUCUUUCAUUCUGGUUUUCAUUGUCAGUUCAUUCUAUUCUCAGAAUCCGUUCUUCUCACCCAUCAUGUUCUCGGGAUCGGAGCGAAGAAAGCGAGAUAGGUUCUCAGUCCUCCUUUCAUAGUUAGCGAGACGGGUCAAAGCCCUCAAUAAGAAGAAAGGCGGAGGACCCCGUAGUUAAGAGUCCUAAAAGAAAGCUCCAGAUGAGUCUGAAAUCCAUAUGAACCUGAAAGGAUCAAAGAAUUUGAGAAGCGACUUCACAGGUGCGAAGGACUAUCCAUUAGAGAAUUUGACUUUGGAGGAGGAGUGCAAAAAAGAAAGAUUAUACAUUAAGCGUCGGACUUGUUUUUAUCCAUAUUUCGAAGGACUUUAUCAAGCUUAACUUCUUUCUGGGAGUCUUAUUACGAGCUGAACGGUCUCAGAAGAGAAGUUUGAAGCCGUCAAUUUCUGUGAACCCCAAACUCUUCCCUUUCCAACCGCCAUAAGAAUGGGAGCCUCUCCGAUCCUUGCUUAAGAGAAAGAUUUUUCUCUUCAACUCCUAACCUUCUAUUAAUGAAAUAAAGAAGAAGUCGAGCUACCAGCUAUCUUAGAGAAUUCCCUUGCUGGAUAGACUCCUAUUUCAGUGACUCAUGAAAGAGCUGCUUUGCUCCUCUCCGAGUCCUGGGCUGGCUCCAUCUAACCUCUCCAACCGCGUAGUGGGCCCUUAUUCAUUGAUUCUUCCUUUCUUCCUAUUCGAUCCUAAUUCAGUUAGGACUGCUCCUACCCGACUCAAGACUAAACCUACUUAAAGGGCUUAAAGGAAGACCAUAAAGACAUAAGUUUGAGUGGAAUCUUUUCGGAAUUCUUUCAUGAGACAAAAAAAAGCCUCGCCAACUAAAUAUAAAUAGGAGGUUCUAGAAGAUAGGCUUGAAUCUAAAUAGUAGGUUUAGCUAACCUUCCCUUUUAGAGUUAGAGUGACUCAUUCCAGUAAAGCCUGCUGAAUGAGACUCAAAGCCAAUCCCAGGGAAGAGUGAAGCUGAAUAGGGUCGUCCAGGUGCAGGUAGUCCCCAUCUUCACAGACAUGUCUAUUUCACCGAGCCUACAGUGCCCAGAUCCUUACGCCUUUCCUCGGAACUUACCUGACAAGGACCCUACUUUAGGACCGUGUGUAAACUCGUUCAAUCUCUCUCUCAUUCCUCUCUUGGUCUAGCCGAAGCCUUGGGUUUCAUGGGUUCACUGGGCUGAGCAUUGGUAGAAUACGAAGUAUCAUGCUACACUUAAGUCCACCCCAUAUCAGAUCCUUUUUGGGCGCGCUCCUCCAGCCAUUAAUUACAUUUAGAGGCAAAGACGUCCAAUGCGGCCUCACACCCUAAAGGCGAACGUGAUCGAGUUCAGUCACAGCCAGCAAGGCUCCAUAAGACAGGGAUAUUGUAAGGAACAAGGCUCAAGAACGGAUGAAGCAGUAUAGUAUGCUGAUCGCCAUCGCCGAGAAGUGGAAUAUGAAGUUUGGGAAUCGGUCUAUUUGAAACUGCGUCCCUAUCGGAAACGCACAGUUGCGCGACGGCAUAGUGCUAAAUUCUCUCCCAAGUUUUUCGGGCCUUACCAGAUUGUAGAAAGAAUCGGGCAAGUGUCCUACCGCCUUGCUUUGCCCGCUUCCUCAUCCAUCCACCCAGUUUCUCAUCUUUCCCAGCUGAAAGAAGCCCUCAGUAGCACUACAACCCUCACACUUCAGCCACCUAGCCUUCCUUCUUCGUUUGAGUGGGAGGCCUUCAGAUGUGACUGCUUAUCGCUACAACGACCAGACACGGGAAUGGGAACUGAAAAAUCCAGUGGAAGGGCCUGCCAGAGUUUGAAGCCACUUGGGAGAGCUUGGAGUUGAUUAAGGAGCUCUUUCCUUCUUUCUCCCAAGAGGACAAGGAAGCUUUCAUCCCCCGGUCUUAGACCACCUAUUGUCCACACUUAUGUUAGGAGGGGUAGUUUGGGUAAUUUGCCUAACUUCCCGCAUUUUGCUAAUAACGGCUUGCCUAGAUCGAGUAUUUCCCACCCACGUAGUCCGUCGGUCAAACCAUCUCCAAAGUAAUAGAGAGAUUCUUUUGCUUUUUCUGGUAUGUAGCUCCGCGAGCUAGGAGCGCAUCAUCGGGGCAGGGCGAAAACGAAGAUAGGAUCAUCAUCAUGGCCCCUUUCUUCUUUUCUUUGUGUCCGGAAAGAGGUCUCUCUCUUUUUUUUAAGGCUUAUCCGGGCUGCUCUGGGGAAUCCAAUUCCUCUUCUUUUCCUGCUGAUCUCAAUCUUCAAGCUGCUACUUCUUGUUCAGGGUCAUGAGAGAUCGAAUGAGGAUUCCGAUCAAUGAACAAAGAAUGAGAAAUUCCCUCUUAGAUAUUAUGAUAUCUACUCAAAAAGAAGAAAAUAUUCCCCUUCAGAAAAUUGAGAAAUUACAUAUAUUUUGGUUUGGAAGAAGAAGAAAGCCGGAGGCGGAGAAGGCUAGGCUUUCUACUAAGAAUCAAGAAAGCGCAACUUCUAUUUUGAUGCCGUAAAAAAAGUUCAGACGAGACUCAAAUUCUUUGAGCCUUAUCGGACCUCACAAUAUCCCUGUCUUAUGGAACGUUAGGAGCUUUGAAUAUUGCGACAUGAAUACUAUGACUUUGAAGACAAAGAGGGCCAAGAAAUCUAUGAACAAGCUCAAAUUCAGUCAAGAUGGCUUCUUUCUUUAUGUUGGUCGCUUCGCUAUCAGCCGUCAGUCCGACCCGUAUUUUUGGCUGAAAAAGGAGUCAAAUCACCGAAUCAGUCUGUCUCGGGAUUCAUAAGACUUAGUCGGUCGGGCAGUCUCAGCAAGGUAACUUCCAGUAGUAGCCGUGUAAGAGACAGAGUAAGCAGUCUUGAGUAAUCGUAAGAAGUGGACUAAGCUAGAUUGGACGCGCUAUCACUCAGAAUUAGUACGGUCUUGAGAUCGAGGAUGAAGACAGAGAAAGAGUUAGAAACAUCAGUCUCGAUAGGAAAGGUUAGAAUAGGCAGCGCCUACUCACUUCAACAUAGAAUUCCCUUGAUUCGGAAACAAGAAGAAGGAUCCAGUAGCUCUCGCAGCCUCUUUGCUCCGUCGGUCUUAAUACUCCCUUUUUCUUCUUUGAAUGUGAAUGAAUGAAGAUGGUCCUCGGCGCGAAGCGUGAACCUACUCAAAUCAAAGGUAAUAUAAGGAUAGGAGGCAAGGCUAGAAGCGAAGCGCAAUCAAUGAACAAGGUCUUAUUUAUGGGACUCGAGGGCGGGGAAAGGAUCCCAAAAGACCAGUCAAAUCGAGAAUAAAAGGGAUGGGAAUGUGAAUCGUGAAGCGCGUCCUCCCUUUAUACGGAUCUUCUCCUUCGAGAUGGCCCAUCUUCCCUGUCAACUUGCUUGUGACGCAUUCCUUCCUAAAUAAAGAAGGGAGACAGCGGACUUCAACGGAUACUUAUUCCAAGGACCCUAUCCUCUUCUUAUCGGUAGGGAAUUGCUAUACGAUCUCGAAAUAACCUUCUCCUGGGGGCCAUUGAGUCUCUUUAUUAAGCUCCCUUCUUUAUUUAGAGCUAUCCCUUUGAGCCUCCUCAACGUUCUAAUGGAUAGGACUGAGGCGCAUCAAAGGGUUUCAGAUGACCUUGAUUUUCGAUUUUUCACUCCCUUUCUUUCUUCUUCUUGUCUUUAUGAAAGGUCUUAGGAUAGUCGGACUCAUAUAACAAUGGAAGGAAAGAGUUCUGGGAGUCUGAAUGGCCUAAGGCCGAUUUCUCCAUUUAUUUACACGGAAGUAGAUUAUUUUCUCACGACGUCUAGUGUGAAGCAUUGAAUAGACUACUUCCGCUGCCUGCAUUACGGCUGAGAACACCUUUCCUAUCUCUUUCUGCUCUUCUUUUGACCUCGAACUUAGCUUCGAUCUAAGAUGCUGAAGACUUUGUGCUUUUUCUUUAUCUCGCUCCUUUCCCGAUGAUCCGGUGCACCGCACCCUAUUCAAUAUUCUUUGCACCUCCUUCUCAAAUUCUUUGAGCCUGUCCUUCGCGCCUAUUUUUUUCCAUUAAUCAGUUGCACUCCAAUUCCCUAAUGGAUAGUCAUCUGGACCUUUCUUUUUAGUUCUUUGCGCCUGUGAAAAGUCAAGAAAAGAAAAGAAGAAUGAACUCAUUAACGAGAAUGAAAGAAUCAUUAUGAUUUCAUAACUAGAAUGAAAGAAGAAUUAUGAAUCUGCUAGAUUUCAGAGCUAGAUUUCAGAUGAAUCCGCGGAGGGAAAUGCUAGGUUUUGGGCCUAUAAAGUAGCAAGAAAUCAUGAAAAAUCUGUCAAAAUUAGACAAUUAUCGUUAGAUAUAUAUAUGAGAAAAAGUCCUAUUUAGAAGCAAAAAAGCCGGGAAAUAGCAAUGAAAGAAUCAAACUAUGUUCAUUUCUUUUAUAGGCUUGAUUCUAGUUUGAGUUUCUGGUCCGGAUACUGACGGGUCUAUUCUUGAUUUCCCUCCACGAAGGACUAUCCAUAUUAAUCAGCAUAAUCUAUUCUUUGCGCCUUUCUUUGGGGUCUUUGUACUUUGUGCUCGAAAAUCAAGCGGAAAUCUUCUUUUCACCUUUUCCAGCUCUUUGCGCCUUUCUUUUUGGAUUUUAGAUAUUAUGAUCUUCUUAUAUCCUCUUAUGACUUUCAAACCUACUGACUGAACUUUCUCUCAAUAUUCUUUGAACCUUUGCCUUUUUCUUCCGAUAAUAUCAAAUUCCAGGUAUUUUGAGCAAAGAGGAAGGUUUUCAAGUACUAUCAAGAUUCAAGGAGUAUUUGCCAGUCUGGCCUUUUCUUUGGAAUGGAGGAUUACUACUCUAUACUAGAACGGAGGAUCUCUUUUCAUUCUUUCUUCCUAACCAAGGACAGGAAAUGCCAGAGAUCAGAGCCCGGACCACACCAGUACGAAGGAUCCUUAGACACUAAGCGCUUUGAGCGAUGAAUGGGAAUUGGGAUCGGUUUUGAAAUGGGUUUUUUAUGAUAUAUGGAUCCUGGAUUUUCCCAGCGGUUGCUCUCUCCGAUCCAUAGUUGGUUUUCGGAGAUACUCAAGAGGAUAGCAUGGUACCUUCAACCAAACUGCACCCUUGCCUUGGUUGGUCGGAAGCCAGGAAUCCUUCUCGUAGGACUUGACCACUGCCACUGAUAGGUGGCCCCUUCUAGUCUGAUUUUCAGUCUUCCAGUGCCUCUUCGACCGGUCCUUCGCUUCCAGUAUGGUUAACUCCGCACUCGCGACAAAUGUAUUCCUGGUACCCGCAUGUGAAAGGCAAAUGGUCCCACCCAGGUCUGCUUUGUUGCAGGACAGCCAUUAGGUUCGUUCUUAUUCUUCUUGGCCACUGUUCACGUUCACUGACCAUUGAAUGGUGUGGUGGAGUGCAGGUAUCCGCUUUCAAAAGUAUGCAGUGCUCGGUGAUGACGUUCUCAUUGCCGAUGCAAAAGUGGGAUCAGUCUAUAAAUCCGUUCUUCAACGACUUGGGGGCUAGCAAAAUCCCUUAUCUCUCAUAGCGGAUGCAUAGAGUUGAGUUUGCCAAGAAGUUCAUGUUUAAUGGAGUGAGUGAGGAUCUAAGUCCAAUCUCAAUCCCUUGCCUAAUACUAUCACCCGUUCCAAAGCGGUCUUAUGGCCAUUCUCCACAAAUCAAAGGAAAGGAUGACUUUAGUACCCUUUGCCGGAUAGGUGGUCUUGGUUAUCGGGCUCUUGGUCGGAUUGAUUACAAGCGGUCCCUCAGGAGAGGCGACUUGCAAUGUGGUUCCGGACCCUUCUACCCUUCACAAUAUGGUGCCCACGUAGCGGUAGGGGCAGACCUCUCAAUCCAUACCGCGGAGUGGGGUCCUAUCUGAUUCAGUUCCUAUUACAGGAAUUUCAACCGAAGGCUCAAAGCAAAGAAUGUUCGUUUUCCUAAUUCAUAUUUUUCACAACCAGGUCGCAAAGACGGAGCAUAAAAGAGAAGAAGAAGAAGAAUUGCAUUUUUUUUGAUGGUGGUUCAAAUUGCUUCGUUGGUAUUGCUGCAAUGGACCUAUGGGUUUCUAUCGAGGAUCUCCUCGAGGGGGCACCUGUCGUAAUCACUCACUGGAACUGUAACCGAAAAGAUGAAAAGAAUAAAUGGUUUGGUCUCAUGUGGAAGUGCUACGACAUGCUUCAAUCCUUAGGUCUAGAUUCUAGACCGGGGGUCUCUUGCCUCUCUGGGAGGAUCCAAAAUAGGAGGUCUAAUACAUAUUCUCUUUAGCUCACUAUUGGGGUGAUAUAAGAAAAGUGGUGAGGGGGCUUCGGCCUUUAGAAGACCCUGAGAUAUAAGAGAUCACCAGUAAAGACAGAUCCUUAGCAUGCCUGUGUGAUGCCAAACCUAUCUAUCAUAUUCCAGGAUCUUGAUUAUCCUCUUCUGAUUCACAUUCUUUAGAGGAAUGCCUUAUACCCACUUAGUGAAGUAGUAAAUAGCCUCUUCAAUCUCUCUCCUUCUGAAAAAUCUUGCCUCAAGAGUCCACCUUAUAUUAUAAAUGGCCGCGGUUAACUAUGGGAUGCCCUUAAGUGGCUGGGAUCCUUUGAAUGAAUCCAAGUUUUAGCAUAAAAGGUUAAAAGAAAAGACUUAGCUAUGCCUGGCCAAUGGUAGCCAUGCCUUCUGAUCAAGGACCUCAUCUUGACUCCGGACUGCCGAGCUCCAUUUAGAUAGCCGAAGACGAUAUCCACAAAAGAGCAUUUCGAUGCCCGGGGGCAUUGCAUUCUACAGCUAUGAGUGGAUAGUAAUUCGGGCUUAAGAAGGCGAGCUUACGGCCAUGAACGCUAUCUUCCAUGACUGAAUUCUUCUCAAUGAAAUGGAUCAAUGAAAUGGAGGUGGUAUCCAUAUUGUGUAGUCAUCAAAUCCAAGUGGAAAGAAGAGAAAUUUGCUGAUCUGCGAAGAGGAGAGGAUGAGGAGCUUUUUAGCAGUUCAAUCCCAUCCCCUCUUUUGGCUGGUAAUUGACUUUUCUUCCUGGUUCACCAAAUAGAGGUAGAUAAGAAGAAAGCCAAGGCAAUGAGAAUUCUCCAGGCUAAACGACCAGAGGCACCCAGAAGGAAUUCUAUGCUUGGCCAGAUUGAUAAGGAGAUGAAUUGAAAACUGUGCAGGCCGCACCCAACUACCUAGCGUACCGGGACUUCCAUGCUAAGACUAAGAAAAGUACAUGAAAUUCUGCCAUAGAAAAGUUCUGGGCCAGUCAUAAGCCCUUUCUGUGAAAAUGGGAUUCCACCUAGUGUGAGAGUAGGAGAAAGCUUCCAGGCAUCUACAGGGCUUUUCUGCUGGAGUUAGAUUUCAGUAGAUUCUUCAAGGCUUUCUCUUCAAAGUCAGAGCUAUCCCUUAAUGUGGGUAGAAAACUCCUACAAUAUCCCUGUCUUAUGGAGCCUUUCUUUCUCCUACGCGGAAGCGUAGCGUAGCGGAAAGAGCCGUAAACUACUUUAUUUAUCCUUUCUUUCGGAGGAGCGGAAGCGUAGCGUAGCGGUGAAAGCUCAAAUUGCAUUGAGCCUGUUCAAAGUCAAUCAAAGAAAAUCAGUUCAUUAACGAUAAUGAAAGAAGCUCAAAAAGAAUCUGCUAGAUUUCAGAUGAAUCCGCGGAGGGAAAUGCUAGGUUUUGCCCAUAGGGAAGUAGCAAGAAAUCAAGUCAAAUGCCUUCUUUUUCGACAAUUAUCGUUAUUUAAGAAAAGUCGAAAAAGUCCUAUUUAGAAGCAAAAAAGCCGGGAAAUAGCAAUUCAAGAAUCAAGCCUAGGACAGGUAAAAUCAAUGAAGACUUCUAGUUUGAGUUUAUGGUCCGGAGAAAGAGAGGUCUAUUCUUUAUUUCACUCCAGGUUAUUCAAUCAUAAUGAUUCUUUCAUUCGAGUGAAUGAGCUUCUUUUCUUUUCUUGACUUUUCACAGGUCCUCCGGACUAUCCAUAUUAACCCGUCUGUCCUCCGGACCUCCUUCAGCAUAAUCUAUGAAUUUGAGGAGCAUGAAAUCAAUGAACAAGGUGCAAUGAAAUAUGCGUUGAAUAUUGACUCCUAUUAGAAGGACCAAGCUUUUUUUCCUUAUUUAGCUCUCGUUCAAAGAAGAUUUUCCAGAAGGCGCAAAGAAUAUUGCGAUGCCUUUCGGAGCUAAGCUUGGGACCGCUCCGUGGGGACACUUCAAUCCUCACCUCGAGAAAGAGGGCUACGUACGGGGCAGUUCUCCCAGAGGCAGUGCCAGUCUUAGUUCUUCUUCUUUUAGUUCUUCCCGAAGAGAAUGUGAGAUCAUCCGGUCUUGUAGAUGAGGCGGUAGAAUAAGUAGUAGUUGAAACAAGCUUACAUGGUUCAUUCACUCAUUAAGUGAGUUAUUAAUUCACAUUCUCCAAACUCAGUCUUAACCAGUACUAAGUUUCUCGCCAACAGGAAGACGAGACGGACAAGGUGGCUCUUAGUUACGAAGCCAGAUCCAUUGAGGCGGUUUGAUCGAAGAAAGCGCAAGCUUGGACACAUAGUGCAUAGCCUUGAGACGAAUCCGUUUCCGAUGAGUUUACUCGUCUGAGGAAGAACAAAGAAAGCAAAGCAAUUACCUAUGGACCCGGCUAAAGAGGCAGGUUAAUAAGGGUCAAGCUGCUGGACCACUUUCCCCAAGUUGGAAUCUCGGAUUCGUUCGUAAAAGAAAGAGAAAUAAUUGCACAAUAAAGAAAGAAGACAAGACACAUACUGACGAAAGAAGAGAAUGGCGAUCAGAAGAUUUCGAAGUUGCGCUUUCUUGAUUCUUAGUAGGUUUCAAAACAUAAGAGAGAAAGUUGGAUCAAUUCCAUAAAUCAGUCGGGAUUUAAGGGCUUUGGAUUUGAACAAGAAACUACGUCCCCGCUUUAGGAAGGGCCUGCCGCCUUAGCUUCAAGAUCUCAGUUUGCACCAACCAGGAUUUCAGUUCUCACCAGGAGCCGAUUGCUCUUAAGGAGAAAGCGAUGGAAGAAGAUAGUCGUUCUCUCUCCCGCCCACGUAGCGGUUUCGGUUAAGUAAUCUUUUCUAUUGAAAGGCGCAAAGAAUUUGCGAGCGACAGAUGAGGCUGAAUUCAUAUUCGCAGGCUUCGACCAAAGAAAGUAUGGUUGGGGUUCGGAUGAGGAUUUGGGAAGAUUUUCUUCAUUCGGGUUCCCAAAAAUUGCAUAAAUCAGAGUGAAAAACCGAUAUAGAAGGCAAAAGCCUGCAAAACUCUAAGAGGAUAGGGAGGCGCAAAGAAUAUUGCGGAACAACUCGAACUAAAAGAAUCGACAGCUUCAAGAAGAAGAUCGGCUCGUGAAAGAGCUCCUCCUGCCCCUCCCUAUCUUUUAUGGCGGUUCGGCACAUGAAUCUGCCUCUACAACUAUCUUUGUGAUCGGGGAGAACUUCCCCUGUCUUCUCGACCAGUCACUUCGUCUUUUAGUCCUUAAAAAGGGCCUUUCCCUAUGACUGCCGCGAAUGCCUGAUUUACCUCGUUCUUUGAAUGGAAUGGAUGGACGGUUGAAGGAAGACCAUACCUUGGUCAAAUAAGAGUCCUUUCGAGUCACAAACAUCUUAAUUACAAUCCCAGUCAAUUCAGAAAUUCAGCCUUUAGUAGCCGCACAUAAGCAAGAAAUUCAGCAACAAGAACGGAAACACCAUCUGCAAUUCUAAUUCUUUCGUGGGUCACUCCGCACUGAACCAGGUGCCUGUUCAAUAUUCUUUGAACCUUGUUUUUCCUGAAUUUCAAAAGGUCCAGAUGAUCUUUAUCAAGCUUAACUUGGCGGAAUCUCUUCUUUCUACAUAAAUAAUAGAAUGACCUGGACGUGAAAGAAGCUAAUUGAUUAGGGUAGAGUCUCAUCCCCCCAUAAUCAAGUAGCGUCCACUAAAAAGGAGCUCCGCGGGGAUCGUUAGGAGAUACCCGAUCAUGAGAUCUGAGUUGGCCUAAGGCCGAUUGAUCUAUUUUCUAUCCAUCCACUAGGCAAUUCGUUUGUGACAAAGGGAAUCAAUAUGCCUUUAUUUAAUUAACCUCAAAAAUACUGAAGAAGAACCUAAAAAACGGCUAAUAGGGGAAAGCCUAUCCAAAGUCAAAGAAGAGAGGCAUUUCACCUAAUAAAUACUGAAGAAAAGGCUAGAAGCGAAGCGCAUUUAUAUAAGUUCAGACAAGAGGAAGGCUUCGUUGACGACGGAGCGGCACGGAAUAAGACGAUAAAGGAGAAGUGCAAGGGCUCAAAAGUCAGAUAUGGAAUUCUAAGACGGAGGAGGAGGGGGGGCGAAGCGAAGCUAAAGGAGAGGAAGACUCCUUCGGAGCGGCAACUCAUAUUGAAUUGAGCGUCCUACGUAGCUUAAUAUGGGAGCGCAAGUCCUUCGGAGCAGUUUCAUUCUCUCUUUCAUGAGAUCUUGAGUAUUAUCUUAUUUGUUGUUUCGGCAGGGGAAUCAUCAUUCUCACUCCGUUUCCGAAGAGAGUUCAAGACCAGAUUUACCGCUACGUGGGUUGAAUAAGCUAUACCUCUAGGGAAAAGGCCGAAAAUUCGGAAAUAGAAAGGAGCCCCGUUGCUGGCUCAGCAGCAUAACUGAAAUCGUCCGCCAAUCACUCAGAUACAAGAGUUCUUUAGGCUCUCGCCCAGUCUCAUGAAGAAGCUAACCCCCCUAGUAGUGUGAAUAGGCCGAGUAGAAAGAAUGGGAUCUCCACCGUAGGGAGUUUCAGCAGAGUCGGGUAUCAAGAGACCAAAUAGGAAGCGUCUAUCCUCAUCCCUUGUGGAAGAGUUCCGGAGUCAAGUCAAGAGUAGCCGCUAUAAGGGGUUUCUUCAAGUGAACAAGAAAAAGAACUGAUCUCAUUCAUAAACGGGGUUCUUUUACGCUACUUUGAUGUGAACUCCUUGAAUUCUAAGAAAAGACUGGGAAUCAUCAUUCUCACUCAGUCCAGGAACAGGAGUCGACUCUCUUUCCUCACAGUCUAAAUAGGCGAGGUGCCAUAAGACAGGGAUAUUCUUGCCUUCUAAUGGGCAAUAUUCUUUGCGCCUCCUUCGGUUAAUUACGGAUGGUCCUACUUCUGUUAAUUACGGAUGGUCCUACGGAUAAAUCCUCCGGACUACUUCCUUCCAUAUGGAUGGUCCUACGGAUAAAUCACCUGGACCUUUCUUUGGCCCUGCGGACUCCGGACCCUGGACCUUUCUUUGGCCCAUAUGGAUGGUCCUACGGAUAAAUCACCUGGACCUUUCUUUGGCCCUGCGGACUCCGGACUGGUCCGAAGGCUAGGUUCAUACGGAUAGUCCGGAGGACGGUUAGUUGGGCCUUUGUUUUUGGAGUAGAAGGAGAGGCGCUAUUUGAAUGGAGUUAGGGAUCGCAGCUGACUGAGUAAAGGCUUGAAUCAGAAAGCCCACGGAGCGGGCAUCAGAUCGAGGUUAUGCAAGACUCAUUCAUUGAUUGUAUGAGUACUGCUGCGUACAAGACAAGAAUGGGGAUCACCACCUCGUAUAGAUCACUCGUGCUAUACUCGAUCGGUGUGGCGGAAAUCAAGAAAGCACUACGCGGGGGAGGGCGCCCCAUUACGGUGGUCUAGCGGCCGUUAGAUGUCCUUUAUAGCCACCGAAUUGGAUGGAAAAGGAGAUGUGAAGACAGGAAAGAAAGGUCAGCCACCUUUCCGAGCGGUUUCACCCUAGAUUAUUUCACUAUUUCUUAAAGAACAAGUAGUCUCUUUUAUUCAAUGAUUGAACUGGUGGGGAAUCUGUUGCAUAAUAAUCAGCUUAAAUUACUUCGUCCUCAGUGCUUUCGCUUUCUGGUAUUGGUUCAGCCUUUCUUAUGGAGGCAAGUGGGUCUAAGCAAGCCCUCAUAGUAGUCUUGCCUCUUCGCUGCUACAAAGGCUAACUACUGGAAAAUGGACCUCUACCUAUUUAGUCAGAUGCGGGGAUAGCUCAGUGUGGUUUUUUUUCCGUGGGGGGCUCAAUCAAGAUGAAAAGAUUAUUGGGUGGAAUCUCGUUCGCUGCCUCAAAGGGUCGAGCUAACCUCUUCUGACUCUGAACCUAUCGGCUCACCUCCGGGCUAUUCGUCGACUACUACCUUUUUGACAUCUUCUUCGUCGCACAGUAUUUUUCAUACAUUGAAGGAGAAAAUCAAUGCCCUAUUCAAAAGACUAAUGUGAAAGAACCUUGACUUCGCUUCGCCUAUCGGUGAAAUAGAAAUAGGGUUUGCUUGACUAUCGCAACCAGAGAGAGAGAGGCCUAAUGCUCAUCAGGUCUUCAACCUUGACAAGAAAGAGCUUAUAGAUAGGUCUUCAAUAGUCGCGAACAGGAACCUAAUAAGUCCUUGUAUAUAUAGGGUGGGCCUGGGACAUAAUGGAAGUCUAGCGGGUCUUUAGAGGUGAGCCGGUAGGCGAACAAGCAAAGAAGGCGAAGAGGACAAAGGAAAGUAGUUCGUUCCGCUAUACCAAGGGGCUGGCUUUAGACUUGACUUCUCCGCUUGACUCCUAAAGAAAGGGUGCUUUCAGAAGAGAUCCAUAUCUCUAACUCUGAGAAGGGACAGCUAGAAGGUUACAAGGAAAAAGCCUUGCUACGAGCUGGAUGCCUUAGUCAAAACCUUACCUGAAUCUCAAAUUCACGCCAGCUAAAGAUAUUCUUUCUUCCCGCUACGUGGGCUUGCAGUCCUCAGAAAAAUCCAUAUUAGCCUUCUCCAAAGUCAAAUUCUCUAAUGGAUAGUCAUCUGCACCCGCAUCUUUUCUUUGAUUUACUCGGCCCUGGCACUGAAACAAGAGCGGAAGCCAUUUUGAUCUCCCGUGGCAGUAUGAACUGCUGUCCCUUCUCUUCUAUCCGUAGCCCUGAAUCUAAUAUGUGAUAGGUUAUCAAUCAAAGUGAUGUUAACCAUCUUUGUAGCAGCCACCCUGAAGUGAUUAGGGGAGCCACUCAAUAAAACUGCUAGGGAUCUCUUUCCGCUAAAUACUUUUAGACAAGAAGCUAGAAUGGAAAGUCUCAUUCUUGGUUGGAACUCUUAUUCGAUCUAUUGCACUUACAGAGUCCGUUUCGCAGUAUGGGGUUUAUAUACAAGAAAGUAAGUAUGGCAUUUUGACAAGGUUAGAAUAUGCUUUUCCAUCUCACGUAUAGAUCAUAUACUUUUGCUAGGACUUGCUUUGGUCAGAACAGUACUAUCGAGUUGAUCUUAUCAAAUGUUCUCUUUCUUAUUUGAAAUCAAGAAUGUUGACGCUUGUCUUUAAGCAGAAUGAUUUCAUCUAUGAUCUAGAUGGAAAAGGUAUGAAAAAGGAACUUCUAUCUGGAAAUUACCACUUUUCCCCUUAAUACAGACAAUUGUGCGUGCAAACAAGAAAGCCUAGGCUAGAAGCGAAGCAGCGAGCUAGAAGCGAAGCAGCGAGACAAUGAGUCACUUCAAGAGUCAUCCCUCUCUCUCGGAAUGAGUCACUGAACAUAAUAUCUAAA